CUACAGUUUGAAGGAUGCAAAUCCAAUGGUAGCCUCGAUGAAAUCAACUAUCUACAGCCUAUUCUGAGCCUGAAAUGGGUGGAAAUGAGGGUGGUGAGAUUAUAUAAUCCCAGUGAGUAAACAAACACCAUCCAAAAUAUCUAAAGUCGAGUAAAUGAGACGAUUAAAAUAUUCCAUCUUAAUAUGUAAUUCAUAACAUAAAUAUUCAUUUCGUUUAAAUAAUCAACAUGGCUUAUGAGUAUCUUAAAAGCUUGGCUCCUGCCAAAAUCAUUCUUGGGAAUACCUUGGCUGAGGCAUUUAACCGAGUUCGCCAAGGCUGUUAAAAAGUCAUGUACACAUAAAUUAUGUUUUUAUUUUGAAAACAUAGCCGUUCCUUGGCGUUGGCUGAGUUCACCCUCACGUGGUGGGUUGGCAUGAAGUGAACUCUAAAGUUGUACCUCAAGAGAUACCCUUGCGCCUCUCCGAUUGAGGUACAUAGAUAACCGAAUUUCGUACCCCUCUAAUAGGCUGGUCCACAGAACCCGCCCAAUGCAGCAAGCUAAACCCACCGUACAAUAAACAUCCAACAGCAUGACAUAGCAAUUUUAUCAUUAUCCAGCCUAUCAAGGCAAACAACAGUUUAUACAUUGUCAACACAAAUACAAAUUCAGCCAUUCACGCCAAUAUUGCCAUAAGCCAAUCAAUUAGAACCAUAAAUUCACAAUACAUCAAAUGGUCUUUAAUUACUCUAUUUUCAAAGCCAUCAUUCAAUUUCAAGUCAAUUUAUAAAAUCAUUUCAUUUAAACACAUUUUGUUUAUAAAACCUAAAAAUCGACCAUUUAAACUCAUAUUCCAUAAAAUUCACAAAAUUGAAUAAAAAGACCACUUUAGAUAAUUAAAAUGAUGAUCAGGUUACUCACUAUUUCGAGAGUCGAAUUUUUAAAGUACUUCGACUAUCGAUCCUUGGGUACAAUUUCUUUGCCUUUAUCGGAGGAUUCACCAACUAGACAUAAUGCACAAUCAAGCAAUUUACCACAUAGGUGCUAAACCGUUAUAAAACUAUAUGGAUGCAUGAAAUGGAAAUCAAAUUGUUCGGAUUAUCGUCUAAACAUGGUGUUCUACACAAAUUCAAUUGUGUACCUAAAUAAAACGGUAUUGGCCUAAUUCGAUUUAUCACUCGAUUAAUUGGCCAAUAUGUCCAAUUUAACUCCAAUUAACUCCAUUUUUCUUUCAAUUCUCCAAACCAUCAAACACAAAUCGAAUAGCAUAAAAUUUAAUAAAAUUAUCUUCACAUUUUCUCUUGGGAAUUUCGGCCAUGGUGGGUGCAUGAACACUAUGAUUUUUCCUACUUGAUUUUCUCACCAUAAUUCAUCAUUUCCCAACCAAUUCACUUCAAAUAAAAUCAAAUCCACCAUCCACACUCUACAUGGAAAAUUCAGCCAAUGAUGGGUAAUGGAAGAAAAUGAAUUUUUCUUGCUUGUUUUUCAUGCUACACAUCACUAACUAACUAAAAACACUAAAAUAUCUUAAAAUCUAACCAAAUCAAGCAUCAAAACUCCUCCCCCCAUGUCCAGCCAGCAUGGGAUUCAUCAUGAAAUCUUGAUUCUCAACCAUGGAAAAUGAAAAAAAAUGCAUAGGAAAUGUAGAUCACAAGCUAGAAUUGAAAAAUCUUACCUUUUUUCACUUGUUUCCUUGAAUUUUCACACUUUUCCCUUGACUUUUUUCACCUAGGGUUUUUGUUUUUCUUAUCUUCCUUUGUUCUUGUUUUGGCCGUCCAUAUGAAGAGAAAUAGGCUGAUUUUAUGCUAAUUUAUAAGAAAAAUAUUAAAUGGAUGAGAAUUUGACACAUGUCACCAUUCCAUUGGUCCAUGUGUCAUUCUUACUCAUUAAGCAAUGUCUCCACCAUAUAAAUUUCCUCAAUUAUCCAUGAUAAUAUUGGGUAAAAUCCAUGUGCUGGACAAGUGUUGGGUGGUGUAAAAUUAUAAUUUUGCCUUUGGGGUGGCAAAAUGACUAUUUUACCCCUUUGCUCAAAAAAUGUCAGAAUUAAAAUUUUUAACUUUUUAAACUCAAAUUAUGUUCUAAAUAGGCAAUCUUAGUCAAAAAUUUCAUCCAACACUCACAUCUUAACCUCGGGUGGCAAAAUGACCAUUUUGCCCCUAAGUCAUGAAAAUUCCAAUUUGACUCCAAAUUGGUUCUCGAACUCCGAAUCACCAUUUUAAGUCAUUUUGGGGUUUUAAAAUUCUCAAUUUCAUCCUAAAAUCUCUAUUUGGACUAGUUCGGGGCUUAAUUCAAUUUAGUUGCACUAUUAGGUACACUACCGACUUUUGACGAUUUUUCGAGGCUUUCCAAGUAUGCAAGUAUUCUGUCAAUCACAUGAAUGACAUGGCUAAUAUUUUAUAAAGUUGGGCUUGACACAUAAGUUAUUACUUUUUCAUCCUGCUUCAAUACACACCCUAAUCCCAACUUAGAGGCAUCAUUGUAUACCAUAAAUUCUUUCCCACCAACAAGAAGUGUCAGAACGGGAGAGAAGAUUAACCGGUUCUUUAGCUCCUGAAAUCGACUCUCAUAAACAUCAUCCCACUCAAACCUAACUCCUUUACGAGUCAGACGAGUCAAAGGAGCAACUAUAAAUGAAAAUCCCUGAACAAAUCUCCGAUAAUAACCGGCUAUGCCAAGGAAAUUACGAAUCUCAGUUACAGUUCUCGGUUGCUCCCAUUGCAAGAUUGCCUCAAUCUUCUUGGGAUCGACAUAAAUUCUAGCUCCGGACACCACAUGUCCCAAGAAAACCACUUCCUUUAACUAGAACUCACAUUUAGAGAACUUGGCAUAAAGUUGUUUUUCACGCAAGGUUUGCAACACAAUACGCAAAUGGGCAGCAUGUUCAUCAUCAUUCUUCGAAUAAAUCAGGAUGUUAUCUAUGAAUACUAUCAUGAACUUAUCCAAGUAUGGAUGGAACACCCUGUUCAUAAGAUCCAUAAAAGCUGCCGGGGCAAUAGUCAAACCAAACGACAUCACCAGAAACUCAUAAUGCCCAUAACGCGUCCUAAAAGCAAUCUUGGGUACAUCCUGCUCUUUAAUCUUCAACUGAUAAUACCCAGACCUCAAAUCAAUCUUAGAAAACACCAUAGCACCUCGUAAUUGAUCAAAAAGAUCAUCGAUCCAUGGUAGAGGGUAUUUAUUCUUGAUGGUCACUCAGUUCAACUGACGGUAAUCGAUACACAAUCGAAGAGUGCCAUCUUUCUUCUUUACAAAUAGGACUGGUGCUCCCCAAGGAGAAGUACUAGGGCGAAUAAAAUCCUUAUCCACCAAAUCUUGUAGUUGGACUUUUAGUUCCUUCAACUUUGCCGGAGCCAUUCGAUAUAGAGGGAUAGAAAUAGGUGCGGUACCCAGAAGUAAAUCAAUGGGGAACUCAAGCUCCUGCUCAGGAGGUAGUCCCAGUAAUUCGUCGGGAAUUACAUCAGGAAACUCACUUACUAUUGGGACAUCCUCUAAUUUAGGUUCCCCUUUUGAAGUAUCGAUCACGUGUGCUAAAUAUGUCGGAUAUCCUUUCUGCACUAGUUUCAAAGCUUUGAUGGCCGAGAUUACACAAGACGGUAAUACUCGACGUUUCCCUGCAAAAACAAUCUUUGCUCCCUCCGAAUUUCGAAAAACAACUUCUUUCCUAAAACAAUCCAAAUUCGCCUGAUGUGCAGUUAACCAGUCCAUACCCAAUAUCAAAUCAAAAUCUUGGAUCUCUAGAUGUCAUGACCCGGUACUCCCCUCAAGCCCGUGAUAACCGUCGUGAUGUCUUGAUAGACAUUCGUUAUCCGAAGUGCUAACCGGAACCCCACAAGGCUUUAGUACCAUUUUUUUCCAUCUCCUUUGUAAGUAAUCAUCGCCAAACCUCGUUUUUAAAGAAUUUUAAGCUUUUUCCCAUCCAAAACCGUGGAAAAUAAUUUUGGCCUCACAGGGGCAUUUUCGUCAUUUUUUCUCAAAAUUUUUUGAACCUAACUAAAAAUGUAGUAAAUGAGUGGAAAACACAUAUUUCAUGAUUUAAAAUAAAUUUGGGUGUCUAAAACAUUUAUUAAAAAUGAUAUUGCAACUAUUUGAAUAAAAUAAAAAUAUUCAAUAAAAUAUUCUAAUUUCUUGUAAAACAAUAUUUAUAGAAUCAUCGGUAAAUAAUUUUUUGUAAUGUAAAAGCNNNNNNNNNNNNNNNNNNNNNNNNNNNNNNNNNNNNNNNNNNNNNNNNNNNNNNNNNNNNNNNNNNNNNNNNNNNNNNNNNNNNNNNNNNNNNNNNNNNNNNNNNNNNNNNNNNNNNNNNNNNNNNNNNNNNNNNNNNNNNNNNNNNNNNNNNNNNNNNNNNNNNNNNNNNNNNNNNNNNNNNNNNNNNNNNNNNNNNNNNNNNNNNNNNNNNNNNNNNNNNNNNNNNNNNNNNNNNNNNNNNNNNNNNNNNNNNNNNNNNNNNNNNNNNNNNNNNNNNNNNNNNNNNNNNNNNNNNNNNNNNNNNNNNNNNNNNNNNNNNNNNNNNNNNNNNNNNNNNNNNNNNNNNNNNNNNNNNNNNNNNNNNNNNNNNNNNNNNNNNNNNNNNNNNNNNNNNNNNNNNNNNNNNNNNNNNNNNNNNNNNNNNNNNNNNNNNNNNNNNNNNNNNNNNNNNNNNNNNNNNNNNNNNNNNNNNNNNNNNNNNNNNNNNNNNNNNNNNNNNNNNNNNNNNNNNNNNNNNNNNNNNNNNNNNNNNNNNNNNNNNNNNNNNNNNNNNNNNNNNNNNNNNNNNNNNNNNNNNNNNNNNNNNNNNNNNNNNNNNNNNNNNNNNNNNNNNNNNNNNNNNNNNNNNNNNNNNNNNNNNNNNNNNNNNNNNNNNNNNNNNNNNNNNNNNNNNNNNNNNNNNNNNNNNNNNNNNNNNNNNNNNNNNNNNNNNNNNNNNNNNNNNNNNNNNNNNNNNNNNNNNNNNNNNNNNNNNNNNNNNNNNNNNNNNNNNNNNNNNNNNNNNNNNNNNNNNNNNNNNNNNNNNNNNNNNNNNNNNNNNNNNNNNNNNNNNNNNNNNNNNNNNNNNNNNNNNNNNNNNNNNNNNNNNNNNNNNNNNNNNNNNNNNNNNNNNNNNNNNNNNNNNNNNNNNNNNNNNNNNNNNNNNNNNNNNNNNNNNNNNNNNNNNNNNNNNNNNNNNNNNNNNNNNNNNNNNNNNNNNNNNNNNNNNNNNNNNNNNNNNNNNNNNNNNNNNNNNNNNNNNNNNNNNNNNNNNNNNNNNNNNNNNNNNNNNNNNNNNNNNNNNNNNNNNNNNNNNNNNNNNNNNNNNNNNNNNNNNNNNNNNNNNNNNNNNNNNNNNNNNNNNNNNNNNNNNNNNNNNNNNNNNNNNNNNNNNNNNNNNNNNNNNNNNNNNNNNNNNNNNNNNNNNNNNNNNNNNNNNNNNNNNNNNNNNNNNNNNNNNNNNNNNNNNNNNNNNNNNNNNNNNNNNNNNNNNNNNNNNNNNNNNNNNNNNNNNNNNNNNNNNNNNNNNNNNNNNNNNNNNNNNNNNNNNNNNNNNNNNNNNNNNNNNNNNNNNNNNNNNNNNNNNNNNNNNNNNNNNNNNNNNNNNNNNNNNNNNNNNNNNNNNNNNNNNNNNNNNNNNNNNNNNNNNNNNNNNNNNNNNNNNNNNNNNNNNNNNNNNNNNNNNNNNNNNNNNNNNNNNNNNNNNNNNNNNNNNNNNNNNNNNNNNNNNNNNNNNNNNNNNNNNNNNNNNNNNNNNNNNNNNNNNNNNNNNNNNNNNNNNNNNNNNNNNNNNNNNNNNNNNNNNNNNNNNNNNNNNNNNNNNNNNNNNNNNNNNNNNNNNNNNNNNNNNNNNNNNNNNNNNNNNNNNNNNNNNNNNNNNNNNNNNNNNNNNNNNNNNNNNNNNNNNNNNNNNNNNNNNNNNNNNNNNNNNNNNNNNNNNNNNNNNNNNNNNNNNNNNNNNNNNNNNNNNNNNNNNNNNNNNNNNNNNNNNNNNNNNNNNNNNNNNNNNNNNNNNNNNNNNNNNNNUUGGUCCAUGUGUAAUACUUAUCCAUUAAGCAAUCUCUCUCCACCACAUAAAAUGUUUUAAUUAUCCACAACGUCAAAUGUUAAUGGAUGAAAUCCAUGGGCAUGACAAGUGUUAGGUGGUGUAAAAUUCCAAAAUUCUAACUUUGCCCCCGUAAACUCAUAAAAUUACCGUUUUGCCCCUAGGACUCCAAAAAUGUCAGAAUUUAAAUUUUUCACCUCUCAAACUCAAAUCAUACUCCAAUGAGUCAAAUGUGAUCAAAAUCUUUUCUAAAAUUUUACAUUUUGUCCUUGAAUGACAAAAUUACCAUUUUACCCUUAAAACAUGAAAAUUCCAAUUUGACUCCAAAUUAGUCCUCGAACUCCAAAUCACCAUUUUAAAUCAUUUCUGGGCUGUAAAAUUUUCAAUUUCACCCAAAAAUCUCUAUUUGAUCUAGUUCAAGGCUUAAAUCAGUUUUGUUGUACCUCUAGGUACAAUACUUACUUUUGUAAAUUUUUCGGGACUCUCCUAGUAUGCAAACAUGCUAUCCAUCACAUGUAUGUCAUGACAAGUAUUUUAUAAGGUCGGGCUUUACAACACUACCCCCUUUAAAAUAAAAUUUUGACCUCAAAAUUUCACUUACCGGAUUCCAAGAAAAGAUGUGGAUAUCGGUCUCUCAUCUGGUGCUCGACUUCCCACGUCAUCUUUUCCAUUCGAGCAUUUUGUGGCAUCCUCCUCGAGGGCCCACUCCAAGGUAUUGUUAUAUCCUGGUCCCCAUCACUUGACUUACUCGUAUUCGCCACGCCUAAGGGUGGCACGACAGGCCCUGCAGGACCUUCUCGCCAAGCUUCGAACCCAAGACCUUUUGCUCCCCCCGAAGGGAACGCCUUUAACCAUUGGGAUGUUUUUAUUCCUCAACACUCAAUUCUUUUGAUCUAGAAUACGUACGGGUUGCAUCUAAGUCAAAUCAUCCUUAAAUCAUCAAUUAUGCAUGUUUACUUAACUAUCCACAAUUUCUCUACCUUGAUCUUUUAUCAAACCUUCCAACAUUCAAGCAUUUCAUAAUACACAAGGAUUAAACACCUUUUAUUUAUCCAUAGAUAUAUAUUUAACAUCACAGAUAAUUCAAAUUUGAUAACCAUUAAUAACCAUAUUCUCAAAAAGAAACUCUCGUACUUUUAUGAUCAAGUACUUAUUAAGUAAAUCUUGAACCACUAAAACCAUUCUUCAUUUUAGUUGGGUACAUCACUAACUCCACAUAUACGUAUACACGCACAUUCAAGUGUCCAUAUUCCUCAUUAUGUAUACGAGUCUCGGUUUUCAAAUGCCUUCAGACUAAUUUCUCUUUGUUUAUUUCCAUCCAUAAUCAAGAUUCAAUAGAAUAAUCUUCAUAAUUCAUGCAAAUUCUCAUCAUGCCUGUGCAUAGUUCCACAUCAUUUAGAUACUUAUACUCUCUUCUUAUCAUUUCCAAUUAUAUGCUUAAGUUUCCUUGUACUAUGUAUCAUUGUAUCAUGAUGUCAUCUCCUUUGAAUUAUAAUCUAUUAUGCGUGUAUGCUUUAUAAUCCCAUUUAUACUUCAAAGAUUUAUCUUAACUUGAUCACUGCAUCUUAUACAAACCACUAUUCCUAAGAGUCAUCGUUUUUCCUCGAUUAUCCUUCAUGCCUCUUACAUAUAUUGUAUCCUUAUUGCAUUCUGAUAUUGAUUUGUCACUUAAGACUCAGACUCAUUUGAAUCAUGUAUGCCUCAAGCAUUUCGAAUUCCAAUUUUCCAUAAUAUAUUAGGAAAGUUUCAUUCUCCGACUUCAUUAUCAAGGUCAAUGUCACGACCCAAUUUCCCGGGCCAUGACCGGCGCAAGAGCUCAAUGAGCAUAGCUCACUAAGCCCAAGCAAGCCUAUCCAUUUACCCUUGCUUAACAAAUUUAUCAUAUCAUGCAUACACACACACACCUUUUCCCGAGUGUGAACAUAGCCAAAACACAAUGGCAUUAUCGAUAAUAAUAUACAUGCACUAUACCAGUCAUGUAUUUAGCAAUUUACAUUGCAUACACAUAUUUACAUUGUUAGAUUGUAUUCACAAUACAAAAGGACCCAUGACUUCCAGUGGAGACAUUUACAAUAAAAAGGAUUACUAUCGAAUGUCAGACACAUACCCANNNNNNNNNNNNNNNNNNNNNNNNNNNNNNNNNNNNNNNNNNNNNNNNNNNNNNNNNNNNNNNNNNNNNNNNNNNNNNNNNNNNNNNNNNNNNNNNNNNNNNNNNNNNNNNNNNNNNNNNNNNNNNNNNNNNNNNNNNNNNNNNNNNNNNNNNNNNNNNNNNNNNNNNNNNNNNNNNNNNNNNNNNNNNNNNNNNNNNNNNNNNNNNNNNNNNNNNNNNNNNNNNNNNNNNNNNNNNNNNNNNNNNNNNNNNNNNNNNNNNNNNNNNNNNNNNNNNNNNNNNNNNNNNNNNNNNNNNNNNNNNNNNNNNNNNNNNNNNNNNNNNNNNNNNNNNNNNNNNNNNNNNNNNNNNNNNNNNNNNNNNNNNNNNNNNNNNNNNNNNNNNNNNNNNNNNNNNNNNNNNNNNNNNNNNNNNNNNNNNNNNNNNNNNNNNNNNNNNNNNNNNNNNNNNNNNNNNNNNNNNNNNNNNNNNNNNNNNNNNNNNNNNNNNNNNNNNNNNNNNNNNNNNNNNNNNNNNNNNNNNNNNNNNNNNNNNNNNNNNNNNNNNNNNNNNNNNNNNNNNNNNNNNNNNNNNNNNNNNNNNNNNNNNNNNNNNNNNNNNNNNNNNNNNNNNNNNNNNNNNNNNNNNNNNNNNNNNNNNNNNNNNNNNNNNNNNNNNNNNNNNNNNNNNNNNNNNNNNNNNNNNNNNNNNNNNNNNNNNNNNNNNNNNNNNNNNNNNNNNNNNNNNNNNNNNNNNNNNNNNNNNNNNNNNNNNNCCCCACAUCGUGCACACACACGGUUACAGUCAUUAUACACAAUAUCAUUCAUCAUGCACAACACACAUAUAUAUAUAUCAUCAUAUUGCAAUAAUGCAUGAAUCUAUAGCAAUCACAUAUCACAACAUCAAACCAUUUAACAAAAGCUUGUUCCCAAGGUACAUUUUCUAAGAUAAGUUGGAUAGAAUCUUUUAUAUUCCCAAAAACAAGUUUGAAAUGCAAGUCCACUCACCGAUAUCGAAAAUUUAGAUUUCGGGUGCACUCGGACUAAUAGUCCUCAUGCGCAAUUCCUUUACCUUUUUCGAACGUCUCACUACCUUGACAAAUAACAAAGUCAAGGAAUUUACUAUAUUGUCCCUAAAUUGAUAUAAACUAAUUUAAAUUACUAAUGCUUGAUAUGCAAAUGCAAAAAUACGUCCGAUUACCGCUUAAUCGCAGUAUCGAUUAAACUCGACUGAUCACCGAUUAAUUGGCGAUUAUGUCCAAAUCACCUCCAAAUUAAUCCAUUUCUCCUCUAAUACCUUAAUUUACCACAUACCAUUUAAAUAAAGCCAAAUUCAACAUUAAAACCCUUACAGUUCCUUAUAGAAAAAUUUGGUCAUUUGGUGCACUAGCAUCGAAUUUUUUUUUCUACAUAACCGUUUCACCUUAAUUCAUCAUUUUCCAAGCCAUUUUCCUUGAAAUAGAAACAAUCCCCCAUUGAUAUUCAGCCCUCAUGGUUCGACCAACAAGGAACCCUAGAGAAAUUGAAUAUUUCUUUUGUGUUUUUGUUCAUAACCAUGCUUAACUAUCCCUAAACACUAACAUAGUCUAAAAUCAAAUUAUUCCAACAACAAUUCCUCUUCCAUACCCAUUUUUCAGAAUUGAAUUCAUCAUGAUAACUCAAUAUUCAACCAUAGAAAUCAAGAACAAAAGCAUGGGUAAGCUAGGUAUCAAGAAGAAUUAAAGAAAUUCUAACUUAUCUAGCUUGUUUCCUUAAUUUCUUCACUUUUUUCUUUGAAUUUUCACCUAGGUUUUCUUGUUUUUCCUUUUAUUCUUCCUUUGUUCUUGUUGCUGGCUGCCUAGGCCGAAUAUGGUGAGAGAAUUGGGGAUUUAAUGGGCUGAUUUCUAUAAAAAAUAAUAAAAUAAUCAAGCAUGCCACGUGUCACAUGCUUAUUGGCCCAAUUUUUUUUUAACUUUUUGACUUUUUCUUCUUAAUUUUCCACCAUAAAUAUUUUGGUAUUUAUCCAAUCCUACCACAAUUAAAAUCCCUUGGUCUUAACAAGUGUUGGGGCAAAAAAUUUAUCGAUUUGCCCCCAGGAAAAAAAAAUUACGAUUUUACCCAUAUACUCCGAAAUGUACCAAAAUCACAUUAUUUCUACUUUUCAACCUCAAAUAACACUAAUAGUUAUCAAUAUUAACCAAAUGGGGCAAAAAUCUUUUUAUAAAAAUUCUCGUUUAGUUCUCUAGUGGUAAAAUUACCAUUUUGCCCUUGUGCUCCAAAAAUACCGAAAAUCACAAUUUUUCACUGCUAAACAUCAUUUUAUACUCAAAUAAUCAUAAUUAUUUUUCAUAUAAUUAUUCUUGGUCAAAUGUGAUCAAAUCUUGGCUAGAAAUCUCCAUUUUAUCAUCAAAUGGUAAAAUGAUCGUUUUAUCCCUAACCGGUCAAUUUUCCUGAUAGACUCCAAACUGGACCUUGAACUCCGAAUCACUAUUCUAAGCCAUUCUUUGGGUUUCAAAAUUUUCAAUUUCCUCUUAGAAUUUCUAUUUGAACUAGUUCAAGGCUCGAUUUAACUUAGUUGUACUACUCGGUACAAUACCGUCUUUUAAUCGAGCUUGACAGGGUCUUACAGUCAACUUCUAUCAUCCUUUGUUUCACUCUUUCAUACGAAUAUAACAUCAUUCUCCCUUAGCCAAUUUAUAAAUUGCACUUAAAAUUGCAAAACUUGAAACUAGAUUCUCCUCAAGUACCUUUCAAUGUUAAUAUGAAUAUCACUCUCAGUUUACAGCUUCUUUUUUUAAUAACCACAUAACUUAGUGCUUGCUUUCACGAGAUCCAUGGUAGAACUUUUCUUGAGUAUUUCCUUGGGGAUAUCUAUCCUAAACUAAUGUCUCACAACAGGUGAUCACUUAACCUAACACUUAGCCGUUUGGCUCCUUAACAAGUUUCAAAGUCACGCAUCUUAUGCUCAUCAUGUAUAACUUAUAAUUCUUUCUCAAAGGUGUUUAAACAUUCUUGAAACACUUAAUCACUUAUUUGCUCUUUCAUACUCCAAGUAUAUCAUUUCCAUAAAGGCAUACCCAACUACUCAUGCUUCGAUUUAUCUCCAAAGGUUUCCAACAUGUCACCUAGUUUACUUGUGUUAUUACUAAUCCUUUCCUUUCAACAAGGUCAAGACAAGAUCAUUAUAUUCUCAUAAUAAUAUUCUAUAUACACUCAUUUGCUAUAUCAUUAUUGAAAUCUUUAUUUACAUUUUCCUCACUUGGUAUUGACAUCUUUUAUCAGUAUCUCAUACAUUCAUCUACUCUUUCACUUGCUUCCUCUUUAGUCUUUAACAAGACUUAAUCUCUGGUCUUCUUUAUUUCUUAAGAUUUGACUUCAGUCAGCAUAUUAUUCAUCUUAACACUCCCCCGAUGCACUUAAAACUCCAAUAACGAAACUUGACAUCAAAACCAAUGACCAUUUUUCAAUCUCGUGAGUCCAAUCUUUAUGCCGCUCACAGUUUGCUCUUGCUUUCUAGCCAUUAGGAGUUCUUAACGCAACAGCGUUUGAUGGUCAGUACUAUGGCGUUGCAACUGUUUGAAUUCACUUUAUCCCAGCAACUCUUUUAACUUUAAAGCUACUACCUCAAUUAUUCACAAUCGUGUGGCUUCUCUCUGAGUCUAUACCACAAUUAGCAAGACUAACUUUCUAUCACAAUUGUGCGAUCAGAACAUUGAUUUAACAUAUUUAUUUUACCACUAACAUUCAUAUAUCUUUACCACAACAUUUAGUACGAGUUUGCUUAAGCAAAAAUCUCCAAAUUUAUUCGUAGCUACAUGUAUCUCAGAUUGCACAUCACUUAUCAUCAGUCAAUAAAUUCCAUUUUAGAAUACUCUUUCCAUAAUGAAUAGUAACUUCACCAUGUAGUAUCACGACACUAUGUUUCUCCAUUCUACUAUCAUGCAUACUCCACAGAAAUUAAUUAAAAUAUUUACGUACCUUCACUCAUGCUUAUUCCAUUUAAUCAUAUCUUAAAUACUCCAAACUUUUAAAUUACAACUCCAAGUGUAUGUCCAUAUAUUGAUAAUCUUUAUAUAUUUCAUGAUCAUGAAAACUACAACUUACAAACUAGUUUUCUAUCAUAUGCACACUACUAGAACAUUAAUUUCAACAUGUUUAAUUCUCCUUUGGUGGUAUGUUAAGAUCAUUCCUGGAUACAUUUCCAUAUUAACAUUGAUAUGCCUUUACCAUAGCAUUUAGUGCAAAUUUGAUGAAGGAAUUGUCUCCAAAUAACUCUUAAAUACAUAAUUAUCAAAUUGUAUACCACUAAAUGUUAAGAUCUUGACUUUAUUCAUCAAUAACAAAUCACAUUUAUUAAGUGAAUAAUUUACUUAGUUAUUACACCUUGCCUUUGCGAUUAUAAGAUCAAAGUUGUCCUAAACUUAGGAUGCAGAAGUUCUCUCUCUUAGAGUAUAUCCAAAUAUUAACGUUUUCUAAAUUCCUUACUCUGGGGAAAUCACCUUCAAGAUUGAUCAUUCGUAUCAUAGGCCACACUUUGAACCAAAUAAACUUUUAAAUUGAUUUUUCAAGUAAUUCGUAUAUCAAUCUCAAUUAUAGAACUUCAUAUGGCACUUAGACUAGAUUCGACAUUUUCAAGUCAUUUAACCUCAAGCUGUCAAUUUCACAUUUAGUCCUUUAAUCCUUUGGCUCCCCAUACUAUGCAUAGCAAAGUUCAAGCUCAUCCUUAGAGUAGAUUUGUUUACUAACUUCUUACUUCAUGACCACACAUCAAUUAUAGUAAUCAUUGAUACUCACUUUCGAGUUAAUUCAUGUGCUUAUAUCCAUGAACUAUAAUAGGUCCAAUUAAUUCUUGAAAUCUCACAAUCGCUCAAUUGAAAUCAACACCAGUUCCCUCUAAGCUGCUAUACCAAUUCAACACAUAUUCACAUAUAAAAUAUUUCAAAAUCCCAACACCACUUUUAUAUGGGCAUAACAAGCUCAAUUAACAUAGUGUUCUUAUCUUCAUGCACAUAAGUAUGGGCUUACUCUUACCUCAAUGCUUAAUUUAAACACUCCAAGUGAAUUAUAACCAUCACUAUUCAUUCUAAUCAAAGUGCGCCCCUUAUUACCACUAUCACACGUGUUCCUUUAUAUUAACCCCAAUAUAAUCCAUAGUCCCUAAAUCUUUUUCCAAUUGACAAUCAUGAAUUCAAUUAUAACUCCACCAAAUGAAUAAAUUAUCACGGCCUAUUAGUCCAAUUCCAAAUUUCUCCACCCUUAAUCGGAGGGAUAUAUCAUUUCAUUAAUCUUUCAUUAGAAGCAUUCAUUAAUCUUCCACAAAAUGACCAGGUUCCGUGCCCCUCUAAUAGACUAGUCCACAAAACCAGCCCAUUGUAGCAAACUAAAGCCACCAUACAAUAAAAAUUCAACAGCAUAACAUGGCAAUUUUAUCAUUAUCCUGCCUAUCAAGGCAAACAACAGUUUAUACAUUUCAACACAAAUACCAAUUUAGCCAUUCAUGCCAAUAUUGUCAUUAGCCAAUCAAUUAGAACCAUAAAUUCACAAUACUUCAAAUGGUCUCCAAUUACUCUAUUUUCAAAGCCAUUAUUCAAUUUUAAAACAAUUUUAUGAAAUCAUUUCAUUAAAACACAUUUGGUUUAUAAAAUCGAAAAAUUAAUUAUUUAAUUCAUUUUUAAUAAAAUUCAUAAAAUCGGAUAAAAACCACUUUAGAUAAUUAAGACGAUAGUAAGGUUACUCACAGUACUAGGAGUUCGAUAUACUCCUAUUCUCGGUCUUCGGGCACAAUCUCUUUACCCUUGUUAGAGGGCUCACCUCCUAUACAUCAUACGUAACACGAAUUUCAAUAAAUUGUGUCAAUUUAUCAUAAACUAUUUCAUGCUAUAUAAAUCUAUAUGAAUGCACGAAAUGUGAUGCAAAAUGUCUGAAUAGCCGUUUAAAUACGGUAUUCGACCUAAUUUGCACUAUUCUCGGUGUAAUUGGCUAAAACCUCUAAUUUAACUUCAAAUCGAUUUCUUUCACUUUCCACACUCCAAUUAUACUUAAAAUACCUCAAUGACUGUGAAUAUGAUUCAAUUUAUCAGUCCGAACCAUAAAUCGCACAUGUCUAUACAUUAGGUAAAAAUUCAAAUUUUCAUGCCAAAAUUUCUCAUUAAAAUUCUAGCCUCACCAAUCAUUAAAUACCACCAAAAUAUCAUGAAAUAUCAUUAAUUUCAGCCUCAAUAUCCUCCCUAGAAAAUUCGGCUUCUUGUGGGUUUGUGAAGAACAAAGUGAUUCCUUGCUAGAUUUUCAUACUUUCGAUUACCAAAAAACCAAAAACACUUAAUUAGCUUGAAAUCUAGCAAAAUCAAUGCUCAAAACCUCUCCUCUCAAAUUCGGCCAGCAUGGGUUCAUCAUGCAAACUAGAGUUCUAAGCAUGGAAAAUGAAAAAGAAAGCUGGGUAGUGUAAAUCACAAGAUAAAUCACAAAAUUUUACCUUUAUUAGAUUAAUCCCUUGAAAUCCCACACUUUUUCUUCAAUUUUCCCACUUAGGGUUUGUGUUCUUUCCUUUCCUCUUCACUUCAUGCUUUGGCCGGCCAUAUAGGUGAGACUAAGAGAGUUUUAAAUAGAUUUUACAAGGAAAUUCUAGAAUAAUCCAAGCUUGACACAUGGCAUGUUUCCAUUGGUCCAUGUGUAAUACUUUUCCAUUAAGCAAUCUCUCUCCACCACAUAAAAUGUUUCAAUUCUCCACAAUGUAAAAUGAUAAUGGCUGAAAUCCAUGGGCAUGACAAGUGUUAGAUGGUGUAAAAUUCCAAAAUUCCAACUUUGCCCCUCGUAAACUCGUAAAAUUACCGUUUUACCCCUAAGACUCCCAAAAUGUCAGAAUUUAAAUUUUUCACCUCUCAAACUCAAAUCAUACUCCAAUGAGUCAAAUGUGAUCAAAAUCUUUUCUAAAAAUUCCCAUUUUGUCCUCGAGUGACAAAAUUACCAUUUUGCCUCUAGAACAUGAAAAUUCUAAUUUGACUCCAAAUCGGUCAUCAAACCCUAAAUCACCAUUUUAAAUCAUUCUUGGGCUGUAAAAUUUUCAAUUUCACCUUAAAAUCUUUAUUUGAUCUAGUUCGAGGCUUAAAUCAACUUUGUUGUACCUUUAGGUACAAUACCUACUUUUGUAAAUUUUUCGAGACUCUCUUAGCAUGCAAACAUGCUAUCCAUCACAUGUAUGUCAUGACAAGUAUUUUAUAAGGUCGGGCUUUACACUAGAGGAAUCAAGUCACUCCUAAAUUCUUCCUCACCAACCAUUACUCCACAAUCUCUAUAACAACUAUUUUUAACUAGCUUUUCUCCUAAAGGGGUGUGAACUACUAUUCCUUCCUUAAUGGUGACAAGUUUCUAUCAGCAAUUGAUGCAAAUGCCAUACUCACAUAAGACCUAUCUGAGCUAGAAUCUAUUAAAACAUAAGCAUCUUUAUCAAAUAAAGACAUAGUACCUAUCACUGCUCGAGGUCAGACCCGUGCCUCAUCUUUCGUCACAGUAAAAACUUUUGUCGAAGUACGAGUCUGUGGUCUCGAAAGUGGAUAUGCUGAGGUGUUACUCUCAACACUAGACUGUAUAGCCACUCCCUACCUCGAUGGUAACCCAGAAGGAUCUCUCCUCUGCAUACCCGUAUGAGUUGGUGGAGAUGGAGCUGUUGCAGUAGCCUGUCUUAGCUGUGGGCAAUCACUCCUAAUGUGGCCUGGCUGACCACAAUGAAAACAUCGUACUGAUCCCCUACACUGCCCAAAAUGAUUCUUCCCACAUUUCUUGCAUCAUCAGAACCUCGAAACUCUUCCCAAAAGUAGUCAUCGCAGAUUUGCUAAAUCUCGGAGGCUUCUGCUAUGUCUGUGAAAAUAGAGGUCGAGGAGAUGUCACUGAUACAGAGGUAGUACUCCCUGAAGCAGAUGAGUCUUUGCCCCUUUUUGGUGGCUGACUAGAAGAUACACUCAUAUUUCUCCUUUUUGCAAACUCAGCUCACAUUCUCCUAUUUUCAUUUGUAAGCUUCUCGGCCCUUAAAGCCAUCUGUACCACCUCCUUAUGUGGCUCCCUACCAGUCACUGUCAUCCUCUCUCUAAUCUCAUUACGGAGCCCUUCCUUGAAAUAACUGGUCUGAUCCUACUCAAAUUUCACCAGAUCCGGCACAUAUAGCAUCAGCUCGUUAAAACAAGCCUCGUACUCUUCUACCGUUAAAUUCCCCUAUUUAAAACUAAAAAAUUCUCUUUUCUUUUCUUUCUGAUGGAAAUACGUGAAAUACUGACCAUCGAAUUCUCUUAGAAAGUCUGACCAAGUUGGAGGAGUAGUAGAAUGGGAUUUUAUUGAAUUCCACCAUGUACGGGCUCUCUUAUCUAGUAAUCUCGUGGCCACCAUCAACUUCAGGUCAUCAUCCAACCUUAUAUCAGAGAGUGUCUCCGAAACCUGAUUAAUCUAAUCUUUGGCUACUGUUACGUCCAACUCACCCAUAAAAGAAACACAACCAAAUUGCCUAGCCUCCUUAAGCUUCUUGGAAAUAGAGACAUCCGACACUGGUGGUGGAACAAGAAGUGGCGGUGGUGGUACUAAAGGAGUAACUGGUGGUAAUAUAGGAGGAGCUUGACCAGCCUGAGCCUUGCCAGCAAUAGCGGUAAAGAAGGUUGCCAAUGCUUGGACUACCUCAGAGACAUGGCAGAAAUAUCAGUAGGUGGCGAAGGAUGUGAAGAAUGUGGAGAAUGUGGAGGAGUCUCAGCCCGUUUAGUAGCAGGUGCUGCCCAAAUGGUGGACGCAGCCGAUUCCUCUUCUACUACAUCUAGCUGACAACGUUGGGAAUGACCUCUUCCCCUCCCAACUGAUCUAGUGAGAGGUGGGUGUUUGAGUCGAGAAGGCAUGAUAAUCUAUAAGAGGAAACAAGCAAGUUUAGGCAACCUUAGGCUCUAUAUGUAGAUGCAUGCAUCCUAUUCAACCUAACCUAACUUAACUCGGGGCCACACUAACACUGUAAAUUUUUAAAAUAAUUUUAAAACCAAAAGUUUGGAUAACACUUUAAUUGUCGUGACCCGAUACUCCCAUCGAGCCCGUGACAACCGUCGCGAUGUCCCGAUGACACUCAUUAUCAAAAAUGCCAACCGAAACCCCGUAAGGCUUUAAUAUCAGUUUCUCAUUUCCCCUGUGAGUAACCGUUGCAAAAUAUCAUGUUCUAAUAGAUUUUAAGCUAUUUCCAACUUAAAACAAUAAAAAGAUGAUUUUUGUCUCACAAGGGCAUUUUGGUCAUUUUUCCCUAAAAAUUUCGAAACCAGCUAAAAAUGUAGUAUGCGAGUACAAAACACAUAAUUCAUAAUCAAAAUUAAGUUUAAACAUCUAAAACUUUCAUUUAAAAUGAAAUUAUGUCUAUUUGAAUAUAAUAAAAAUAUUCAAUAAAAUAUUCUAUUUUCUUAUAAAACAAUAUAUAUAAAGUUACCGAUAAAUAAUUUUUGUAGCGUAAAAGCUAAAUAAAUUCAUACAUACUGUAAUACAAAUAACCAAAGUAUAAAAUUUAAUUUACAAUAACCAGUGGGCCCCUGAAUAACCAAAAGUAAGAAAGACUGUGAACCUACAAUUUGGAGAAUGCAAAUCCAAUGGUAGCCUAAAUGAAAUCAGCUAUCUACAGCCUAUUCUAAGCUUGAAAUGAGUGGAAAGGAAGGUGGUGAGAUUAUAUAAUCCCAGUGAGUAAAUAAACACCAUCCAAAAUAUCAAAAAUCGAGUAAAUGGAAACGAUUAAAAUAUUUUAUCUCAAUAUGUAAUUCAUAACAUAAAUAUUCAUUUCAUUUAAAUAAUCAACAUAGCUUAUGAGUAUCUUAAAAGCUUGGCUCCUACCAAAUCAUUCUCAGGAAUACCUUGGUCGAGGCAUUUAACCGAAUUCGCCAAGGCGGUUAAAAAGUCAUGUACGCAUAAAUCAUGUUUUUAUUUUGAAAACAUAGCCGUUCUUUGGCGUUGGCUGAGUUCACCCUCACGUGGUGGUUUGGCGUGAAGUGAACUCUAAAGUUAUACCUCGACAGAUACCCUACGUACCUCUCAGACUGAGGUACAUAUAUAACCGAAUUUUGUACCCCUUUAAUAGGCUGGUCGACAGAACCCGCCCACUGCAGCAAGCUAAACCCACCGUACAAUAAAAAUCCAACAUCAUGACAUGGCAAUUUUAUCAUUAUCCAGCCUAUCAAGGCAAACAACAGUUUAUACAUUGUCAACACAAAUACCAAUUCAGCCAUUCAUGCCAAUAUUGCCAUAAGCCAAUCAAUUAGAACCAUAAAUUCACAAUACAUCAAAUGGUAUCCAAUUACUCUAUUUUCAAAGCCAUCAUUUAAUUUCAAGUCAAUUUAUAAAAUCAUUUUAUUUACACAUAUUUUGUUUAUAAAACCUAAAAAUUAACCAUUUAAACUCAUUUUUCAUAAAAUUCAGAAAAUCGAAUAAAAAGACCACUUUAGAUAAUUAAAAUGAUGAUAAGGUUACUCAUUAUUUCGGGAGUUGAAUUUUUAAAGUACUCCGACUAUCAAUCCUCGGGUACAAUUUCUUUGCCCUUAUCGGAGGAUUUACCACCUAGACAUAAUACACAAUCAAGCAAUUUACCACAUUGGUGCUAAACUGUUAUAAAACUAUAUGGAUGCAUGAAAUGGAAUGCAAAUUGUUCGGAUUAUCUUCUAAACAUGAUAUUCUACACAAAUUCAAUUGUGUACCUAAAUAAAACGGUAUUGGCCUAAUUCGAUCUAUCACUCAAUUAAUUGGCCAAUAUGCCCAAUUCCGCUCCAAUUAACUCCAUUUUUCUUCCAAUUCUCCAAACCAUCAAACACAAGUCAAAUAGCAUAAAAUUUAGCAAAAUCAUCUUCACAUUUUCUCUUGGGAAUUUUGGCCAUGGUGGGUGCAUCAACAUUAUGAUUUUUCCUACUUGAUUUUCUCACCAUAAUUCAUCAUUUCCUAGCCAAUUCACUUGAAAUAAAAUCAAAUCCACCAUCCACACUCUACAUGAAAAAUUCGGCCAAUGAUGGGUGAUGGGAGAAAAUGAAUUUUUCUUGCUUGAUUUUCAUGCUACACAUCACUAACUAACUAAAAACACUAAAAUAUCUUAAAAUCUAACCAAAUCAAGCAUCAAAACUUCUCCCCCCAUGUCCGGCCAGCAAGGGUAUCCUCAUGCAAACUUGAUUCUCAACCAUAGAAAAUGAAAAAAAAUGCAUAGGAAAGGUAGAUCACAAGCUAGAAUUGAAAAAUCUUACCUUUUUUCAAUUGUUUCCUUGAAUUUUCACACUUUUCCCUUGAAUUUUUCCACCUAGGGUUUUUGUUCUUCUUUACUUCUUUUGUUCUUCCUUUGGCCGGCCAUAAUGAAUAGAAAUAGGCUGAUUUUAUGCUAAUUUAUAAGGAAAAUAAUAAAUGGAUGAGAAUUUGACACAUGUCACCAUUCCAUUGGUCCAUGUGUCAUUCUUACUCAUUAAGCAAUCUCUCUCCACCAUAUAAAAUUUCUCAAUUAUCCAUGAUUAUAUUGGGUAAAAUCCAUGUGCUGGACAAGUGUUGGGUGUGGAAAAUUACCAUUUUGCCUCUAGGGUGGCAAAAUGACUAUUUUACCCCUAUGCUCGAAAAAAUGUUGAAAUUAAAAUUUUUCACUUCUCAAACUCAAAUUAUACUCCAAAUGAUCAAUCUUAGUCAAAACUUUCAUCCAACACUCACAUCUUUACCUCGAGUGGCAAAAUGACCAUUUUGCCCUUAAGUCAUGAAAAUUCCAAUUUGACUCUAAAUCGGUCCUUGAACUCCGAAUCACCAUUUUUAGUCAUUCUGGGAAUUUAAAAUUCUAAAUUUCAUCUUAAAUUCUCUAUUUGGACUAGUUCGAGGCUUAAUUCAACUUAUUUGCACUACUAGAUACACUACCGACUUUUGACGAUUUUUCGGGGCUUUCCAAGUAUGCAAGCAUUCUGUCAAUCACAUGAAUGACAUGGCUAAUAUUUUAUAAAGUCGGGCUUGACACUAUCCCUGAACAUGAAUUAGUUAAGAGAUUGCUUAGAUGCCUACCAAAAUCCUGAAAACCAAAAGUGACUGCCCUUAGAGAGGCUAAAGAUCUGAACAUCAUCACUCUCGAUGAGAUUUGUGGUUCUCUUCUCACUCAUGAGCUGGAGCUUAAGGAAAAAGAAGAAGAAGAUCGAAGGAAAGCAAAGGAAAAGAAAAAGAGCAUUGCAUUUAAAGCCAGCAUCCUUAAAGAAGAGUUGGAAGAGCUUUCUUGUGAUGAUGAUGAAGAAUUGGCUCUAGUUGCAAGAAAAUUCAGAAAACUAAUGAGCAAAAGAAAUCGAGGGCUAACUAGAAGAGGUUUCAAGAAAGACCAAGGUGCUUCAUGGAAAAUGAGGAAAAAAAAUGACUCCAACAAAAAGGAGGAGAUGAUUUGCUACGAAUGCAAGAAACCUGGUCACUUCAAGUCCGAAUGUCCAUUGCUAAAAGGUGAAACCCCCAAGAAAAAUAAGAAAUCCAAUAAAGCAAUGGUGGCUGCUGGAUGGUCGGACAGUGACACAUCAAGCUCUGAAACUGAUGAUGAAAAAUUUGAGGAAAAAGCAAACAUUUGUUCAAUGGCACAAGACGAUGAAACAGAGGUACCCUCAUCCCCCUGCAUUAAUUCUUAUGAUGAUUUACAGGAUGAGUAUGAGUGCCUUUAUGAUGAAUUUGAAAAACUUUUUUCAAAAUACAAAUCAUUAAAGAAAAAGGCGGCACUUCUUGAAAAUGAUUUGGAACAAAUCAAACAAGAUUUACUUCUGUUUUUUAGCAAAGAAAUAUUUUGCAAAUUGAGUUAAAACACUAAAAAACAGACUUUGAGGUUUUAAAACAAGAGCUGAAAAACAAGUUUGAAGCUUUGCAAAUAACUCUUGAUGAAAAUAUAGCUUUUAAAUGUUUGAAAAAUGAAUCAUCAAAAAGAGAUGUAUACCACAAUAAAAAUUCAGCUAAAGCAUUACCUAGAUGUUACAAAUGUGGUAAACAUGGUCAUUUAUCAUAUGAGUGUUUUAAGAAAAGAAUAGUGCAUAAAGUUAAGAAAAUCUGGGUUCCUAAGGGAUCCUUUGUUGCAACUAACACUCAAGGACCCAUCAAAGUAUGUGUACCUGUAAAGAAAAAUUGAAAUUUUGUUUUGUAGGUUGAGUUGGACUUAAAGGAGGCAUGUUCAAAAGCUCAACUCAAGAAGAAACAACCUUGGUACUUGGACAGUGACUGUUCACGGCACAUGAUAGGACAUGAAAUGCUGUUUGCUCAGCUGGAUAAGAGAAAGGGAGGAACCGUAUCCUUUGGAGAUGAUUCAAAAGGAAGAAUUCAUGGUGUAGGUAUGAUUGGUAAGAAUUCCCAAACUCAAAUUAGUCAUGUGUUAUUGGUUAAAGGCUUAAAGCAUAAUUUACUAAUUAUUAGUCAAUUAUGUGAUAAAGGAUUUAGAGUGUGCUUUGAUUCAACUAAGUGGGAAGUGAUAAAUAUGAAUACAAAUAAAAUCUCACUUAUAGGAAAUAGAUUGAAGAAUAUGUUUGUAAUUUUUCUUGAAGAUCUUAAAGUUAAUAGUGAAGUAUGUCUUAUUGCAAAUGCUAAAAAUGAUAGUUGGCUAUGGCAUAGGAGAUUAGGACAUGUGAGCAUGAAUACUAUGUCAAAAUUAAUUAAGAAAAGUCUUGUUGCUGGAUUGCCUGAGUUAAAUUUUGAAAAUGAUAGGAUAUGUGAUGCUUGCCAACUAGGAAAACAAGUUAGGACAUCCUUCAUGUCCAAGAAAAUCAUGUCAACAUCUAGACCUCUUGAAUUGCUUCAUAUUGAUCUAUUUGGUCCAAUAAGCACAACUGGCUUAAGAGAAAAAUCUUAUGGCUUUGUUAUAGUUAAUGACUAUUCUAGAUACACUUGGGUGUAUUUUCUUGCUCAUAACAAUGAUGCUCUACAUGCAUUCUUAAGUCAUUGUAAGAAAGUAGAAAAUGAAAAAGGACUAGCCAUAGUUAGCAUAAAGAGAGAUCAUGGAGGAGAAUUUGAAAAUGAUGAGUUUAAAAAGUUUUGCAAUGAAAAGGGGUUGGACCAUAAUUUUUCUGCACCUAGAACACCCCAACAAAAUGGAGUUGUAGAGAGGAAAAACCGAACGUGGAAAGAAAUGGCUAGGACCAUGCUAUGUGAGAAUAACCUACCUAAAAAUCUUUGGGCUGAGGCAGUAAAUACAGCAACUUAUAUUCUUAAUAGAGUCUUAAUAAGGCCUUUGAUUUCAAAGACUCCAUAUGAACUUUAUAAAGGUAGGAAACCAAAUAUUUCUCACCUGAGGAGUUUUGGUUGUAAAUGCUUUGUAUUGAACAAUGGAAAACAGCCCUAGGAAAGUUUGAUGCAAAGAGUGAUAAAGCAAUAUUUUUAGGAUAUGCUUUAAACUCAAAGGCGUAUAGAGUUUUUAACAAAAGGACCUUGACUAUUGAAGAAUCAAUUCAUGUACUUUUUGAUGAGUCAAAUGCAUUGCAAAAAGAAGUUCAUGAUGAUGAUGAUCAUGUAGAAGUCCUAGAAAAACAAAUAGAGGAAAUGAGCUUAGAAAACAACAAAAAUAAUGAAGAAAGCUCACUUAGAAGAGAAGAUGAAACUCCACCUUUAGAAGAUCUAUAAAGAGCAGAAAAUCAACAUGAUGAUCUACCAAGGAGUUGGAGAUUUGUGAGAGAUCACCCAUAAGACCAACUAAUUGGUGAGAUUUCUCAAGGAGUUAAAACUAGAAAAGCAAUUAAAGAAAUGUCACGACCCAAAUUUCGGGCCAUGAUCGGCGCAUAGGCCCAAUGGACGUAGUCCAUUAAGCCCAAGCAAGCCUAUUAAUCAGACGUGUUCAUCAUUCCAUCAUAAACUGCUAAGUCACAUUUCAUAAUUUAGGAUCAAAGUAAUAUUAAACAUUUCCACCUCAUAUUGGCAUACUAAACAAGUGUAUAUACGUUGUCUACAACACGUAUCUUAAUAAUUUACAUUAGGUUUGUCUAUACACAACAAAAGAAUACUCGACUUCCAAUGGAGAGACUCGGAUGAAUGUACAACUACUGAAUGCCGAGACACCUACCAAAAGAUGGAUACAAGUGUACAAGGAUACCUCGUCCUAGUUACCGGCUGCCUCGUGAUAUGAAAACAUGACGUUGAAAACGGUGAGUAUAAACCCAGUGAGUGAACAAGGAAGGGAACAAGCAAAAAAUAGGGAAGAAUUUGAAAUCAUGAUGCACUUAUUUUCAAACAAUAGCGAGAAUGCCUUUCCGCUGCAGUGACGGUGGGAUUUAAGUUAUUAACCAAAUGAGGGUUUCUUAACUGGCCGAGGGUUUCUCACCAAACCUCUUCAUUUUAAACUUAAAUCAUUGAUUCCGUAAUAUUGGAAGUCCAUGCUCAAUUAUGGUACCAAAGGAAUCGAAAAUAGGGCAACAAUUGAUCAAAAUGUGAGACAAAACAUAAAGUUUUUCAUUGCAGCAAGAAUGAAUCUCGCUGCAGUGAAAUUCCUGCCCCAAGAUAGAAACUUUCUCACUACAGCGAGAAUCCUACAGUAUUUUCUCGCUGCAGGGAGUUUCCGACCAUGCACCCUCUAAAAACCCAAAAGUUUCUCGCUACAGCGAAAAUGAAUCUCGCUGCAGCGAGAAACAGAGCACCAAGAAAAAGGUUUCCCUUCACUCAAUAAAAAGUCAUCCUGCUAAACCAACAAAAUCAACAUAAAACACAUGAAAAUUCCCAAAGUGCAAUGUAUCAAAUUUCACAUAUAUGUCAAUCAUUCCAAAAGUGCAAUGUAUCAAAUUUCACAUAUAUGUCAAUCAUGUAUCAUAUUCAUGAGCUUUCAUUUCAUAUGUAUAGAUAUGAAUAAUUACAUAGAUAAACAUCAAUAUCAUCAUAAUCACACCCAGCUCAUGUACAUCCCCCCACAUCGUGCACCUAGCCGGCGCCAUCGUGUGCAUCCCCCCACAUCGUGCACAAGGGCACUAUCAUCAUCCAUCUCUGACGCCACCAUCAUCACCGGCAUGUGCAUUCCCCCACAUCGUGCACACACAUGGUUACAGUCAUCAUACACAAUAUCAAUCAUCAUGUACAACACACAUAUAUAUAUAUAAUCAUAAUGCAAUAGUUCAUGAAUCCAUAGCAAUCACACAUCACAACAUCAAACCAUUUAGCAAAAGCUUGUUCCCAAGGCACUUGUGUUUAUUAAAAACUUGAUAAUUCAUUCAAAUGUGUGGUAAAUACAUUAUAUUUCCCAAAAUAAGUUUUGAAGGCAGUUCACUCACCGGUAUAUUAUUGAGCCUUUAGUUGACUCUAAUUCCCCUAAUGAUCCAAUUCAGGUGAUGGGGCUUCGUUAGAACCUACCAUCAAAUUAAUAUUACCAUAAUGCCAAUUCUUAAUUAUAAAUCCUAAAAGCUAUCCCUUAGCAAGCUUUCAAUUGCCACUUUAAAUGGCUAUCUAUGUUCACUAUCUUAAUCACUAUAAAAUGAACGAACAUCCUCAACAAUAAAACAGCUCAUAAUCCCAAUUACUAGCCAUUAUCGACAGCUAAAAGCCAAGCUUAGUUCAUCACUCACCCUAGGGUUUCUUUGUAGUUGAAUUCUCUUCCAAUAGCCUCCAAACAAAUGGGGUAAUUCUCUCUUUUUCUCUCUCUAGAAUGCCCAACUAGUGAGAGAAAGUAUGGAAAUAAGAUUUAUCAAGGGUUUUGAAGUGAGAGAGUGAAAGAAUAUAAGGGUUCUAGUCAAAAAGGCACAAAGAUAUGAAAACUAGAGCUAGAGAGAGAAAAUUAUGCAAGCUCCAUAUCAAGCUUCCAUGGAGGAUGGAAGCAACAUGAGAUGGGAAGCAGAGAAGAAGAAGAAGUUGCUGGAAGGAGAACGUAUUUAUAGCCCAAGUUUAUCCAUUCCCUUAAAAAUUACGAAAAUACCCUUAGCAAGUUAGCUUAUCCUUCUCCACCCCUAUAUGAAAUCUUUUUACUCUCUUGACAUUGGGACAAGGUUCAUAAUGGUCUAGACAUGCUCCAGUUUACAAAACUUAAAAAAUUUUGACCCUUGGUGAAAAAUGACCAUUUUGCCCCUAUUGUGAAAAUUAUUGUCAUUUCUAGUUUUCUUUGUGUUUUCAUCAUUACACAUCAUUUAUGCGGUCUUAUGCGUAUUUAGACCUUAAAAUAUCAUAAAACUUUCUUCUGGGAGCUUAUUAGAGAAAAUGACGAAACUAACCCUAGCUGUGUUAUUGUGUCUAUGCCUAGUUACGAGCCUAUAGAGGUUGAGGUCUCAUAUUCUCCCCCACUUAAAGAAAUUCGAUCCUCGAAUUUAAAUUCAACUAUAAGGUAGCAUACCUCUAUGCAUCAAAGAGAUGGGGAUACUUUGUUCGCAUCUCCUCAGCUUCCCAUGUUACCUCUUCGUUGGUGUGGUUUCACCACAACACUUUCACUGAGGCUACAUACUUUGAACAAAGAUUUUUGACUUGUCAAUCAAGGAUAGCUACCGGUUGCUCCUUAUAAGUUAGAUCAUCCUGGAACUGAAUGGUUUCAUAUCGUAUUACAUGUGAUGGAUCUGAGUUGUACUUCCUAAGCAUGGACACAUGAAACACGGGGUGAAUAUUCGAAAGGUCUGGCGAUAAUGCCAAACGAUAUGCCACUACUCCAACCCUUUUUAGGAUCUCAAAGGGUCCUAUAUACCGAGGGCUUAAUUUUCCUUUCUUGCCAAACCUCAUUAUCUCUUUAGUUGGUGAGACCUUUAAAAAUACAUGAUCCCCCACCUAAAACUCGAAGUCUCUCCAUCGGUUAUCAGCAUAUGACUUUUGUCUACUUUGUGCUGUUAACAUAUUCUGAUGGAUCAUAUGUAUCUUCUCAAUGGCGUCCUGCACCAACUCAAGCCCCAAAAGUUUCCUUUCUCCCACCUCUAGCCAUCCAAUAAGUGACUUGAACCUCCGUCCAUAUAAUGCCUUAAAUGGUGCCAUUUGGAUGCUAGCUUGGAAACUGUUGUUGUAGGCAAAUUCCACUAAGGGCAGAUAUUGAUCCCACCUGAUCACAAGGUCUAUCACAUAGGCCCUCAACAUAUCUUCCAAUGUUUGUAUCGUCCGUUCAGACUGUCCAUCAGUUUGAGGGUGGAAAGUUAUGCUGAAGUGCAACUUAGUGCCUAACGCUUCCUGCAACUUUCCCCAAAACCUACUGGUGAACUAAGCUCCUCUGUCAGAUACUAUAGAAAUGGGGAUACCAUGCAGCUGUACUAUCUCAUCCACAUAAACUCGAGCAUACUGGGUAGCCCCGUAAAUAGUCUUAACUUGAAGGAAAUGGGUUGACUUCGUUAACCGAUCUACUAUGACACAGAUCAAGUCAUAACCCACAGUAGUCCGAGGUAAACUUGUUACAGAAUCCAUGGCAAUAUGUUCCCACUUCCACUAGGGCACUGAUAACGGCUGUAGUAGCCCUGUAGGUCUUUGAAGCCUUAACCUGCUGACAAACUAGGCACUUGGAGAUGAACUCAGCUACAUCUUUCUUGAGUCCUUCCCACCAAUACACCUCUUUCAAAUCUUGAUACAUCUUUAAAGCCCUUGGAUGUACCACAUAGGCUGCCAUGUGUGCUUGCUCCAAUAUUUCUCUCCUCAAUCCAUCACUAUCAGGCACAUAAAGUCUGAUUCCAUACCUCAAUACUCCAUCUGUGCCCUUAGAAAACAUUUCCCUUUUCCUUCCUUGAGGAUCCUCUAAGGCCUUGGCUAUGAGCUCAUCUUUACUUUGUGCUUCCUUAAUCCGGUCUAUUAAGAUAGGCCUUACUUUAAAAUGUGCUAGCAAUGCAUUUGUCUCUGAAACUUCCAAAUGCACACUCAUGUCUCCCAAGCUAUGGAUCUCCUUAAUUAAGGAUCUUCUAUCUGUAGAAAUAUGUGCCAGACUCCCCAUUGAUUUUUGACUCAAGGCAUUCGACACUACAUUUGCCUUACCGGGAUGGUAGAGAAUAGUACAAUCAUAAUCCCUUAGCAACUCCAUCCACCUACGUUGUCGCAAGUUAAGAUCCCUUUGUUGAAAUAUAUACUUCAGGCUUUUAUGGUCCGUAUAUAUCUCACAAGUCUCACCAAACAAGUAAUGCCUCCAUAUCUUUAAGGCAAACACGAUUGCUGCCAUUUCCAAAUCAUCUGUGGGGUAAUUCUACUCAUGCCUUUUAAGUUGCCUUGAUGCAUACGCAAUCACCUUUCCCUGCUGCAUUAAUACACACUUUAAACCAACUCGCGAUGCCUCACAAAAUACCGUAUAACCCCUUGUGCCUUGCAGUAGGCUUAAUACUGGAGUUGUGGUGAGAUAUGCCUUAAGCUUCUCAAAGCUAUCCUCACAAGUAUCAGACCACUCAAAUUUUGUAUCUUUACACGUCAGCUUAGUCAGAGGGGUAACUAUUUUGGAGAAGUCCUUCACGAAAUGAUGAUAAUAGCCGGCAAACCCAAAAAGCUUCUAAUCUUCGUAACUGAGGUUGGCCUUGGCCAUUUUUCCACUGCUUCAACUUUCUUUGAAUCAACUUGUACCCCGUCGAUACCACAUGUCCUAAGAAUGCAACGUUUUCAAGCCAAAACUCACACUUGGAGAACUUGGCAUACAAUCGAUGUUCUCUCAAAAUUUGGAGCACUAUCUUAAGAUGCUACUCAUGUUCCUCCCUACUCCUCGAGUAGAUCAAGAUAUCAUCAAUAAACACUACCACGAAUUUGUCCAAAUAAGGCUUGAACACUUGGUUCAUCAAAUCCAUAAAGGCCACAGGAGCAUUCGUGAGCCUGAAUGACAUCACAAAGAACUCAUAGUAGUCAUACCUUGUUCGAAAUGCGGUCUUUGGUACAUCUUCAUUUCGGAUCCUCAAUUGAUGGUACCCAGAUCGUAAAUCUAUCUUAGAGAAACAUUGUGCUUCUUGUAGUUGAUCAAAUAAAUAAUCUAUCCUUGGAAGAGGAUACUUAUUCUUCACUGUCACUUUAUUAAGCUGUCGAUAGUCAAUGCACAACUUAAGUGACCCAUUUUCUUCUUCACAAAUAACACCGGUGCUCCCCAUGGGGAUAUGCUAGGACGGAUGAAGCCUUUGUCCAAUAAAUCUUCUAAUUGAUCCUUAAGCUCUUUAAGCUCCGUAGGUGCCAUACUAUAUGGGGGUAUGGAUAUAGGUCUAGUGUCGGGAAUAAAAUCAAUGCAAAAUUCAAUCUCCUGCUCGGGAGGCAAACCUGGUAGCUCCUCGGGAAAUACAUCCACGAACUCCUUCACCACCGACACUUGACUUUUAUCUCCAACCUUCACCUGAGUAUCCAUUACCACAACCAAGUAACCUAUACAACCCUGUCGUAAUAAUCUUCUAGCAGAUAUGACCGAUAUCAAAUUGGUUGGAGCAUUACUCUUAUCCCCUUGAAUAUUAAAUGAUGGUUCAUUAGGGAAAUUAAAUCUAACUAAUUUAUGAUAGCAGUCCACACUAGCAUGGCAAGGUGAUAACUAAUCCAUCCCUAGAUCACAUCAAAGUCUAAGGUGUCUAGCACCAUUAGAUUCACCAACGUAUCCUUGUCCUUGACUCACACUACACAGGAUUCAUAUUCCCAUUCGGCCACAAAUCCCUCCUUUAAAGGAGUAGACACCACUAAUUGUUCCUCCUCCUAACACCAUCUCUACCCAACCGAGAUGCAAAACAUGGAGAGAUAAAAGAGUGGGUAGCACUAGGAUCAAAUAGUACUCGAACAUUCAUAUUACAAAUUGAGAGAAUACUUGAGACCAUUGCAUUGGAUGUCUAAACCUCCUGUUGUGUUAAAGCAAACACCCUUGCUUGGGCCAUACUGGCAGAACUUUGACGUUCGGACCCAGAUGGUCUGCCCUAGGAAGAAGUACCAGCACCUCUACCUCUAGAUCUAUUAGCUUCCCUAUCAGACAAGGCAGCGACUGAAGGAGCAGAUGAAGCUGGUUGGGUGGAGCCGCGAGUAGAACCUUGCAAUUGAUGAGCCAUCGGGAAAUUCCUCUUAAUAUUUCUAGGUUGACCACACCCAUAACAAACUCUUUCCUUACGGAAGCAUCGUCCACUAUGUCGUCUCCCACAAAUAUCACAAGAAUGGGUGACUUGACUACUUUGUCUAAAAUCUUGCCUCUUCCCAGAACUAAAGGUUCUCUAUCCCGCCCUAACAUUAGCACCAGGCGAGUCACUCCCCCUCUAGGGCAAUCGUGAGUCCCUUUGUGGACCUUGAUGGCUAGAAGACGAAACACCACUACUAAAAUCUCUACGGCCUUGAUAACCCUCUAUCUUGGCCCUUUUUGCUCUAUCCCUCGCAGCCCUACUCUCACUGGUCCUCAUAUCGAUGCGUUGAGCACAAUCCACUGUUGCUGAAUAGGUAGUGAAAUCUCGAGAUGCCACAGCCUUAAACAACGGCUCCACUAGCCCAUCCACAAACCUCUGAAUCUUCAUCUCCUCGGUAGAAAUGAGAUAAGGUGCAUAACGAGCUAGCUGCGUAAAUUUGAUGUCGUACUCUGACACCGUCAUAGUCGAAGUCUGUACCAAAGUCACAAACUCCCUAGCUCGGGCAUUACGUACACUAAGUGGUAAAAAUUGAUCUAAAAAGGCUGCACUAAACUCACUCCAAGUCAACGGGGCUGCAUCCAUUGGUCUGCCUCUACAUAGAGAACUAUACCACUCUUGCGCCAUGUUCUCUAGUUGGAAGGUGACUAACUCGACUGAUCGAGCACUAGAACAUCAUAAGGCUUUACAAAUCUUCUCCAUCUUAUCUAAGAAAACUUUGGGUUUCUCUGAUGCAUCAGACCCUGAAAAUGACGGAGGUUUAAGCUUGAGAAAAUUAGGAAGAGAAAUAUCUAGAUGUCCCCUCUCGACCUCAUGAUGUUGGCGAUCGACCUAUCCUUAGGAGCUAGGGGAUUCUUGUAUUGUAGGUCUCACCUCUACUACCCUCUGUAUAUCCUCCAUAUAGGUCUCCAUCAUCUCUAGAAUCCAGUUGACUCCUUGUAGGCCUGCCGCCAAAUCCUCAAUGGUAAUGCCCCAAAUUGGGUGUCUAUCUACGUCACCUGAGGACUGUCCCUCCUCUUGCCUAUUCACAAGCGUGUCCACCCUCACUGGCUUAGUGGCUCUGCAACGUCUACCUCGGCCCCUCAAGGUGGAUGCCCGUGGCCUAUCUGCCAUCUCAGUAGGAGCAUCUUGCUCCCCUAUCCGUCUUGAGGUGGCUCGUGUUUUAGGUGGCAUUCUUACCUAGACAAGAGCAAACACCUGUUAUUAAACACAUUUCAUAAUCAUACUAAAUGCAAAAAGGUGGUUUCUAAGAUAGGGAAUUUAUGUGGUCACUUGGUUGUAAAAUGUGUCGCAGUUCACACUUCACAACUAAGGUUUCCACAUAAAGACCCAACACUACGCUGGACCAACAAAAGAAGUCCUAGGACCUAGACAACCUAGGGUUCUGAUACCAACAUUGUCACGACCCAAAUUCUGGGCCAUGACCAGCGCAUGCGCCCAAUGGACGUAGUCCACUAAGCCCAAGCAAGCCUAUUAAUCUGACGUGUUCAUCAUUCCAUCUUAAACUGCUAAGUCAUAUUUCAUAACUUAGGAUCAAAGUAAUAUUAAACAUUACCACCUUAUACUGGGAUACUAAACAAGCGUAUAUACGUUGUCUACAACACGUAUCUUAAUAAUUUACAUUAGGUUUGUCUAUACACAACAAAAGAAUACUCGGCUUCCAGUGGAGAGACUCAGACGAAUAUAUAGCUACUGAAUGUCGAGACACCUACCAAAAGAUGGAUACAAGUGUACAAGGACACCUCGUCCUAGUUACCUGCUACCUCGUGAUCUGAAAACAUGAAGUUGAAAACGUUGAGUAUAAACCCAAUGAGUGAACAAGGAAGGGAACAAGCAACAAUAGGGAAGAAUUUAAAAUCAUGAUGCACUUGUUUUAAAACAAUGCAAUUUAAUUUCAUUCAUAUUAAAAUCCCCUCAUCACACCCUUACAUGAUUAAUCACUUGGUAAUGAUGAACCCAUACAUAACAAAUAAUUUGAAAAAUGAAGGCUUUAGUGAUACACAAAUGAGUCAAAUGCGAGAAUGCCUUUCUGCUGCAGCAACGUUGGGAUUUAAGUUAUUAACCGAACGAGGGUUUCUCACCAAACUUCCUCACUUUAAACUUAAAUCAUUGAUUCCGUAAUUUUGGAAGUCCCUGCUCAAUUAUGGUACCAAAGGAAUGGAAAAUAGGGCAACAAUUGAUCAAAAUUUGAGACAAAACAGAAAGUUUUUCGCUGCAGCGAAAAUGAAUCUUGCUGCAGCAAAAUUUCUACCCCAAGAUAGAAACUUUCUCUCUGCAACGAUAUUCAUUCUUGCUGCAGCAAGAAUGCUAUAGUAUUUUCUUGCUGCAGCGAGUUUUUGGCCAGUCACCCUCCAAAAACUUGAAAGUUUCUUGCUGCAGCGAAAAUGAAUCUCGCUGCAGUGAGAAACAGAGCACCAAGAAAAAGGUUUCCCUUCACUAAAUAAAAGGUCAUCCUGCUAAACCAACAAAAUCAACAUAAAACACAUGAAAAUUCCCAAAGUACAAUGUAUCAAAUUUCACAUAUAUGUCAAUCAUAUUUCAUAUUCAUGAGCUUUCAUUUCAUAUGUAUAGAUAUGCAUAAUUACAUAGAUAAACAUCAAUAUCAUCAUAAUCACACCAGGCUCAUGUACAUUCCCCCCACAUCGUGCACAUAGCCGACGCCAUCAUGUGCAUCCCCCCACAUCGUGCAUAAUUAGUACCAUCGUGUACAUCCCCCCACAUCGUGCACACGGGCACUAUCAUCAUCCAUCUCUGACGCCACCAUCAUCAUCGGCAUGUGCAUUCCCCCACAUCGUGCACACACACGGUUGUAGUCAUCAUACACAAUAUCAAUCAUCAUGUACAACACACACACACAUAUAUAUAUAUAUCAUCAUAAUGCAAUAGUCCAUGAAUCCAUAGCAAUCACAUAUCUCAACAUAAAACCAUUUAGCAAAAGCUUGUUCCCAAGGCACUUGUUUUUAUUAAAAACUUGAUAAUUCAUUCAAAUGUGUGGCAAAUACAUUAUAUUUCCCAAAACAAGUUUUGAAGGCAGUUCACUCACCGGUAUAUUGUUAAGCCUUUAGCUGACUCUAAUUCCCCUAAUGAUCCAAUUCGGGUGAUAGGGCUUCGUUAGAACCUACCAUCAAAUUAAUAUUACCAUAAUGUCAAUUCAUAAUUAUAAACUUUAAAAGCUAUCCCUUAGCAAGCUUUCAAUUGCCAUUUUAAAUGGCUACUUAUGUUCACUAUCUUAAUCACUAUAAAAUGAAUGAACAUCCUCAACAAUAAAACAGCUCAUAAUCCUAAUUACUAGCCAUUAUCCGUAGCUAAAAACCAAGCUUAGUUCAUCACUCACCCUAAGGUUUCUUUGUAGUUGAAUUCUCUUCCAAUAGCCUCCAAACAAAUAGGGUAAUUCUUUUUUUCUCUCUCUAGAAUGCCCAACUAGUUAGAGAAAGUAUGAAAAUAAGAUUUAUCAAGGGUUUUGAAGUGAGAGAGUGAAAGAAUACAAGGGUUCUAGUCAAAAGGGCACAAAGAUAUGAAAACUAGAGUUAGAGAGAGAAAAUUAUGCAAGCUCCAUAUCAAGCUUCCAUGGAGGAUGGAAGCAACGUGAGAUGGGAAGAGGAGAAGAAGAAGAAGCUGCUGGAAAUUCAAGAAGCUGUUGGAAGGAGAAGGUAUUUAUAGCCCAAGUUUAUCCAUUCCCUUGAAAAUUACGAAAAUACCCUUAGUAAGUUAGCUUGUCCUUCUCCACCCCUAUAUGAAAUCUUUUUACUCUCUUGACACUGGGACAAGGUCCAUAAUGGUCUAGACAUGCUCGGGUUUGUGAAACUUGAAAAAUUUUGACCCGAGAAGAAAAAUGAUAAUUUUGCCCUUGUUGUGAAAAUUAUUUUCAUUUCUAGUUUUCUUCAUGUUUUCAUCAUUACACAUCAUUUAUGUGGUCUUAUGCCUAUUUAGACCUUAAAAUAUAAUAAAACUUUCUUCUAAGAGCGUAUUGGACAAAAUGACGAAACUACCCCUGGCUUGUGUUAUUGUGUCUAUGCCUAGUUACGGGCCUAUAGAGGUUGAGGUCUCACAAGAAACUUGUGAGUUUUCAGCUUUUAUAUCUCAAAUUGAACCUAAAAACUUUGAAGAAGCUGAAAAAGAGGAAAGUUAGAUAAUGGCCAUGCAAGAAGAACUUGAUCAAUUCACAAUGAGUCAUGUAUGGUCAUUGGUACCUAGACCUUCAAAUCACCCUAUUGUUGGUACAAAAUGGGUGUUUAGAAAUAAGGUAGAUGAGCAAGGAAAUGUAGUUUGAAAUAAAGUUAGGUUGUAGCAAAAGGCUAUAACCAAGAAGAAGGAAUAGAUUAUGAUGAAACUUUUGGUCCGGUCACUAGGAUUGAAGCUAUAAGGUUGUUGCUAGCUUUUGCAUGUUUCGUGGAUUUUAAAUUGUUCCAAAUGGAUGUCAAAAGUGCAUUCUUAAAUGGAUUAAUUCAAGAGGAAGUAUAUGUAGAACAACCACUUGGUUUUGAAUACUUUGAAAAUUUUGAUCAUGGUUUCAAACUUCAUAAAGCCUUGUAUGGAUUAAAACAAACUCCUAGAGCUUGGUAUGAAAGGCUUUCAAAAUUUCUAGUUGAGAAAGGCUAUGAUAGAGGUAGCAUCGAUACUACAUUGGUCAUUAAGAGAUAUCUAAAUGAUUUAAUUAUUGUGCAAAUAUAUGUGGAUGAUAUUGUAUUUGGUGCAACUAAUGAAGCUUUAUGCAAGAACUUUGCAAAGGAAAUGCAAGGUGAAUUUGAGAUGAGCAUGAUGGGAGAGUUGAAGUACUUCCUUGGUCUUCAAAUCAAACAAAGUGAGGAAGGAAUCUUCAUCAACCAAGAAAGAUAUACUUAAGAUAUGCUCAAGAAAUUCGAUAUGCUAAAGUUGAAAUCAAUUUCCACACCAAUGAGUCCAUCCACCAAACUCGACUUAGACGAAAAAGGUAAAGAUGUAGAUCAAAAGCUCUAUAAAGGUAUGAUCGGCUCUCUUCUCUACUUAACAGCAAGCAGACUAGAUAUUCAGUUUAGUGUGUUCCUGUGUGCUAGAUUUCAGUCACAGCCUAAAGAAUCACACCUAACAACUGUUAAGAGAAUUUUUAGAUACCUCAUAGACACUCAAGAACUAGGAAUAUGGUACUCUAGAAACUCAACUCUUAGCUUAGUUAGAUACUCUGAUGUUGACUUUGCUGGCAGCAGAACUGAUAGGAAAAGCACUAAUGAAACAUGCCAAUUUUUAGAAAGGAUGCUUUUGUCUUGGUCCAGCAAAAAGCAGAACUUAGUGGCACUGUCUACAGCAGAGGCUGUAUAUGUAUCAUUAGGUAGUUGCUGUGCACAAAUCCUUUGGAUCAAGCAACAAUUAAAAGACUAUGGAAUAACUAUGUAUAAUGUACCGAUAUACUGUGAUAAUACAAUUACAAUCAAUAUAUCAAAAAAUCCUGUGCAGCAUUCUAGGACAAAGCACAUUGAAAUUAGACACCAUUUUAUUAGAGACCAUGUGAUGGAAAAUGAUAUUAAGAUAGAAUUUCUGAAUACCUUACAUCAAUUAGCAGACAUUUUACCAAACCUCUGAGUGAAGAUAAAUUCUGUGACAUUAGAAGAAAUUUAAGGAUGAUCAGUGUGAAGGAAUUAUAAGAAAACCUUUGGCUUUCUCAUAAGAAACAGAAUGCUUUCAAUCGACUAAGGAUUUCUUAGUCAACUAAGAGUGGUCUAACAGUCUUAAAUAAUAAGACUCAGUAAGAAUAGAGAAAGAAGAGUGAAAUGUUGUAAAAAUAUGUGUUUACCAGGUGCAAAAAGAAUGAAGAAAAAUUGUCAAGGGUAAAUUACCAAAUUUUAGAGGGAAGUUUGAAAUUAUUAAGAAAUAAAAUAUGGCAGUACUUAAAGGAAGAUAGUUUUUCUUUGCAAUAACUACAGACUACCUCUCCUCCUCUUUCCCUUGAAACCCGCUAUUCUAGAAACAAAAACCUAAAUCUCACUAGUUGCCUUUGAAACCGACUCAAACGCUCAAAAAUUUCUACAACCAACAUGGCUAGAACAUCUCAAAGCAAAGAGAUAUUAGAAAAGAAGAAAGGGAAAAGGCCAAUAGAGGAAGAAACAGGAACUGAAAGUGUGAAGAAAAAGCUGAAAAUCAUGCCUGGUUCAGUGAAAGAUAUAUCCGAGAAGCUUAGAGAAAAGAAGCAGAAAACUAGUAAGAAGAAAGAAACAGAGCCCUCACUCCACAAAGGUACUAGUUCUUUUUCUUCAAAAUUUAGGAAUAAGUUGCCUGAGUAUAGAUUCAAAAAUAUCGAGAAUGCACCAAUCUCUUGUGGAAAAUUCAUUGACUGGAAGAGUUUUAAAGAAAAUUUAGAAUAGAUCUUACAGUCCAAGUCUAUCGAAGUACUUUGAUGAACUAAAACUAAAAGGGUACAACACCUUUAAGAAUAGAUCUUACAGUCCAAGUCUAGUCAAAGAAUUUUAUUAUGGAAUUGCGUUCAAAGAAAAGGAAUUAAUAGAUUCUGAUGACUAUGUAAAAGAUGGUUUGAAUGUUUAUCCAAAUGGAAAAUAGUUUGUUAUGACUGCUGAGGAUUUAGGGAACCUGCUGAAAAUAGAGUAUGAAGAAGGUGAAUUUGAACUGCCUGAAAAUUAUAAUCCAUCCUCAUUAUGGGAGAUCAUCACUAGAAAGAAAGAAAAAUACUAUUCGAAAAGUAAUUUUGGUUUGAUAACCAACCCUUAGAUCAGAAUUUUACACUAUUUCAUAGCAGCAAAUAUACAAGGCAAAAGUGGAAGCCUUAGCUACAUCAGCCUCUAGGACCUUUGGCUGAUGGAGCAUGCUUUCAAUGGAGUGUCUCUAAAUUUGAAAAGAUUUAUGAUUGAGAAAAUGAGAAGUACCUGCAGACUUGAUAAGGUAAAUCUGCUGUAUGGGAAUGUGAUUACAUCCCUUGUGCAGAAUAAGGGAAUAUGGGCAAAGAGGUAUGAUAUGGACCUGGUAAAACCACAGAUCAAGCUAUUCAGUAUGGCAGCUUGGUCAAAAUGGGGUACGUGCUCGAUGGAGAAAAGUUCAUUAAGACCUCUAAAAUUGGCCCAAGAAAAGAUCAUAGUCUACCUGCUCAACCUGAAGAAGCUCCUUCCAGAUUUUUGAAUGAGAUGAUUUUUAAUUUGCUUAUGAGGAUUUAUGGUAAGUUGACUGACCAAGGAGUGAAGUUAUAGAAAAUGGAAAAUAAAAUCACUGAGUUGGAAAACAAGCUGAAGAAAAAGGAAAACAUGCCAUCUGAACCUGUGGCUGCAGACAAUUCUACCACAUCCAGCACUAAACCUGUAUAACAAGGUGCUAAAAGUUUAGCUAAGUCAGUAGAAAAAUCAGCUCCUCAUGUUGGAAGUUCUGGCAUUCAGGCUGAAGGUUCCACCCACAAAUUUGCCAGUCCUGCUCUACAGACUAAAGACUCACACCAAGGGGUUGAUCAUAUAAAUGGUUAAGGAGGGAGAAGCUGAAAAGGACACUUCUAGGACAGAAACUCAAAAAGCUAGUGAAGGUGUAGAAAAAGGAAAGAAAUCUGCAUCAACUGCCAGAGUAAAGAUAAAAGCAGGGAAAGCCAAAGACACUGCAGCACCACCAACUGAAGAAAAACUACCAACCAAAGGCAGGAAGACAAUGGCAACCAAGACAGAUUUUGUUAAAAGAAGAAAGUCUUCUAAGUUGGCAGAGAAAUCCAAACCAGUUUCAGUUUCCUCUCCAAUCCCUGUCUCAGACAAGUCAUCCCCAAAACUUCAACGACCCUUCCUCGGUCUCUACUAGCGUUCGAGACCUCCGAAAUAUCUCGUCAAGUCCCGAACAAGCCUUAAUGAAAUUUCUCAAUAACUAAUUGUACACUUUUACUAAACCAUAUUAAUGUUUGAACCAUAUAUGUUCAUAACGUGAAUUCAACAACAAGCAUAGCCAUUAAAAUUUGACUUAAAGUCAUCAUAUCAUAAUUAAAUACAUUAAGUUCAAAAAAAUCCCAAAUUUUCGUUUAUAUCAAAACUAAUAUUUGUUUACAUAGUAAAACCAAGUACUACAACUCAACCUCUAACAACGGAGCAACUCGAGAUAAAAUGCUAUGAGAUGCCUUUACCUAUCUGCGAUGAACCAUAUGCAACAACGAUUACACGCUAGACCAAUCCCUGUCUGCAAAAAGGGGAAAAAGAAGGGUGUGAGUCUCACAGACUCAGUGAUCAUCGACUCCGUGAGCAGAGCAUAGAUGGGAAACAAGCAAAUAGCAGAUCAGUUGAAUAUUAAAAUGCAGGAUUAUGAAAACAAUUUAUUUCAAAUGGGAGUUUGUGCCUUAUGUGAAAUACCGAGGAAUUCUUACGUAUUAUAAACAUUUCAAUUAAUAAAUCAACCAAGGUAGAUAAAAAUUUUUGCUACAAAACAGAUCAAUAACCUUAUUCAAGUCAAUCAUUUGAAAUAUUGAAUUAAAACAAUUUUACAUAAAGAAAAUUCCAUCGUCAAAAUCAAUUGACAUUUUAUUCAAAUCAAAUCAAUGUAUUCCUCAAUCUCCCAUGAAAUCGAAUGUUAAUCAAACUCAUACGUUAAAUCACAAAUCACCUCGCACUCGAGGAGUUAAAAUUCAUUUCAUUGUAAAAAUAAGGGGAGCUGCAGAAAAACCUUUAAAUUUCGUUUUCACCAUGCAAGGAAAUAUGAGUUUGUAACCCAGAGAUGCCACUCUCGAGUAGGGAAUGAAAGUAAAUCUGUGGUCCCGCUACCACGUAAUAACAUUCGGGAGCAUCGCUUCCACUAGAUUCCCAUGUGCCACAAUAGUCUCACGAUGUUGGCCGACAUCGGAGAAUCAAGUGAUCGCAACCGCAUAAUCAUUUGGUGGCUUAGCCACUCAUACAUAUAUCACAGGUCCUAGCCCCAACCACGCCUAACCGCCCGUCGGUGACCUAAUGGUUCUCUAGCUAGAGCUCACUCGUGCACGAGGGUCACACUUAGCCGAUGUGACAUUCGACCUACUCUCGACACUCUCGGUUUGUAAAACCAUUUUUCAAUUGUGUUAUGUCCUUAAAAGCUCGUUUCAAAAUUAUUUUCCAAAGCAUUCGUCACAAGGUUCGAUAAAAUUUACCAUUUUCUCAAAAUAUAUUUAUACAUGAAUUUCAGAACAAUAAUUUGCAUGGUGAAUAAGCAAUAUAACCAUGAAUGCACACUGCACAUAUAUAUAAGUCACAUUUUGAUGUAAAACAGUGUGAAGGGCUUGCUUCCCGAUUUUUAAAACACUUUACACAUAAUUUAUACAUAUAUAUAUUCAAAACAAUUUCUAAACAUAAUUUGCAAUCACAAUUACUAAGAUUGCUACCAGCACAUGCUAUCCUCAAUUUUCACAUUUAAAAUAAAUUAUACGUAUGGAUAUAUAUUUAUGGAAACUUUAAAAUUGGCACCCCCUACUCACCACACAAUAGCGGGAUGUUACGUCAUUAUUAAUUCAAAGACAUAUUAAGCUACUCCUUUUUAAUGAUCGUUCGUUAUUUCCUUCAGCCUUUUACCACAUUGCACCACUUAUUUAUUUCUCCAAAAUAUUAAAACCCACAUACUCAAUAUAUUUAUAUAUAUUAUUUUAUUCUAGCAUCAUUAUUAUAUAUAUAUAUAUAUUUUUUCUUUUCUUUUCCUUUCUUUCUCUUUCGCUCUCUCCCGUCGGUCAGCAACAUCUUGCUUGUCUUUCUUUUUCCUUUCUUACAUGCACAAGCAUGCCACAAUUUCCUCCUCUCUCUCCCUCUCAUCGCCGGCAAUAAUUUCUUGCUUCUUUCAACCAAAAAUUUUCAGCAGCCAAAGUUGCUCAUAUCAACAUCAAAAUCAGCAGCCAAGCUGCUCUAUUUUUUUCCUCAAAAAUCAGCAGCCAAGCUACUCUAUUUUUCCUCAAAAAUCAACAGCCAAGCUGCUCUAUUUUUUUCCUUGAAAAUCAACAGCCAAGCUGCUCUAUUUUUCCUCAAAAAUCAACAGCCAAGUUGCUCUAUUUUUUCCUCAAAAAUUAACGGUCAAGCUACUCUUUUUUUCCUAAAAAAUCAGCAACUAAGUUGCUCUAUUCUCCCUCAAAAAAUCAGCAGCUAAGCUGCUCCUUUCCUCCCUCAAAACUUGGCAGCCAAAGCUUCAAAGAUCAGCAACCAAAACCACACCUUCAGCCUUCAAAAUCAGUAGCCAAAACCUCACCUUAAGCCUUCAAAAUUAGCUCCUUCUCCUCUCCCUUUCUUUCUCACCACUCGACUUUCUCUUCUUUUCUUUUUGCUCUUUUUGUUCUCCUUUUGCUCUCUUAUGCCCGACACCUUCUUCUUGUUUCUUUUUCUUCUCUUCCACUAACCGACUUCUUUCUUUCUUCUUCUUUACUUUAUUUAUUUACUUAUUUUUAUAUUUUUUUUCUCCAUUUGUCUUCCAAUUUAGCCGCCCCCCCCCCUCCAUCNUUUAGCCGCCCCCCCCCCCUCCAUCUUUCUUUCUUUCUUUCUUCACCUUUUUCCACAUGGCCGGCCCCCCUUCCAUCAUAUAAAAUAAAGAGUUUUUGACUCUUUUUAUUGACCACAUGGGCGGCUGCCCAUGUUGGUCUUUCUUUAUUUUUUUUUAUAUACAUACUUGUAUUAUUAUUUUACUAUUUGUUUAUUUUAUUUCUUCCAUUUAAUUCCACUACAUAAUCCUUCAACCUUUAUAUUUUAAAUUCGAUCCUUUUGAUACGUCUAAAAAUUUGAAUUUUCAUCUAUCUUUCUUCCUCUGCACGUGUACCACUAAAAUAUCAAAAUUACACUUCAACGCGGUGUUACCAUAAUAUUUAAAUAUUUACUUAUCCGCUUUGGCUCGACUUAGCAAAACACACGUAUUUCACUUUCGUCGUUCAUCUCCAAAAACUUAUUUGUAUUUCUUCUCCCCCACUUGGAUCAACCAUAUGAUCCUUCCUCAUGACUGAUUUUGAUUUCGACAUCCGAUUAAAUAUUAAUAUUUUAAUAUUAUUUUAUUUUAAAAGUUUCCUCUUGUCUCCUUGGUACCUAAAAUACCUUAUUAUGCCUCAAUUGACUUCCAAAUCACCUUUUAUCUCACAAAUUCUCUUUCGCUAAAAAUAUUAUUAUUUCCUCGCGUGUGGAAUAUUUUAUCCUAAACUAUUCUUUUCAUCUUUCAUCACUUUUAAACAUUAUAAUUGGCCUCAAUUCACAUCCGAUAAGCUUUAUUUAUCACCAUAUCAAAGUAUGGGGUAUUAUAAUCUCCCCCACUUAAAUAGAAUUCAUCCUCGAAUUCACGUCGAUGUUGAGUUAUCAAUCUCAUUCUAUGAUCUUAUUCCAUUUCUCCCUCUAUAGGGACAUUCGAUUUAUUCACCUCGUUCACCUUCAAUUCAAUUUGAAUACUUCAUUUAUGUCACUUAUCAUCCUUUGGAAUCAGGUCAGUAGUACCUUUCAUAAUCAUGAUCUCUUAUAUCGAGACACUAAGCAUGCCUUUGUCACCAUCAUUAAAUUUGAACCAUAACUUCAUUUCAAUUAUGUUGAUUUUGAUCACAAAUUAUACUUACUUAUGUAUACCUAAUCAUCAUUUUAUUAGUUCGCUUCUUGCCAAACUUUUCAACCUUGAUUCGUUCAUCUUAUACAAAACCACAAUCUCUAAAAAUCAUCCUUGUUUCUCAAUUUUUUUUCAUACUUCUAAUAUAUACAUUAUAUCCUUGUUGUAUUUUGACUUUAAUGAAUCACUUAAAAUUUAGACUCAUUCGCAUCGUGCAUGACUUAAGCAUUUCUGAAUUUCGAUUUCCAUACUACCUUAGGAAGUUUUCAUUAUUGGGCUUCAUUAUCCAAAUUAUCUUUAAUCAUCCUUUGUUCUAUUCUUCCAUACUAAUGUGACAUCAUUCUCCCUAGACCAAUCUGCAGUUUGUACUUAAAACUGCAAGACUUGAAAUAAGGUUCUCCUUGAGUACUUUCCAAUGUCAAUAUGAAUUUCACUUCCAACUUACGGCUUCCUCUUUGUAGCCACAUAAUUUAAUGCUUGCUUUCACAAAAUCCAUAGCAGAACUCUUCUUGAGUAUUUCUUUGAGAAUACCUAUCUUAAACUUAUGUCUCAUAACAUGUGAUCACUCAACCUGUGACUUAGCCGUUAGGCUCCUCAGCAAGUUUGAAAAAUUUCACAUUUUAUACUUGCCGUGCAUGAUUAGAAAUUUCUUCUCAAAAAUGUUUGUGCAUUCCUGAAACACUUAAUCUUUUAUUUGCUCUUUAAUAUCUUGUGCAUAUCGUUCUAUAAACGUGCACUUGUUCUUAAAGGUAUAUAAAUACGUACUCAUCCAUUCAAUCCCUAACUCAUCUUCAUAGGUUUCUAGGGUGCCACACAAUUGGCCUCGUGUGGUUACUAACCCUUUUCUUUUAACUGAGUCAAGACAAGAAUUGUAAAUUCUCAUAAUGAUAUUCUAUAUAAACUUGUUUUCUAUACCUCCCUUGUAAUCCUUCAUUCACACUUUCAUCACUUGGUAUUGACAUCCCUUAUCCAUAUCUCCUAUAUUCAUCUAAAUCUUCACUCACUUUCUCUUUAGCCUUUAACAAGGCUUAAUCUCUCAUCUCCUUUAUUUCUUAGGAUUUGACUUUAGUCAACAUAUUAUCCAUUUUAAUACUUCGCUUAGUAUCUUAUCUCAAUAUAGCCAUCUCAAGAAUCUUUCAAUUUCUCUUUUGCUUAUUAUAUGCAUUAAGCCGAGUCAAUAUUUUCAAACUCAUUUUAUCUUUCAACUUUCAUCAUCAUUCGUGAAAUCUCACCUUAAAGCAUCCUUUCCAUACAAUGUAAUGAAUUCACGAUACAUAUAUCACCCCACACAUAAUUGGCUCAUUGUCUACAACAUUCCUCAAAUUUAUUGUCAUCCAUAUCUAAUUAUCUUCCUUAUCUUGUACUCCAAUAGUUUAUUGACUUUCAGUAUAAAUAACUACGAAAACAGUUCAGCUUCCUCCUCACUUUAUUCUCACAAUCCUUAUUAAAUCAAAAUUUCAUAUUUUCCAUGCUCCAUAAUUUAACUUCAUUGGGCUAUAUUUGUGCCCAUUUAUUACCUCAUAGUGUCAUGGCAUCACUUGGUAAUCCCUUUCAUGUUUAAAUUACAAUCAUCAACUUAAUCACGUUAUCCAUUCCAAAUGUCAUUUAUAACCUUAUUGAUUCUUCCCAUAACCUUUCUCGAUAAUUAUAUUACCAAUUUACCUUUGUCAUACCAAAAGAUUCCCAUACACAUCCAAUUAUUUAAACAGCUACUUUAUAUUUCGUUUGAGUCAUACAAAACAAAAGCCACUCCUAACUCCUUUGUACAGAUAACUACUACAUUUUCCCUUAAACGACACUUGCCUAGAUUUAUGGUGAUACGAACUUCAAUAAAGGUAUUAAGUAUCUUCAAGAUUCUCGUCGCCUUGAUCCGAGCACAUCGACGGACCCUCUUCCGGGUCCUCCUCUUCCUCUUGAGAUUUCCUCCUUUGUUCCUCAAUCCAAGCUUGCUAUAUUCUCUUGUAUUCUUCAACACUCACAGGUGCGGCACCUAUUCCACAUCCAAGAGGAAAGUGACGAACACUUAACACCUUCCUAGGACGGAUAUCUCCCCUUGCAAUUGCCUUCCUCAUGCAUUCUCUUUCCCACUCCUCAGAUUAUUUCAAAAGAAAAUUUCUUACAGUUUUUGAAGUGUCGGAGCUAUCCUCACUUUCAAGACUCUCACUACUCUCAAAGCUUUCCUUAUUACGAAACCAUUCUGCUAAAUUCGAAGGAAUCCUGUUAAUAGGAAUUCGGGAUGGACCACUUUUUGAAUUACUUAGAUCAGGGCGCUUGUCAAGCCCAGCUCGACAAUAUGUUUAUUAUGUCAUUCCUACAUAAAAAUGUAUGUUUGCUUACUUGGGUACCUUGGAAAUCGUUAAAGGAUGGUAUUGUACCAAAUAGUACAAUUAAGUUAAAUUAAGCCUUGAACUAGUCCAAAUAGAGAUUUUAAGAUGAAAUUAAGAAUUUUAAAACCCCAGAAUGACUUAAAAUGGUGAUUCGGAGUUCGAGAACCGAUUUGGAGUCAAAUUGGAAUUUUCAUGAUCCAAGGGUAAAAUGGUCAUUUUGGUACCCGAGGUUCAAAUCUGAGUGUUGGCUGAAAUUUUGACUAAGAUUGAUCAUUUGGAGUAUAAUUUGAGUUUGAGAAGUGAAAAAUUUUAAUUCAGACAUUUUUUUGAGCAUAAGGGUAAAACAGUCAUUUUGUCAUCGCAAGGGCAAAAUUAUAAUUUUACACCACCUAACACUUGUCCAGCAUAUGGAUUUUACCCAAUAUUAUCAUGGAUAAUUGAGGAAAUUUAAGUGGUGGAGAGAGAUUGCUUAAUGGGUAAGUAUGACACAUGGACCAAUGGAAUGGUGACAUGUGUCAAAUUCUCAUCCAUUUAUUAUUUGGCUGAAAAAUCAGCAUAAAAUCAGCCCAUUUCUCUACAUAUGGCCGGCCAAAGCAAGAACAAAGGAAGAAAAGAAAGAACAAGAAACCUAGGGUGAAAAUUCAAGAGAAAAUUGGUGGAUUUCAAGUAAUCAAGCAAUCAAAGGUAAAAAUUUCUUGCUUUUGACUUGUGAUCUACCUUUCCCAUACAUUCUUUUGCAUUUUCUGUGGUUGAAUCACAUGAUUUCAUGAUGGGUAUCUUGCUGGCUGAACACUUAGAGAGAGGUUUUGAUGCUUGAUUUGGUUAGAUUUUAAGAUAUUUUAGUGUUUUUAGUUGAUUAGUGAUGUGUAGCAUGAAAAUCAAGCAAGAAAAAUUCAUGUUCUUCCAUCACCCAUCAUUGGCCGAAUUCUCCAUGUGGAAUAUUGAGGAUGAUUUUGAUUUUAUUUCAAGUGAUUUGGUUAGGAAUUAGUGAUUUAUGGUGUGAGAAUCAAGUAGGAAAAAUUAUAAUGUUGAUGCACCCACCAUGGUCGAAUUUCCCAAGAGAAAAUGUGAGGAUGAUUUUGUCAUAUUUCAAGUUAUUUAAUUUGCGUUUGAUGAUUUGGAGAAUUGGAAGAAAAAUGGAAUUAUUUGGAGUUAAAUUGGACAUAUUGGCCAAUUAAUCGAGUGAUAGAUCGAAUUAGGCCAAUAUCGUUUUAUUUAGGUACACAAUUGAAUUUGUGUAGAGCACCGUGUUUAGACGAUAAUCCAAACAAUUUACAUCCCAUUUCAUGCAUUAGUAUAGAGCCUUAAUUGGUUUUAUAACAAUUUAGCACAAAUGUAGUAAAUGGCUUAUUGUGCAUUAUGUCUAGGUGGUGAGCAUUCUGGCAAAAGUAAAGAGAUAGUACCCGAGGAUCAAGAAUCGGAGUACUCUGAAUUCGACUCCCGAAAUAGUGAGUAACCUUACUAUCGUCUUAACUAUCUAAAGUGGUUUUUAUCCAAUUUUAUGAUUUUAUGAAAAAUAAGUUUAAAUGGUAAAUCUUUAUGUUUUAUAAACAAAAUGUGUUUAAAUGAAAUGAUUUUAUAAAUUAUCUUGAAAUUGAAUGAUGGCUUUGAAAAUAGAGUAAUUGGAGACCAUUUGAUGAAUUGUGAAUUUAUGGUUCUAAUUGAUUGGCUUAUGGCAAUAUUGGCAUGAAUGGCUGAAUUGGUAUUUGUGCUGAAAAUGUAUAAACUGUUGUUUGCCUUGAUAGGCUGGAUAAUGAUAAAAUUGCCAUGUCAUGCUGUUAAAUUUUAUUGAAUUGGUGGGUUAUUGAUUAGUCGCUGUAGUGAACGGGUUCCGUGGACCAGCCUAUUAGAGGGGGCACGAUAACCCUAUUAUAUUCAUACCUUAGUAUGAGAGGCGUGGAUGGAAAACUCCUAAGGUUAACACUUUAGAGUUCACUUCACGCCAAACCACCACGUGAGGGUGAACUCAGCCAAUGCUAAGGAACAGCUAUGUUUUAAAAAUAAAAACAUGAUUUAUGCGUACAUAACUUUUUAACAGCCUUGACGGACUCAGUUGGGAUAGUCCUCGGCCAAGGUAUCCCUGAUAACUGAGUAUGAGAAUGAUUUUGGCAUGAGCCAAAAUUUUAAGAAAUUCAUAAGCCAUGUUGAUUACUCGAUUUAUAUGAAUUGAUUUUAUUUGGUUGAAAUGAGUUGAAAGGUGAUGAAUUACAGUAUGUUAAACUAUUUUAUCUGUCUCCAUUUACUCAGCUUUAGAUAUUUUAGAUGGUAUUUGUUUACUCACUAGGAUUAUAUAAUCUCACCACCCUCAUUUUCACCCAUUUCAGGCUCAAGAUAGUUGGUAGAUAGCUCAUUUCGUUGAGGGCUAUAGUUGGACUUGCAUCCUAAAAAACUGUAGGUUCAUAGCUUUCAUGACUUUUGGUCGUUCGUGGGCUUACAUGUCACUGUAAAUUAAAUUUUAUACUUUGGUUAUUUGUAUUACAGUAUGCAUGAAUUUAUUUAGCUUUUAUGUUACAAAAAUUAUUUAUCAGUAACUCUAUAAAUAUUGUUUUAUAAGAAAAUAGAAUAUUUUAUUGAAUAUUUUUAUUAUAUUCAAAUAAUUAUAGUUUCACUUUAAACGAAUGUUUUAGACAUCUAAACCUAUUUUUGAUUAUGAAAUAUGUGUUUUCCACUCGCAUACUACAUUUUUAGCUGGUUUCGAAACUUUUCAAAAAAAUGACCAAAAUACCCAUGUGAGAAAAAAAUUAUUUUUCUAUUGUUUUGAGUUGGAAAUAGUUUAUAAUCUCUCAAAACAUGAUACUUAAUAACUGUUGCUCACAAGGGAGGUGCGAAAACCGAUAUUAAAGCCUUGUGAGGUUCCAAUUGGCAUUCUGAGCAAUGAAUGUCUAUCGGGAUAUCGCGGCGGUUGUCAUGGGCUCUAGGCGAGUACCGGGUCGUGACAGCGCCAUUGGCUCCUAGUAGUGGAAUCUAAUGAUCCCUCACUAGCACUCUGAGUGGCAUCGAGACUACCACCUCUCCUAGACAUGGCGCGUACGAUAGGCACACCUCCAAACCUAUAAGAAACCAAAUAUAAAUUAUUUAGCCAUCUAGAUAUCGUAAGAACAAGUAGGUUUCUAAUGAAAUAGGGGCCCAUGUAGUCUAAGGACAAGACUACACAAACUCCAACAACUCCAACAACUCCGCUGACCACACAGGAAUCCCUAGGACUCAACUAAACCUAGGGCUUUGAUACAAACAUUGUAACGACCCUUCCUCGGUCGCUACUGGCGUUCGAGACCUUCGAAAUAUCUCGUCAAGUCCCAAACAAGCCUUAAUGAAAUUUCUCAAUAACUCAUUGUACACUUUUACUAAACCAUAUUAAUGUUUGAACCAUAUAUGUUCAUAACGUGAAUUCAACAACAAGCAUAGCCAUUAAAAUUUGACUUUAAGUCAUGAUAUCACAAUUAAAUACAUUGAGUUCAAAAAAAUCCCAAAUUUUGUUUUUGUCAAAACUAAUAUUUGUUUACAUAGUAAAACCAAGUACUACAAUUCAACUUCUAAUAGCGGAGCGACUUAGGAUAAAAUGCUAUGAGAUUCCUUUACCUAUCUGCGAUAGACUGUAUGCACUGACGAUUACACGCUAGACCAAUCCCUGUUUGUAAAAAAUGGAAAAAGAAGGGUGUGAGUCUCAUAGACUCAGUGAUCAUCGACUCCGUGAGCAGAGCAUAGAUGGGAAACAAGUAAAUAGCAAAUCAGUUGAAUGUUAAAAUGCAGGAUUAUAAAAACAAUUUAUUUCAAAUAGGAGUUUGUGCCUUAUGUGAAAUACCGAGGAAUUUUUACAUAUUAUAAACACUUCAAUUGGUAAAUCAACCAAGGUAGAUAAAAAUUUUCGCUACAAAACAGAUCAAUAACCUUAUUCAGGUCAAUCAUUUGAAAUAUUGAAUUACAACAAUUUUACAUAAAGAAAAUUCCAUCGUCAAAAUCAAUUGACAUUUUAUUCAAAUCAAAUCAAUGUAUUCGGCAAUCUCUCAUGAAAUCGAAUGUUAAUCAAACUCAUAAGUAAAUCACAACUCACCUCGCACUUGAGGAGUUAAAAUUCAUUUCACCGUAAAAAUAAGGGGAGCUAUAGAAAAACCUUUAAAUUUCGUUUUCACCAUGCAAGGAAAUAUGAGUUUGUAACCCAUAGAUGUCACUCUCGAGUAAGGAAUGAAAGUAAACCCAUGGUCCCGCUACCACGUAAUAACAUCCGAGAGCAUUGCUUCCACUGGAUUCCCAUGUGUCAUGGCAGUCUCACGAUGUUGGCCGACAUCGGAGAAUCAAGCAGUCGCAACGCAUAAUCAUCUGGUGGCCUAGCCACUCAUACAUAUAUCACAGGUCGUCGCCCCGACCACGCCUAACCGCCCGUCGGUGACCCAAUGGUUCUCUAGCUAGAGCUCACUCGUGCACGAGGGUCACACUUAACCGAUGUGAUAUCUGGCCUACUCUCGACGCUCUCGGUUUGUAAAACCAUUUUGCAAUUGUGUUAUGUCUUUAAAAGCUCAUCUCAAAAUUAUUUUCCAAAGCAUUCGUCACAAGGUAUGAUAAAAUCUAUCAUUUUCGCAAAAUAUAUUUAUACAUGAAUUUCAUAACAAUAAUUUGCAUGGUGAAUAAGCGAUAUAACCAUGAAUGCAGACUGCACAUAUAUAUAAGGCACAUUUUGAUGCAAAAUAGUGUGAAGGGCUUGCUUCCCGAUUUUUAAAACACUUUACAUAUAAUUUAUACAUAUAUAUAUAUUCAAAACAAUUUCUAAACAUAAUUUGCAAUUAUAAUUUCCUAAGAUUGCUACCAACACAUGCUAUCCACAAUUUUCAUGUUUAAAAUAAAUCAUACGUAUAGAUAUAUAUUUAUGGAAAGUUUAAAAUUGGCACCCCCUACUCACCACACAAUAGCAGGAUGUUACGUCGCUAUUAAUUCAAAGACGUAUCGAGCUAAUUUUUUUUAACGAUCGUUCGUUAUUUCCUUUAGUUAAAAUAUUGAAACCCACUUAAUUAAUAUAUCUAUAUAUAUUAUUUUAUUCUAGCAUCAUUAUUAUAUAUAUAUAUUUUUUCUUUUCUUUUCUUUUCUUUUCCUUUCUUUCUCUUUCUCCUUUCUCCCGCCGGUCAGCAGCACCUUGCUUGUCUUUCUUUUUCCUUUCUUACAUGCACAAGCUGGCCACAACUUCUUUCUCUCUCUCCCUCUCACCGCCGGCAACAAUUUCUUGCUUCUUUUAACCAAAAAUUUUCAGCAACCAAAGCUGCUCAGAUCAACAUCAAAAUCAGCAGCCAAGCUGCUCUAUUUUUUUUCUCAAAAAUCAGUAGCCAAGCUGCUCUAUUUUUUCUCAAAAAUCAGCAGCCAAGCUGCUCUAUUUUUUUCCUCAAAAAUCAGCAGCCAAGCUGCUCUAUUUUCCUUAAAAAUCAGCAGCUAAGCUACUUUAUUUUUCCUUAAAAAUCAGCAGCUAAGCUGCAUUAUUCUCCCUCCAAAAAUCAUCAACUAAGCUGCUCCUUUCCUCCCUCUAAACUCAGCAACCAAAGCUUCAAAGAUCAGCAACCAAAAUCGCACCUUCAGCCUUCAAAAUCAGCUCGUUCUCCUCUCCCUUUCUUUCUCACCAUUCGGCUUUCUCUUCUUUUCUUUUUGCUCUUUUUGUUCUCCUUUUGCUCUCUUAUGCCCAACGCCUUCUUCUUGUUUCUUUUUCUUCUUUUCCACUAACCGACUUCUCUCUUUCUUCUUCUUUACUUUAUUUAUUUACUUAUUUUUAUAUUUUUUUUCUCCAUUUGUCUUCCAAUUUGGUCGGCCCCCCCCCAUCUUUCUUUCUUUCUUUCUUCACCUUGUUCUACAUGGUCGGCCCCCCUUCCAUCAUAUAAAAUAAAGAGUUUUUGACUCUUUUUAUUGACCACAUGGGCGGCUGCCCAUGUUGGUCUUUCUUUAUUUAUUUAUUUUUUAUAUACAUACUUGUAUUAUUAUUUUACUAUUUGUUUAUUUUAUUUCUUCCAUUUAAUUCCACUACAUAAUCCUUCAACCCUUAUAUUUUAAAUUCGAUCCUUUUGAUACGUCUAAAAAUUUCAAUUUUCAUCUAUCUUUCUUCCUCUGUACGUGUACCACCAAAAUAUCAAAAUUGCACUUCAACGCGGUAUUACCAUAAUAUUUAAAUAUUUACUCCUCCGCGUUGGCUCGACUUAGCAAAACACGCGUAUUUCACUUUCGUCGUUCAUCUGCAAAAACUUAUUUGUAUUUCUUCUCACCCACUUGGAUCAACCAUAUGAUCCUUCUUCAUGACUGAUUUUGAUUUCAACAUCCGGUUAAAUAUUAAUAUUCUUAUAUUAUUUUAUUAAUAAAAUAUUAUUUUAUUCUAAAAAUUUUCUCUUGUCUCCUUGGUAACUAAAAUACCUUAUUAUGCCUCAAUUGACUUCCGAAUCACCUUUUAUCUCACAAAUUCUCUUUCGAUAAAAAUAUUAUUAUUUUAUUGAUAUUUCUUCGCGUGUGGAAUAUUUUAUCCUAAACAAUUCCUUUCAUCUUUCAUCACUUUUAAACAUUAUAAUUGGCCUCAAUUCACAUCCGAUAAGCUUUAUUUGUCACCAUAUCAAAGUAUAGGGUAUUACAAGAACUUUCCCCAAGACAAUCAUCACCUCUCCGAGACCCCUCUCAGUUUCCUCUCAACCCUUUCUACAGCACUGAAUCAUCACCCUCUGACACAUCAGAUGAAUAGAAGCCCUUCCUUUUGAUGCUGACAAAAAGGGGGAGUAGAAUAGAAUGGGUGCAGGAACCAAGAACUGAAAGAAUAACAUUAUUUAAAAAAAAUGUUAGGGUAAAGCUGUCACGACCUAAAUUUCGGGCCAUGACCGGUGCAUGGGCCCAAUGGAUGUAGUCCACUUAGCCCAAGUAAGCCUACUUAUAUUACCUGGUUAUCAUUUCAUCCCACAAGUUACUAAAGUCAUAAUUCAAAAUCUCAAUUCGAAAUGAUGAAAACCAUUGCCAACUCGUACUAGCAUUACUCAUUAAAAUAUACACAUAUUGUCUAUAGUAUGUAUUAUAAUAAUUAACAUCAGAUUUGUCUAUACAUGUAAAAAGGAGACUCGAUGUCCAGUGGAGAAACUUGACAAAUGUACAGCUACUGAAUGUCGAGACACCUACCAAAUGUCAAGUCUACAAAGGCACCUCGACCUAGUUAACGACUACCUCCUAAUCUGAAAACAUGAAGUUGAAAACGGUGAGUAUAAACCCAGUGAGUGAACAAGGAAGGGAACAAGCAAACAAUAAGGAAGGUAUAAAGAAAAUCAUGAUGCAUUUAUCUUUAAAACAAUGCAAUUUAGUUUAGCUCUUAUCAACACCCUUUAUGUAAUCCCCAAAAGAGUAAAUCACUUGAUAAAAAAGGUCUAUGCUUAACAAAGGAUUUGAAGAGCGAAAAUUUUAAUAGCAUUCAUGCAAUUCAAGUCAAGUAAACUAUGGGUUCUUGCUGCAGUGGAAAGGCAUUCUCGCUGCAGCGAGAUUCCGACCCGCAUUACCCCUCCAAAUCUAAGAGUUUCUCGCUAUAGCGAGAAUAAAUCUCACUGCAGCGAGAAACAGAGCACCAUGAAAAAAAAAUUUCCUUUCUUUCAAGAAAAAGCCAUCCUGCUAAAAUAACAAAAAAAUCAACAUGAAAUGCAUAAUAAUUCCCAAAGUUUGACAUGUCAAGUUUCACAUGCAUUUCAAUCAUAUGCCAUAUUCAUAAGCUUUUAUUUCAUAAACAUAUAUAUACAUAAGUACAUAGAUAAACACCAAUGUCAACAUCAUCACACCCAGCUCAUGUGCAUCCCCCCACAUCAUGCACAUAGUCGGAGUCAUCGUGUGCAUCCCCCCACAUCAUGCACAAUUAGUGCCAUCGUGUACAUCCCCCCACAUUGUGCACACGGGCACUAUCAUCAUCCACUUCCCUCACCACGCCAUCACCAGCAUGUGCAUCCCCCCACAUCGUGCACACACAUGGUUAUAAUCAUCACACAUAUCAACUAUCAUGCACAACAUAUAUAUAUAUCUACAAAUAUAGCAACAUAAUGUAGUAGUGCGUGAAUCCAUAACGGCCACAUGUCACAACAUUGAGUCAAUUAUCAAGAGCUUGUUCUCGGGUAAAUUUUAGAGCAAAAACAGAUAAAAUUCCCAAACGAUUCAUUAACACAUGUGAGCAUUUUCCUAAAACAUUUUGAAAUGCACGUUCACUCACCGGUAUUAGUUGAGCCUUUAGUCGACUCUAACUUCCCUAAUGGUCCAAUUGGAGCUGUGGAACUUCGUUAUAACCUAUCAUUACAUUAGCAUCACCAAUUUAUCAAUUCACAUACUUAUAAGGUCUAAAAGCUUUCUCUUAGCUAGCUUCCACUUGCCAUUUAAAUGGCUAUCUAUUUUCACUACCCUAAUCACUCUAAAAUGAGUGGAUAACCUCAACUGCAAAUAUUCACAAUUCCCUAAAAUAUCUACCAGCACAUGCUAUCCAUAAUUUUUGCAAUUAAAAUAAAUCAUACUUAUAGGUAUAUAUUUAUGAAAAUCUUUAAAAUUGACACCCUUUCCUCACCUUGGUAGCUUGAAACUUUGAAAUUCUUUCCAAUAAAUUUUUCCAAGCUAUUAUGGGAGCUUUCUCUCUCUUUCUCUCUCUAAACACCUAGCUAGUGAGCAAAAGUAUGAAAGUGGGAUUUUUUAAGGGUUUUAAAGUGAGAGAGUGAAAGAGCACAAGGAUUUCAUGAAAAGAUGCACCGAGGCAUGAAAGUUAGAGCUAGAGAGAGAAAGUUAUGAAGUUUUCAUACCAUGCUUCCAUGGAAGUGAAACAAAUGUGAGAUGGAAGGAGGAAAAAGAAGAAGCUACUAGAAAUUGAAGAAGCUGCUGGAAGGAGAAGAUAUUUAUAGCUCAUACUUAUCCAACUCCCCUUGAAAUUACGAAAAUGCCCUUUAGCAAGUUAACUUGUUCUUGUCCAAUCUUUUGUGUAAUUUUUUUAUUCUUUUGACACUGGGACAAUGUCCACAAUGAUCUAAACUACUCGGGUUUAUGAAAACUUAAAAUUUUGACUUGAGGUGUAAAAUGACCAUUUUGCCCCUAUUGUGAAAAUUAUCGAAACUUCUAGUUUUCUUCUUGUUUUCAUCAUUACACAUUAUUUAUUCGAUCUUAUGCCUAUUUAGACCUUAAAAUAUCAUAAAACCUUCUUCUGGGAGCUUUUUAAAGGAAAUGAUGAAACUACCCCUAGCUCGUGUUAUUGCGUCUAUUCGUAGUUAUGAGCCUAUAGGAGUUGAGGUUUCACAAGAGGAACCAAGAAGGAACCUAGGAAAGGAAAGAAGACAUAGGAAGCAAAAAUAGUCUAGGGGUAGUUUCAGAAUACUUGUUGGUUAACUGUUAUUUGUGCCAUGGUGGCACUUGAACACUUGGUUUUAAUCUUGUUAUCUAUAUGGUUGUUUAACAGAUGGAUGUUGAUAUGAUUAUGAUGCUUGACUGCUGGAAAUUGAAAUCUACUAUCCUUGGUAUUUUUACUACUGUUGACAAAAUCUACUACUGCAUUGAUAUUGAAUUAUAUGCUGAUAAUUGAUUUUUUUGUUGUGGCAUUGUGAAUAAUUUUUGUUUGAAAAUAGAUAUAGAUGGUGUAUAUAACAUAUCAAUUGAAACAUGAAUAAUGUAUACAAAAUCUAGAAUCAAUAAGCUGAUUUAAAGCUAUUGGAAUAGUGAUUAAAAUCUGUCAACAUUUAAAGCUGAAAGAUUAAUGAUGAUCUACCAAUACUUACAUGUUGCAAAUCACUCCAUGUUGCUGAACAUAUAUAUACUCUAAAUAUACAAUAUCAUUUUCUAUAUGAUGAGAAUAAAACUGACUGAAAUAAAAUAAGCAAAAUAUGCACAGACUAAAGGGGAGCUUAUACUUAGGGGGAGCAAUCCUCAAUUCUUGCAGAAAACCAAAAAGAAUUUAAAAUGACACCAUGCUGUUAAUCAAGGAGUGUUUUGUCAUCAUCAAAAAGGGGGAGACUAUUGGCUCCAUUAGUUUUUGAUGAUAAUAAAACAUUCCCAUUUAUUUAUGUCUAAUACCUUUACUAGAGUGUGCAGGAAAUUAAUAUAUGAAAUUAAUUUCUUGACUCUUCAAAGAGUAUUUUUGAAAGAAAAAUAGGGAUAAAAUCAUUAAGAUGUAACUAAAUAACAAGGAGGAAGCUUAUUGGUGAAACAAGGAAGAACAUUGGUUGACCAAAUUUCAAAUUGGAGAAAUGACGGGCUGAAGAGUUUAAGAAACAUAAUCAAUUUAGUCAACCAAGUCAGUUAACGAAGUACUCUCUGCCAGAAUCUGCAAACUAGAAACAAAACCAACUUAGUGAACCAAGUCAGUCGACUAAGAGCUCUCUGUCUGUAAAUUAAACCAAAGCACUACAAGAUAGAUUAACGGCUAGAACUCAUCCUCAACUGUUUCCAACAAAUAUAAACUGCCAAACUGCCAUCAGAGUUGCAUCUCCAAGUAUAAAAGAGUCUUCCAACAAUAACAAAGAAGUUUUUUGAAGCCUUAAAUGAGAUUUAAGCUAUGGAAAGUAGAAAAACUAGAACAGCUUCACUACACUUGUCUGCACUUAAACGCCUACUCUUUGCAUUUAUAUUUAGCACUCAAUCUUGUACUAUCUAGAUCAAGUAAGUGAUCAUAAAUACUUCUUUAUUGCUUCUCUUGUAUUCUUAGAGUGAGGGAGUCACUCUAAGGGGUUGUUCAAGCUUGGGAUAGCUUGAUUGUUAAAGGUUGUGGUUGAGCCUUGGAAAACCAUAUUGGGUUUUAGUUGAGCCCAUGAAAAACUAGUGUAAAAGGUUUUUGGUUGAGCCUGGUAAAAGCCAUUGUAAAGCUUGGUGAAAGCUUCUGAAUUUCACCAGUCUGUAGUGGAUUUGUGGGAAACUCCUUGGUUGGAUAAUCAAGGUAGUGGAUGUAGGUCUUAGAUUGAACCACUCUAAAUUACUAUGCAUUUUAUACUCUAUUUUUGUUUUCUUAAGUUCUGAAAAUUAGUUUCCAAUCUUGUCAAGAGCCAAAUUGUGCUAUUCACCCCCCUCUAGCACAUAUUAUCGGGACCAACAAUAUAUUAAUUUAUCUAUAAUCUUAUGAAUGAUUAGAAAUCAAAAUCUAUGUUUUUCUUGUUUAAAACCAAUUUUAAUUGAAUGUUUGCAUAUGGAAACGUGAAGUGGAUGCUAUAAUUGAUAAGAAAAGAUCAUUUUAAAUAAACCAUGCCUUUGAAAGCUUUGUUACUCGCUUUAAAUGAUAUAUUAACUCAUUUAUAAUCUUAUAAAUGAUUAUAAAUCAAAAUCUUGUGACUUUAUGCUUAAACCCUAUCAUAAUUGGAUGAUUGUAUUAGGAAAUGUGAAAUGGCUGCUAUCCAUUGACAAGAAAAGACUAUUUUAAGUUAGUCAUGCAAUCAAAAGCUUUGUUAUUCGCUCUAAAUGAUAUAGUAGUUCAUUUAAAAUCUUAUAUAUGAUUAUAAAUCAAAAUCUUUGUUGUUGUUGUUAAAACCUAUCAUAUUUGGAUGUUCGCUUUUGGAAACAUGAAGUGGAUGCUAUCUAAUGACAAAAAAAGACCAUUUUAUUUAAAAAUGCCAUCGAAAGCUUUAUCACUUGCUUUAAAUGACAUAUUGGUUUAUUUAUAAUCUUAUAAAUGGUUAUAAAUCAAAAUCAAUGUUUUUCUUAUUUAAAACCUAUCAUAAUUAGAUGUUUGCAUUCAGAAACGUAAAGUGGAUGCUAUAUAUUGAUAAGAAAAGAUCAUUUUAAGUUAAUCAUGCAUCAAAAGCUUUGUUACUUGUUGUAGAUGAUAUAUUAAUUCAUAUAUAAUCUUAUAAAUGGUUAAAAACCCAAAUCUUUGUGGUUGUAAGAUAAAAUCUAUCAUAAUUGGAAUUUUGCAUUAGGAAAUUGAAGUGAAUGCUCUCAAUUGACAAGCAAAGACCAUUUGAAGUUAAUGAUGCCAUCGAAAGCUUUGUUACUCACUUUAAAACAUAUAUCAAUUCAUUUAUAAUAUUAUAAAUAAUUGUAAAUCAAAAUCUUUGCACUUUAUAUUUAAAAGCUAUCAUAAUUGGAUGCUUGUAUUGGGAAACGUUAAGUGCAUGUUAUCCAUUGGCAACAGAAGAAAUUUUAAGUUAAUGAUGCCAUCGAAAGCUUUGUUACUUGCUGUAAAUGAUAUAUUAAUUCAUUUAUAAUCUUAUAAAUGGUUAUAAAUCAAAAUCAAUGUUUUUCUUGGUUAAAACCUAUUAUAAUUGGGUUUUUCUAUUGGGAGACAUUAAGUGGACGCUAUCCAUUCAUAGUAAAAUACCAUUUUAAGUUAAUCACGCCAUCAAAUGCUUUGUUUCUUGCUUUAAAUGAUAUUUUAGUUCAUUAAUAAACUUAAAAAUGAUUAUAAAUCAAAAUCUAUGUUUUGCAUGGUUAAAUCCUAUCAUAAUUGGAUGUUUGCAUUAAGAUACGUUAAAUGGAUGCUAUCCAUUGACAAGAAAAGGCCAUUUUAAGGUAAUCAUGCCAUCAAAAGCUUUGUUACUUGCUUUAAAUGAUAUAUUAAUUUAUUUAUAAUCUUUUGAAUGAUUAUAAAUUGAAAUCUAUGUUUUGCUUGUUUAAAACCAAUUAUAAUUAAAUGUUUGCAUUGGGAAAAAUGAAGUGGAUGCUAUCCAUUGACAAGAAAAGAACAUUUUAAGUAAAUCAUGCCAGCAAAAGCUUUGUUAGUCACUUUAAAGUGAUAUAGUAAUUCUUUUAUAAUCUUAUAAAUGAUUAGAGAUCGAAAUCUUUGUUGUUGUUGCUUAAAACCUAUCAUAAUUGGAUAUUUGUAAUGUGAAACGUGAAGUGGAUGCUAUCCAAUGGCAACAAAAGACAAUUUUAAGUUAAGGAUGCCAUCAAAAGAUUUGUUACUUGCAAUAAAUGAUAUAUUAAUUAAUUUAUAACCUUAUAAAUGGUUAUAAAUCAAAAUUAGUGUUUUUCUUGGUUAAAACCUAUCAUAAUUGGAUGUUUGCAUUGGGAAACAUUAAGUGGAUGCUUUCCAUUGAUAGGGAAAUACCAUUUUAAGUUAAUGGAUGCAAUCCAUUAAAAAGAAAAAGACCAUUUAAAUUAAUCAUGCCAUAGAAAGCUUUGUUACUAACUUUAAAUGAUUUAUUAGUUCCUUUAUAACCUUAUAUGUAACACCCGACCCUAAAUUAUCUGUGAUAUAUCAUUCACAUGUUUUGGAUAGCAUGUUUGUAUAUUAAAUUUGUAAAAACCGACCUUAUAAAUACAUGUCAUGACAUACAUGCAUUGAGUAGCAAGUUAUUACGCUAGAAAAGCACCUAAGAAUAGACGAAACUUGAUAUUGUACCUAACGGUACACUUAAAUUGAUUUAACCUCGAACUAGUUCNNNNNNNNNNNNNNNNNNNNNNNNNNNNNNNNNNNNNNNNNNNNNNNNNNNNNNNNNNNNNNNNNNNNNNNNNNNNNNNNNNNNNNNNNNNNNNNNNNNNGAAAUAGUGGGCAAAAAGCAUGAAAUUUAGAGCUAAAGAGAGAAAGUUAUGGAAGUUGCAAAGCAAGCUUCCAUGGAGGAUGGAAGCAACAUGAGAUGGAAGAAGAAGAAGGAGAAGAAGCUACUGGAGAAUGAAGAAGCUGCUGGAAGAAAAAGAUAUUUAUAGCUCAAGCUUAUCCAUUCCACUUGAAAUUACAAAAAUGCCCUUAGCACAUUAACUUGUUCUCCUUCAAUCCUUUGUGCAAUCAUUUUACUCUUUUUAUACCAAGACAAGGUCCAUAAUAGUCUAAACAUGCUCGAGUCUACAAAAACUUAAAAAUUUGACCCGGGGUGCAAAAUGACCAUUUUACUCCUAUUAUGAAAAUUAUUGUCACUUCAAGUUUUCUUCGUGUUUUCAUCAUUACACAUCAUUUAUUCAUUCCUUAGGCCUAUUUAGACCUUAAUAGCAUCAAAAACCCCACUCGUAGGAGCUCACCAAGAGAAAUUAUGAAAUUACCCCUAGUUCGUAUUUCGCGUCUACUUCUAGUUGCGUGUUUAUAGAGGUCGAGAUUUCACGGGUUCACUUCUAAAUUAUCUUUUUAACUCAGUAAUCAACUUCAAUUGGUAUCCGUAAACUUUAGUGGCCACUGUAUCAAAAUACAAGGUACUAUAGUCUCCUCCACUUAAAAUGAAUUCGUCCUCGAAUUGAAAUCGAUGUAGGGUGAAUAAUCAAAGUUCUAAAAUUCUACCGCAUCACUUUUGUCAAGCAUUCUUAACAUAAAAUCUUGGUUCAUGCAUCAUAUCAACUUCCAAUCUUAUAGAAAACUCGACAAUGUCAUAGUAUAUAGUUAUGUGUACUACUCUUGUUGGAUCAAAACAUAUCAUCCAUCAUCUUAUGAAGAGAAUUAAAAUAAAUUAUUAAUUUUGGUCACACCUCAAUCAAAUCAUCCUUAAAUCAUUAAUUAUGCAUGUUUACUUAACCAUCCACAAUUCCUCUACCUUGACCUUUUAUCAAACUUUCCAACAUUCAAGCAUUUAUUCCACCAUUGACUGUGGGUCUAAAUCAUCAACCAACGUCUAUUCCGUUUUACAUACCUCCAUACAAAUCCCAUUUGAGCAUUUCAUAAUAUGUACGAAUCAAACACUCUUUAUUUAUUCAUAUAUGUUUAACAUCACGGAUGACUCAAAUCCGGUAACCAUUAGUAACCAUAUUCCUAAAAACAAAACUCCAGUAUCUUCAUGAUCGAGUACUUACUAAGUAGAUCUCGACUCUUACCACAAUAUAUUUCAAUAAAUAACGAUACCUUUGAACGCAUCCUUAUGGACUUAACCAAUCUUUAUAAUUCCUAGGUCAUAACCAAAUUUUUAGUUAUAUGUCACAUACAAACAUAUCUAACUUGAGAUUCCUCAAAUUUACUUCAAAUGCCAAAUCUCACGGCCUCAUUAGUUUAUCCAUCCGAGGAUGAAAUUAGAUGCUUGUUUCUCCUUAAGUGUACUUUAAAAUCAAAGAAUCAUCUAUUAAGACCUUUUUGAUAUUAACUCCCUUAGCCUUUUUACGUUAGAAAAUUAAAUCUAUAAUCAUUCAUUCUCAAUCAUGGGCUUUAUGCUAAACAAGGCAGAUUUUAAACUUUAAAUUACAUGAAUUCAAAUGCACACCUUUACAUAUAAGCUAUAAAUUUUUACACAAAUCUCCUUAAGUCAAAACCUUAUAUUGAAGCUAUACCAGCACUCAUACGUUCUAUUCCAUUAGCCUUUAGAGAAUUAAAUCUAUGGCAUACUUCUUUAUUUGUGUGCUUCAUAGUAACCUAACAAUUUCUAGCUCACAGUAAAGCAAGUUCAUAUGCCAAGCCUUUCAGGCUCUAUCAAAACACCAAUUUUUAUCAUGAUAUAAUAGAAUUUGACGAACUCAUACCAAAAGUAUAGACACUUACUUUUAAGCUAACAACAUUAUAAUCUACUUUUUCACUGCCAAAAUCAGCGAUAAAUUGUCUUAAUCAUUGUCUAGCACUAUAACCAUUGAUAGAAUAUCAUCAUUGAAUCAAAUUAUAACUAACUCCACAUGAGCUUUUAUACCAAUAUGCAACAUAUAUAUCUAUACAUAUAUAUUUGCAAAAAUUUUAACUUCGAAUAGCCUUAGGCAUAUCAAGCUCAAGAAGCCAUUUGUAAAACCAAAAUAACCAAUAAUCAAGCUUAGAAUCAUUUCUUCUCUUGGUUGGUUAGAUCAUGAUCAUCAUUUGUAGUGAAUACACAAAGUUCAUUUCAAUAUUCCAUUCUCAUACAAGAGUCAACCACUAAUUGGCACCAUCUUUAAACACCAUGUGUUUUAUAAGUCGAUUUUCUUAGUCAAAAUUCAUAUUGUAGUAUUCCAACUUUAGGUCAUGUCUCAUUACCAAAUCUUUACUCGUAUACGAGUACUUGAAUUCUCAAAUCAUCAUAUCUUUUUUAAGUAGAUUUCUAUAAUUUUUGUACUGCAUUUCUAUUUCCUUACCAAGGGUAGUAUCAUUUAAUCAAACCAUGUCACCCUUGUUUUCUAAACAUUUGAAGCAUAAUUUAACCUUCCAUUAUCCCUAUCAGGCACUUUACCUUGAUAGUUACUCAAAAUAAAUUGGAACUUCUGAGGAAGCACAUUUCACAAUUUAUGCUUUGUGUCUACAAUUAUGUUGAGAUCAAAACCUCAUUGGGUGCACAAAGCGGUAAGAUAAUCAUUGCCUUAAACUAGUAUUUCCAAGUAUACUUAUGCUUGUAUCAUAUCUUCAUACUUAUGUGACAUGUCAGUCACGAGCCCAACUUGACUGUAUAGCCAUUUGCUCUUUAAGCUUUAAUGUUUGCUCAUUGUGAAAAGUCUUCCGAAUUUAUCUCAUCAGGGUAUUCAUAAGGUGGAUACAUGUCCAUAUUUUACAGUUCAAGGCCUAAAGCAUUGAACACAACCUCACCAUUGAUGUUCUACGCUAUAUUAUAUAAUACAAAAUAUAAUCUAAUAACUAUGACAAUGAAAUUCUAAAGUUCCACCUUUAUCUGCCAAUCAUAGCUCCCUUUAUGAGCACAUACUUUACACUGCUUGGUUGUUCACAAGCUACUCAUGGCCAUCCAAAUUCGACCUCUUAUAGCAAGUCAAGCUAAUAUAUUCUCUUAUGCUUUUCCAUACAUUUCCAAAACACUUAAACACUUCCUUUAAUAGGGUUCCAUUGAGAACUUAAUCAAUCAAAGGCUUAUCUUCAAAGCCACUUAUAACUUUAAUCAUUCAUUGUAUGCCCGAUAACACUUUAGCUCACUGACCCCACUGGACAUUAUUUUAAAAUCUCCCAAGGUGUCCAUGUUCUUAGUUAGGAUCAUACCAUCUAACUUGGUAUAAUUGCAUUAAUUAUCCUUAAGCUCUGUAUGCUCAGCAUAUCAACAUUCAUAUUUCCCCCUCAUUCAUGUUAUUGACCUUGUUAUGGUAUAUGUGGCUUUUCAACCUUUCACAACACAUUCCAUAUUUAUGCCAGGGCAUUCUCAAUCUCAUGCCAAGCCUAUAGGCAUGUAACCAUAAAUCAGGGUAAACUCCCCUAUGGGAUAUCUCCUUCCAUAUGAUGCAUGGGGAUCACAAGAUGUACAACUCCAAGUGUAUGCCUACAUAUUGAUAACCUCCAUAUAUUUUAUGAUCAUGGAAACCACAAUUUGCAAAUCUAGCUUUUUAUCACAAGUUUGCGAUCGGAACAUUAGUUUCCACAUAUGUCACUUUGGACAUACUUCACUAUUAACAUUCGUAUACCUUUACCACAACAUUCAGUGCAAAUUGAUUAAGCAAUGAUCUCCAAAUUUACUCUUAGAUACACAUAUAUCAAAUUGUACACCACUUAGUGUUGAGAUCUUGACUUUACUCAUCAAUUCUUAACCAAUUACAUCCAUAAGAUAGACAAUUCACUAAAUUUUUGUAUCUUGCUUUUGUAGUCAUAAGAUUAAAAUUUCUUAAGCUUAGGAUGCAGAAGCUUCCUCUUAGAGCAUAUUCGAAAAUCCACAUAUUUUAAGUCCCUUACCUUUGGAGAAGUCACAUUCAAGACUAAUCAUUUACAUCAUAGGUUGCAUAUUGAACCAAACAUAUUUUUUAUUUAACUUUUAAAGCAAUUCGUAUAUCGAUCUUCAUAUAGAACUCCAUAUGGCACUUUGACUAAAUUUGUUAUUUCCAUGCCAUUUAAUUUCAAACUACUAAAUCCACAUCUAGUCUUUUAAUCCUUUGGCUCCACAUUAAGCAUAGCAAAAUUCAAGCUCAUCCUUAGAGUAGAUCAUUUACUAGCCUCUUACUUCAUGACCAUACAUCAAUUAUAAUAAUCCGUGAUUUUCACCCUUGAGCUAAUUCAUACAAUUAUAAGCAUAAACCACAAUAAUUCAAUUCAAGCCUUGGAAUCUUACAAUUACUUAAUUAUAAUCAAAACCAAUUCCAUCUAGGCUACUACACACAUAUUCAGCACAUAUCCGCAUAUAAAAUAUUUUGGAAGUUCGACGCCAUUUAUAUAAGGGCAGAGCAAGCUUAAUCAACACAGUGCACUUGCCUCCGUGCACGUGGGAAUUAGUUUACACCUCCCUUAGUGCUUAGAUGUACAAGCUUCAAGUGAAUCUCAAUGAUCUUUAUUCGUUCCGGUCAAAGUAUGUCUCUUAUUAACAUUAUCACACGUGCUCCUUUAUAUUGACCUCAAAUACCAUCCAUGGUCAUCAAAUUUCUUCCCAUUGACAAUUAUGGGCUUAAGUUAUAACUCCACUGAAUGAAUAAGUCAUUAUGUACCUAUUAGUCCAGUUCCAAUUUCCUCCAUCUUUAAUCGGAGGAAUUUGUUAUUACAUUAGCCUUUCAUUUAGGAGAAUUUGCUUAAAAUCUUUCCAACAACAUCUCGUGUCUUGGGUGGCAUCUCAAACCCAGACAACGACAUCACUUAUGGCCUUUGCAUAACAUUAGCAAGAGGGUAGGUCACUAGAAAUAGGAGUUUAUAUAGCCUUCUGUUUAUGCAUUGUGUUGUAGUCACAAACGAUAAACAAGACUCUCAGACAACUCCGUUGACUGGCACGAGAAUCCUUAGGACUCGACUAAACCUAGAGCUCUAAUACCAACAGUUGUCACAGCCCAAAUACCGGGCCAUGAUCGGCACAUGGGCCCAAUGGGCAUAGCCCACUAAGCCCAAGCAAGCCUAUUUAUGGAAUUUCUAUUAUCAUUCCCAUCCAUCAUCUUUAAAAUGAAGUGCUGUAACUCUCAAAAGUAAAUGUUCCAGUAAUAUUUUAUAACAACUGAAUAUUCAUAUUUAUAUUAUAUCAAAGUAUUGUCAUCAUCAAUCCAACAUAUACAUACUUCAUUUAUAACUUGACUCUUAGUAGUUUACAUUACAUAUACAUGUUCACAAGUAAUAGACUUGAGACCGUCAGCGGAGUGACUCUGGGUGAAGAUACAACUACUGAGAUGCAAUAGUACCUACCAAGAAGACGAGCAUAUGUGUGCGACUCAAUCUAGGUCCCAACUGCCUCCAAAUCUGAAAACAUGAAUUUUAAAAACGUGAGUACGAAACUCAGUGAGUGAACAUAAGAAGGGAACAAGCAAUCAAUAGGAAAAAUUUGGAAAUCAUGAUGCACUUGUUUAACAAACAAUGCAAUUGAUUUAAUUUCUUAAUAAAACACCUCAUUUCAAACUUUGAUUAAUAACCUCAUAGUGUUGCACCAACCCAUGAUGAAUCCACGAAGUUAAAUUAGUGAAAAAUAUGUCAAAAACUGGAUAGGGUAGCAUGCAGGACAAAAUGUUUCUCGCUGCAGCCAGAAACAGUAUCAGUUUGCAUGUGUUUUAGUUUUUCUAGCAUAUCUUCUGAUACAGAAGUUUAAUUGACCUAUUUUUUAAACCAUUAGAAAGCUAAAAGGUAGGUCUAGAACUUUUAUGUUUACCACUUUUCCUAGUUUGAACAAAAAGGUAGUUAGAAUCUUCAUAAAGUUGAAGGCACUGUAUAAGAACCUGAGAGUUUCUCACUACAGCGAGAUUUAUUUUUGCUGCAGCUAGUUUCUGGCUACCAAAACAAAAUGUUUCUCGCUGUAGUGAGAAGCAGGGCACCUAAUUGAAAAAGGGGCCUCCUUUGCACUAAAAAUCCAUUUGUUACUGCAAUAAACUCAAUUUGCAAGAAAAUGGUACAUCCUCAAGAUUCAUCAUGCCAAUUUUAACAUGAAGUACUCAAAAAUUUGCAAAGUUCAACAUGCAAGAUUCACAUGUACAAGACCAUAUACCAUACUCAUGAACUUUCUAUAACACAUAUAUCUAUAUAUGUAUAUGUAUAUAUAUAUACCCAUCAUCAUGCACACCUUCCCAUCAUCAUCAGCUCACAUGCACUCCCCACUAGCACAUGGCUGGGUCAGCACGACUUAUGCGCACUCUUACUCACACAUAGCUGUGUCAUCAUCGACGUAUGCACACUCUUACUCGCACAUAGUCAGAUCAUCAUCGGCUUACAUGCACUCCCACUCGCAUAUAGCUGGGUCAUCAUCGGUGUAUGCGCACUCCUACUUGCACAUAGCCGAGUCAAUAUCAUUACACAACAUUAUUCAUCAAUGGACAACAUAUAUAUAUAUAUUAACAUAAUGUAGUCGUGCAUGAGUCCAUAACAGUCAUAUGUCACAACAUAAAGACAAUUUAUCAAGGCUUGUUCCCAAGGCACACGUUUUUAAGAAAAGUUGGAUAAAAUCAAUCAAUGUUUGUGCAAAUAGAUUCACAUUCCCAAAAUAAAUUUUGAAAUGUAAGUUCACUCAUCGGGAUUGUUGAACCUCUAAUCGACUCUAAUUUCGAUUAUUACUUCAAACGGACAUGUGAGGCCUUGUUGGAACCUAUCACCCACAAUAUAACAAUAAAAAAUAUAACAGCCCAUAAAUCAAAUUUCUAGCCAUCUUUAACACCUUAAAAUCAAAUUCUAACUCAUUUCUCACCUAGGUGGUUGUUUUUUUGUAGUUGAAUUCCUUUUCAAAAGCUUCUAAGCUACUAUGGCAAGUCUCUUUUUCUCUCUCUAAAACUUUCAAUUAGUGAGAGAAAGUGCUGAACAAAGACUUUUUGAGGGUUUUAAGGUGUAAAAGUGGAGGAGCAUGAAAAGUCGUAUGAAAGAGUGGGCAAAAGCAUGAAAUUUGGAGAUAAAGAGAGAAAGUUAUGGAAGUUGCAAAGCAAGCUUCCAUGGAGGAUGGAAGCAACGUGAGAUGGAAGAAGAAGAAGGAGAAGAAGCUAUUGGAGAAUGAAGAAGCUGCUGGAAGAAAAAGAUAUUUAUAGCUCAAGCUUAUCCAUUCCACUUGAAAUUUUGAAAAUGCCCUUAGCACAUUAACUUGUUCUCCUUCAAUCCUUUGUGCAAUCAUUUUACUCUUUUUAUACCAAGACAAGGUCCAUAAUAGUCUUAACAUGCUCGAGUCUAUGAAAACUUAAAAAUUUUGACUUGGGGUGCAAAAUGACCAUUUUGCCCCUGUUGUGAAAAUUAUUGUCGCUUCUAGUUUUCUUCGUGUUUUCAUCAUUACACAUGAUUUAUUCAUUCCUUAAUUCUAUUUAGACCUUAAUAGCAUCAAAAACCUUACUAGUAGGAGCUCACCAAGAGAAAUUACGAAAUUACCCCUAGUCUGCAUUAUCGCAUCAACUUCUAGUUUCUUGUUUAUAGAGGUCGAGAUUUCACCGGUUCACUUUUAAAUUACCUUUUUAACUUAGUAAUCAACCUCAAUUGGUAUCCGUAAACUUUAUUAGCCACUAUAUCAAAAUACAAGGUACUACAUUUUCCCAUCUCUCUUUCAAUCUCAUGAGUUCAAACUAUGACAAUUGUUCCACGAGAAUCAUUUAUCAUCCCUUGUUUGGUGCCUACUUUGAGAGAUUGGCCAUAGUUGAUUCCAUACUUGACUUAGACUUAGGAAGUUGACAUAGAAAAGAAGAAAGAGAUGAGAUGCCACUAAAGCUCGUAAACUAGGAUUUCCCAUAGUUAAAAGCUCUAUAAAGGCACUCAGUUUUUGAUAAGUUUUGGGUGGUGAAAAUUAUAGUUUUACCCCGAGGCGACAAAAUUAUCAUUUUGCCCUUAUGUUUCGAAAAUUGUCGGAAUUGAAAUUUUUCACUUCCUAUCAUUAAAUUCUACUCCAAAUAGUUAAUCUUAUUCAAAAAGUUCACUCCAUGAUCAAAUUAUUAUCUUAGGUGGCAAAAUGAUGAUUUUGCCCCUAAACAUCAAAAUUUUCAAUUUUUCCGCAAAUGAACCCUCGAACUCCGAACAAUCAUUUUUAGUCAUUCCUAGACUAUAAAAUAUUAAAUUUCAUCCUAUGAUUCCUAUUUGAACUAGUUCGAGGUUAAAUCAACUCAAGUGUAUUGUUAGGUACAAUAUCGGGUUUCGUCUAUUCUUAGGGGCUUUCCUAGCGUAAUAACAUGCUACUCAGUGCAUAUAUGUCAUGACAUGUGUUUAUAGGGUCAGGUUUUACAAUAUAUAUAUACAUAUGUAAAUAUGUGUGUUAUAGGAAGUUUAUGAGUAACGGUAUAUGGUUGUAAUGCAUGUGAAAUUUGGCAUGAUGAAUCUUGAGAAAUUCCCAUUUUCUUACAAAUUGAUCUUUAUUACAGCACCAAAUGGAUUUUUUGUGCAAAGGAGGCCCCUUUUUCACUUAGGUGCCCUGCUUCUCGCUGCAGCGAGAAACAUUCUGUAUUGGCAGUAGAAAACUCGCUGCAGCGAAAAUAAAUCUCGCUGCAACGAGAAACUCUCAGGUUCUGAUUUAGUGCUUUCACUUUGAUGAAGAUUUUGACCCUCUUUCCUUCCGAAAUGGGAAAUGUUGUAAACAUCAAAGUUGUAUCCCUGCCUCUUAGCUUUCCAAUGGUUAAAAAAUGAGGUCAAUUGAACUUCUGUAACGGGAGAUAUGAUAGAAAAACUGAAACAUAUGCAAACUACCACUGUUUCUCGCUGCAGCUAGAAACUUGCUGCCAUGCUUGCUACCUUUCUUGAUUGUGAUUUACUUUUCACCCAUUUAACUUCAUGGAUUGAUCAUGGGUUUGUGAAACACUAUGAAGGUAUUAAUCAAAGUUUGAAAUGAGGGGUUUUUAGUAAGAAAUUAAAUCAAUUGCAUUGUUAUUGAAACAAGUGCAUCAUGAUUUUGAAAUUCUUCCUAUUGAUUGCUUGUUCCCUUCUUAUGUUCACUCAUUGAGUUUUAUACUCACGUUUUUAAAAUUCAUGUUUUCAGAUUUGAAGGCAGUUGGGACCUAGAUUAAGUUGCACACAUAUGCUCGCUUUCUUGGUAGGUACUAUGGCAUCUCAAUAGCCGCAUCUUCACUGUGGUCACUCCGCUAGAAGUCAAGAGUCAUUUUAUUUUAUGAGUACGUUCAUGUGAUGUAAAAUGCUAACAUAUGUGUCUUAGACGAAAUAUGUAUAUUUUAACUGUUAAUGCCACCAUGAGUUGAAAUGUUAACAUCAUUUUGGGUUUAUAGUAAUGAAAUUCUUGAUUGCUAUAGCCUAUUAUUAAAGUGAUUAUAGGUUGGAAUUAUGAAAGGUGACUUGAGAAUAGUUAAUGGGAUGUUGAGCAAGAUUACCUAAUAGGCUUGCUUGGGUUUUGUGGGCUAUGCCCAUUGGGCCCAUUACUUCGGUCAUGACCCGAGAAUUUGGGCUGUGACAACAGGGCAUUGACAAUGCUCAAAGACUGGUACAUGUUAAGCCUUCUUACUUGGGAAGUAAGUAAACGAUCUCAUAGAUUGAAGUAUAUGGGAUAAUUGAGGAUAACGUGUAGGUCCUUGUUAAAGAACAAGUUCACUGAACACGACCCGCUAUGAGAACUCCAUUAUGUAUUUCACUCAAGUGUCUAUGGAAAAUGUUCUCAUGUGAUAGUUGUGCAAUUAGUUCUUAGACUUCAGACACUAAGUCAUCUUGUAUGGGGAAUGACAUACUUUGAUUUCACCCCUACGGGUUUGGAGGCGACCAAAUGCCUGAACACAGUGUUUUCGGGUAUGCCAUGAAGCAUGCGAAGGUGAAUGAGUGACCAAGAGAGGAUUCAUCACCCCAAGUGAUAUGAGGGGAUGUAUCUCACUUGUUCUCAAUUCUUGAUUAACUUGUAUAAAGUCUUUGGCCAAAGCAUGAUGAAUUUGAGGAAAAUUAGUUUCCCAAAUUCAUAAGGUUAGUCAUGAAUAAUGAAAACUAAUAUUCAAUGUCAUAAGUAGACACCGAGCCAUGCUUAAUGACAUAUCCAAGAUAUUUGAUGAAAAGACCGUAUUACACUGAGAGGCUUAUCACUGAAGGGCUUUGUCAAAUUCUUUAAUUGACUCUCUAACAUUUGGAUGGUCAUGAUGUAUUGCUAGAUGCCAUUCAUGAUCUAUAAAUAUAAAUUAAUUAUCAAAUUGAUAUUUGAUUAUGAUUUAUAUUUAUUGCCAACAUGUUAGAAGCCUAAUGGGUCACACAAAUUAAGUGACAUGAUUGGGAUUAAAUAAGGAUAAUUAAUUAAGUUGGACUUAAUUAAAAGAAACCGAAAUAAAAUGGGAAAUUAAUUGAGUUCUUAGAGAUCUAAUUGAAUUAAAAUACAACUGUUGUAUUUAGAGUUACGAAUUAGUUUGGCUAUAUAAAUAUGUUAUAUUAGCAAACUAAAAACCUGAAGCCUAAAAACCACUCCUCGGCCGUUUCACAAAAUAAGAAAAGAAAAAUAGUUUUCUUGUCUGACAAAAAAAAAUAAGAUUCGGCAAGAAUUUUGGUCCUUUUGUUUUAGAAACAAACCUUGCUAGCACAAGUAAAAUCCUACCUUUUGAUAAGGUCCUAUUUAGUCACUUUGUGGAUUACUGUUAGAGGCCAAACACUUGGGUGGCUAAAGAUUUGACAAACCUAAAGGUGAAGAAGCAGAGAUUUGGAUUUAAUUGGCUCUUGAUUACGAUAUCCAAAGUAAGGUAUGUAACUCUUAAACUUAUGAGUGUUCAUUAUUAAUUUAUAAGUUACAUGAAAAAUACAAACAUUGAUCCUGUAGGAUUCGACUAUUUCUCUGAUUAAAUAUUAUUUUAUUUUUUCACUGCGUUACUAUUUUAAUUAUUGAUUAUUUUCAUGUUUGAGCAUGAGGUCGAAUCUCAGCACAUAUCAAGUUUACCUAAAUAACAAAAGUUGAUGAAUCUUUUGUUAAACCACCAAAUCAGCCUUCAAAAAGCAUAACCACCUCAGACUGGUUGUUGCAAACCAAAGUUGUCCAAGGAAUCCUUAUGCAGCCUCUAAUGGUGAUCCACACUAAUGAAUUAGAAAAUCCUUCUUUAAGGAUUGGGAGUGUUAUGCCUUGACAAUGUGCUCGAAAAGAUGAGUUUCAUAAACUCAUAAUCCACAAAAAAUUAUGGGGCUGAACACACAAAAGAGAUCAAGUGAAUGAAAAAUUAUUUUUCUUCACCGAAGGAACGACAAGAGAAAAAGAAUUUCUAAUGUGCCGUUCUCUCGCAUUUUGUUUGGAGGCUAUGGUAAGGUAUUUAUACCUUGGAUUAAUUUUAAACCCUAAUUACAAAGCUACUUUGUAAUUGCCAAUUAAUCCAAUAAUUUCAAUAAACAAUUUAAUAAAGUCCUUAAGAAGCCUAAUUAACUUAAUUGUUUAAUUUAAUCAAUUAGGCCUAAUAACUUAAUUAAAUAAUUUAAUUAAUUAGGCCAAAUGAUUUAAUUAAUUAGACCGAAUGAUUUAAUUAAACAAUUUAAUUAAUUAUGCACAACUUGAUUAAAUAAUUUUAAUCUAGUGCUUCAGAAGCUCAUAACUUUUAAUUUGAUUAAGUCCAACUUAAUCACCUCUCCCAUUUUAUUUUCAACAUUUAUUUUAGGUGUGUGACCCAUUAGGCUUUCAACAUGUUGGCAAUGAACUCAACAUAUAAUUCUUAAGUUAAACUUAGAAUUAAAAAUAUUUAAACUACUUUAAAUUCAUCAUUAAUCAAGUUAACUACCUAAAGUUCAUAGACCAAGAUUGGGAUCUAGCAAUCCAUCAUGGCCUUCCAAAUGUUGAAGAGUCAAGAUGGUUUGACUAAACCUUUCAGUGAUCAGCCUUUCAGUGUAAUUCAUUCCCUCAUCAUAUAUCCCAGAGAUGAUAAGAGCAUGGUGUAGUGUCUACUCUUACUGAUUUCCAUAUUUGUUCUUAAAGUUUGAUCAUCAACUUUAUAAAAACUUAUGAAACUCCUUUCAUAAUCUUCAAGUCAUGUUGGCCAAAGACUUUAAUAAGCUAAUAUCAACCAAGAAUAGUUAAGAUAUGUCCCCUGCAUCACUUGGGGUGAUGAUUCCUAUCUUGACCACCCAUUUACCUUAACAUGCUUCAUGCUAUACCUAAAAGCAUCCUGUUUUGGCAUCCUUGGUUAGGCAUCCAUAGGGAUGAAAUCAGAACAUAGCACUCCACACAUAAGAUAACCUGGUGUCUUAAGUCUAGGGAGUAUUUACACAAUUGACACAUGAGAAGUAUUGCAUACACACUUGAGUGAAAUACCAAAUGCACUUCUCAUGGCAAGUCAUGUUCAGUGAACUUGCUCUCCUAGGCAAGCACCUAUAUUCUAGUUCCAAGUGUCUCUAUACUUCAACUUAUGAGAUUAGUUGCUUACUUUUCAAGUAAGGAACAUAGAAUGUACUAGUCUCUAGGUAUCAUUGAUGUCCAAUCUCAAUGAUACAUUGACUAGGAACUUUUUGAGAUUACGCUUUGAUGCAUAAGGAUCUCAUAACUGCAACCCAUUACAGUUCCCUUGCAAGGCAUAUUAAUCUCAUGGACUUCAUCCAAUUAGACUUAUAACUUGUUAUAAUUGAUGUCUUAUUGAUGAAGGAAAACCUUUAAUCAUUCAACAUGAAUGAUGUUAUUGCAUGAUUGGAAUCAAGCCUUAACCAAUCCUAAUUGGCUGUAGGGCUCAUCUUAACAUUUACAUUAAGACUAGUGCCUAUUUACAAUGAAAUAUACUAAGAAUGACUUGACCUUUAGCAGUGGAGCGACUCAGGAUAAAAAUGCUAUGAGAUGCCUUUACCUAUCCGUGGUGGACAAUAAGUGUCGAUGAAUGGAUGCUAAGCUGAUCACUAUUUGUAAAAAGGGAGAUAAGGGGGUGAGUUUCACAGACUUAGUGAUCAUCGACUCCAUGAACAGGACGUAGAUAAGAAAUAAGCUUAGAGCAGAUAAUUUAAAGGAUAAAACUAGAGUAUGAAAUGAUAAUCUUAUAAAACUAAAUAACAGGUAAGGUAUUUGUGUCUUGUAAAAAUAAUGUUGUAAAAAUCAUAGUGCAAUACUUUCCUUGGCAUACAAUGCCGAAAUCAACACGUAGUAAAAUAAAAUUUCAAUCAUCAAAAUCAUCUAUUUCCUUCUAAAUACAAAUAGCCAUAUAAAACAUGCACGCUCCCAAAAUGUGUGGCAUGUAAAAAUAAUCAUUUACAUCAACAUAUAUCAACUCAUGAUCAAUAUAUAAAGCACUGAAAGCUUUUAAUUAAAUAAGUGAGAUGUGGAAAAACAAUAUCUCUCCACCAUGCAAAAGAGUACGAGUCUAAAAACUCUCAAGACUCUCGACUAGGUAAUCAUAAAUAAUCAACCAGUGGACCCUUUUCCACAUAAUAAGGCCCUUCCACCGGAUUCCCAUAGCAAUGGUAGUCUCGACGAUGUUGGCCGACAUCGGAGAAAUCAUGUGGUCACAACCAUAUAUCUCAACUUGUGGCCUUGCCAAGUAUAACAACCCGUGACCUUGCCACGUAUAAUCACAGACCGUGGCCUAGCCACGUCUAACAACCUGUCAGCGACCUAAAAGAUUCUCUAGCUAACGCUCACUUGUGCACAAGAGUCACACUAUCCUAAUGUGACAUUUAGCCUACUCUCGAUGCUCUCGGUUUGUCAAAAUUGUUUUCAAAACUAAAUCAAGGUUUUCAAGAGUUGUCUUUAAAUCCUUUGAAACCAAGGUUUGAUAACCUUUCAAAAUUGCUUUUCACAUUAAAAUGCAUGGUGUAAACAUUUGCAUAAAGUUUGGAUUAAAAUCGGCUCACAAGAAAUCAAAUUUAGGCCACUUAUCAAGUGCAAUCAACUAUGCACACUUCGUAAAGAUUCGAGGCACAGUUUUGAUGCAAAAAAUUGCAAAAGGGCUUGUUUCUCGAUUUCUAAAACAUUUUACAUAUAUGUAUAUAUAUAGUCUACACAAACAACUUUCAAAUUAAUUUGCAUCCAUAAUUACCUAUGGUUUCUACCAGCUCAUGCUUUCCAUAAAAGUAGCGUAUAAAUUGUUCCAAACCAUGUAUUCAAAUCGCUUAUCAUUUCCUAGUAACUCAUGCUUUCCACAAAGGCAUUGAAUAAAUCAUUGACAAGUUACUAUACAUAUAACAUUAUGUAGUAUGGAAUCUUUUGAAAUAGACACCCCCUACUCACCUUACAAUGGCAAGAUAUUACUUCGCCACUUAUCCAAUUCCAUUUCAAAUUAAAUUAGCUUACCAGUCACCCGUUUCCUCCUCUAGUUAAUCACCACGAUAAUCCAUUUUCACUUGCAUACUUCCUAGCAAUAAAUCAAGCUUGAUAUACUUAGUAUUUAUCAUUCCAAUUCAGCUCACAUUUGCUGCCUUAUGUACCACAUUCUUAGUUCCUUUCAUUUUCAAGAACUCUUCACAUUUCAAAUAAUUAUUUUUCACUAUAACUGACCUCAUGCAUUAUUUCCAAUUUCAUGCACAUACACAAUUAUAUAUGGGCAGCAUCUUAACCAAGAAUCCUUAAUCAACAUCCACAUUGUUCAUCUUUAUUCUUAUAAAUACUCUAAAACGCAACCACCAAUUUUCAACUAGCCAAACCUAAUAUGCCAUAACAUACCCACAUUGCAUGCUUACCUUCCUAAUCACCUUACUCUACGUCCAAUUCAAUAUCUCCUCAUAACAUUGUUCACCAUUGCUGCCACAACAUAAAUCAUCAACAAAUGUUCUAUCUUUCUUUCCAUUCAUGAAAUUCAAGGUUAAGAACACUAAGCCAUAAUUUUUUGUCUCAAAUCACCAUAUACUCGUGUACAAUCAACACGCAUGCAUCCAGCCCUUUGAUUCUUUAAAUAUCUUGCUGCCACAAAACAUUUCUUAUGGUUACCAUCUGUUUGUCAAAACAUAAUCAAACCAAAACCACAAUGCUUACCUUUAUUUCUCUUGAAACUUUGGAACCAAUCUUUCCUCUUUCCUCAAGCUCAACAAAUUAGUUCCUUUCUUGCAUGUUGAAGAUUCCUUUUUAUGUGAUGAGAUGCUAAACUCAACAAUGAAGAGCAAGGAACUCACGGUUUCCUUGAACCCUCACAACCCAAGACUUCCCCACUUUCCUCUCUUUUCUUUCUCUUUUCUUCCUCUCUGGUGGAGCUCUCAAAAACACUUUCUUCUUUCUUUUCCUCUUUCAAUGGCCAGUUCUCUCAAGAGUCACCACUGCCAAUUCUCAUUUCAUUUACACUUUGAAAUUUUGCUAUUUAUUUGGCCACCCACUUAGCCAAUCAAAUUGCAUGCACACAUUUUCCUUUUAUUCUAUCUGGCCACCUUGCCAACCUAUAAGAUUUCAUGCAUCCAAUUUCCAUCUCUUUUAAUUGGUUGAAUAUCCACUUCCGUUAUCCAUCCAUUAGUUAAUCUAUCUUCAUGCAUUCUUAAUGCAUUUCCAUUUCAUCCACCUUACUUAUGUCCAAUAGCUUUACAUGCAUUCUCCCACAUUGUUUCUCAUUGGGCCUCCCACUUAGCCAAUAACAUUACUGAUAACUCUAUGAUAUAGAGUUUAUUUGAGCUUAGUUUUGAUAAUAAUUUGGCUUGGUUUUUGUAGUAAUGCAUAAAAAUUAGUAGAUUUUAUUUAAUUAUUUUAAAUUAGUUAGUUUAGGUGAGUCAAUCUAAUCAUGGUUAAUUUUAUGUUUAAUUUGGUUUUAAUGUGGUUAAGAUAGGUUGUUAUUGAUUUAUUGGUGCUUUUGUAGGUGUUUGAUGAAAGAAGAAUUUCAGUAAAAGACGGAGAGCAAUUUCAAAGUGCAGACUUGCACUGCACAUGUUUCGGUAUUUUGGCCAUAACUUUCUCUACAGAGCUUCAAAUGAAGCGAUUCUUAGACCAUUAGAAAGAUAAAAGAAAAAUAUAUAACUGUCAUGUUUAAUACUUUACCAAGUUUGGCUUUUAGGAUGAUCAAGAAUCUUGUCAAAGUUGACGAACUACAGUAGUCCAAGAGCAAUUAUGAUUUCUAUUAAUUAAUUAGACAAGGCUACGACUCACAUAGUCUAAUUAGGAAAUCCUAGUUUGAACUGAUUUCUUUCUCCAUCCAACUUGGCCAAACUUCAAAGCCUAUAAAAACAACCUUUCGAAGGACAUAAAAGGAAUAAAGAAAACACCAGAUUAAUAGCUGAGAGUCAAGCCACAAAAUCAUUGAUGCUAAGAAGAUUUUGAAGGAUUCAUGAAGACUUGGAAGAUCAAGAUUAUAAUUCUUGAGUUUUAUCAUUUUGAUUUUUUUUUAUUUUCUUAGUUUGUUUUUAUUAUUUAAACUUUAUUUGAUGAUGAUGUGUGACUUGAUGGGGAACUAAAUUGUUAAUUUAAAUUAUGAUUGAACUCAAUAUGUAGUUUAAUUUAUUUAUCUCUUUUUUGCUUAUGUUUGAUAGAUUUAGGUUGUUUAUUUUAUUCUGUUCUUAAUGCUUUUAAUUGCCUGAUCACCAAUUAGAUUGAGUUGGAAACCUAGGUUAAACCUUGACGAAGAAGAUUUAGGUAGACCUUGAAUAGAAUAGUGUAUGAUCGAAUACACGUAGUUGAUUAGGUGGUUUGAUUUGCAUAUAGAGUAGACAUACACCUAUAAGCCAUACGUAGCCAGAAUUAGAGCAUAAACUUAAUGAAUCUUUCUUCAAUUUAAUUUGGAUAGACAUAGAGUAAUUAAUUGAGAAAGGUCUUUUUAUGAGAAACUCGAGAGAGACUUGUAAAUAAUUUAGGACUCUACGUUAGUAACUUAAUUCAUUAAACUGAGUUAAGAGAAAGAGACAAUAAUCAGAUAAGGUAUUGAGGGAUAUUAUAAUCUUAGGUCUGGUAGUUAAGUGAGUUUUAUUUACUUUUUAAUUUUAGUUUCAGUUUAGCAAUUUUAAUUUUUCUUUUUGAUAAUUUUAAAAUUUAGUUGUUUGAUUAAAAUUAGGGUGUGUUAAUUUUAGUAGUUAAUAGUAGGAAUUAAAACAAUUCUCCUUGGGAAUGAUACUCCAUUUCAUCAAUAUAUUAUUUGUUAACGAUAUAUGCACUUGCGUUAGAAAUCAACAACAAUUACAUGCAUAUUUCACCUUGUGCAUUUGUCUCCUUCCUUUUUAUUUGUCACAUGGUGGGGGUCCUACAUGUUCCCCACUAAAAUAACACCUUUAUAUGCCAUCUUUUACAUGUAAUAGUAUUGUCACAUGCAUACGCUAAUCUUCCACAUAACCUCAUUUUUUAUGACUAAUUAUUUUCUUUUCAUCCAAUUUUGCAUGUGACCAAUAAUUUCUUUAUAUAAAUAUUAUAAUAUAUUAUAUAUGAAUAAAUAUUAUUUUAUUCAUGUUAUCCAAAAAUUCUAUUAUUGGUCUCCCCCACUUAGACUUAAUCUAUUUCUCGCAAGAUGCGACUCGUUUCGGCAUCGAAUUAUUUUAGUAAUAAAAUAUUAUUUUAUGUCAAAAUUCUCCACUUGUCUUUUCGGGUCUCAAAGUGUCCCACUUUGUCCCAACUCACUUCCAAAUUGCCUUUUAACUCGCUAAUUCAUCCUCGAUAAAAUAUUAUUAUUAUUUAAUUAUUAUUUUCUCAUGUGUAAAAUAUUUUAUUCUAAAAUAUGCCUUCCACCCUUCACUACUCUUUAGCACUUAAAUUUACAUCAAUCGACCCUUCAUCUUGUCGAUAAGAUCUUAUUGACUUCUAUAGGAGGGUACAAAGUGUUACAAAUAUGUUGCGGCAUGAAAUGUGUGAUGGCUUGUAUGAUGAUUUUCAUCUAAGAUAUUAUGUUUUGUAUAUGAUGUGUUAUCCAUAUACUACAUGAAAUGUUUGAUGAAGCAUGACCAAUGCUAUGAGAUUACGUAUGUAAUGCAUGUUUUACAUACGAUAUGAUGUAAGAGUAGGCUUAAGGAAAUGUCAUGGAUGUGCAUUUGAUGUGAAAUUCCAUAUACCCUAUGACAUGAGUAAGCAUGUAUGUGAUAAACAUUCCACAUAUUAAAUGCUAUAAGCACAAAAGUUUAACGAGUGCGAUUGAUUCCACUCACACGGGUUGUAGUGAUGAUUUCACUCCUGUGAUGCAUCAUAAACACCCAAGAUGCAAUGGGGUUGUACAUUAUCGACCCAAGGUUGAUGGGGGUUGUACCAUCACAAUGUAUGAGUUUAAUGUUAAUGGAAUGAUUAUGGUUGUUAUCUUUAUGAUGUGUUGCAUGUUAAGUUCAUCUUGAAUAACGUUUAUGAUCUAUACUUGAUGUUGGCAUGAGUUUGUGAUUAAAGAAAGGAAAUGAGUUGUAGAGAUAGUCCUAAAAGGUAAGAGGAUUUAAGGAAUGGAAAAAAUACACAAUUUUGCCUUGAAAAUAGAGGUUCAAAGGCUAUCUAUUGAUACAUGUAGAACAUCUACUUAUAGAUAAAAUACAAAAUGCCACAGGAAGCAUUUUGCUUCCAAUCUAUCGAUAAAUGUUCAUCAUCUAUCGAUAGAUGAGUUCUAGAAUUGUAUGUGUUGGCUUGUUUGAUGUUCACACUUGUUUUAUCUAGAGGUUAUUCACACUUGUUUACAUCAUAUAUGCUAUUUAAAUGUGUUUAAACACCAUGUUUCAUGACAUUAAAGUUUAAAUUUAUAAUAAAUUGCAUGAGAUUAUAAAUACAUGAUUACGAAACGCUUUUAUCCCCUAGCUUGUCCCCUUCCCGUAUCAUUCAUGGAGUCUUUGUGACUUACAUGUUAUUUUGCCCAUUUAUUUUGUUGUAGAUCAAGGAUGGCAUUUUGAUAGUAGCUAGUGAUGCGGAUACCAGUGUUUGGUCUUCAUUCUUUAGUAGGUGUCUAGUAGCCAUUUGAUGCUUAAAGGGUUGGUCACAUUCUGCUGAUGAGUCGGUCAUAUGAUUAAUUUGAUUAUGUUUAUGGAUUACAAUCAUGUUAUGUUAUUGUAGCCUAUGUUUAGCAUUUUACAUGACUAAUGUUAUGUAUGAUAAUAUGAUAAUGGCUCGAUAGCCUAUAUGAACACUUGAGGGUGUUGUUGAUGAUAAUGAUAUUGUGCAUUGUGACAGUAGCACAUGUUUAUAUACAUAUAUCAAAUGCUUGAGCUUAUACAAUUAAAUUGAGAAGUUCCUUAAUUGUAUAAUGAGUAUUAUGGGUGCAUGCAUGAUGCUUUUGUAUGUAAAUAAAUGUUAUAAGACACUUUUCACAUGUAAGGGUGAAUGUUUAAUGAUGUUAUGGUAAGAGGCUUGCUUGGGCCUAGCGGGUUAUGCUCAUUUGGCUCCAUGCCCAAAUCAUGAUUCUUCUAAAAAAUAGGAUGUGACAAAGUUGGUAUCAGAGCUUUAGGUUCAUAGAUUUCUAGUAUUUCUUUGGUUGUUAGCAAAAUUGUGAAACCUCGACCUCUAUAGGCUAGUAACUAAGUGUAAACACGAUAACCUAGGCUAGGGGUAACUUCGUCAUUUUCUUAGCGAGACCCUAGAAGUAGGCUUUCAAACAAUAUUAAGGCCUAAGUAGGCCUAAGGCAUAGAUGAAUGAUGAAAAUAAGGGUAAAAUGACGAAGGAAAUAAAAAUAAUGAUGAUUUCCAAGUAGGGGCAAAAUGGUCAUUUUUCAUCUAGAGUCAAAAAUUUUUAAGUUUUCGUGAACCCGAGCAUUUCUAGACCAUUGUGGACUUUGUUUCAGUGUCAAAGACUAAAAAAGAUUGCACAAAGGAUUGAAGGAGAACAAGCUAACUUGUUGAGGGCAUUUUCGUAAUUUAAGUAGAGAUUGGAUAAGCUUUAGCUAUAAAUAACAUUUUCUUCCAGUAGCUUCUUCUUCUUCUUCUUCUUCCUUCCAUCUCACGUUGCUUUCAACCUCCAUGGAAGCUUGUUUGAAACCUCCAUAAUUUCUCACAAGCUAGCUUCAAUUUUCAUGCUUUUGUGCACCCUUUCAUAGAACCUCUUGUGCUCUUUCACUCUCUCACUUUAAAACCCUUGAAAGGUCUUACUUUCAUACUUUCUCUCAUUAGCUAGGUGUUUUAGAGAAAGAAUGAGGGAGCUUGUAUAAUAGCUUGGAAGAAUUUUGAAAAGAAAUUCAUUUACAACCCACCAAGGUGAGUGAACUUGCAGUAAAAUGUUUUGGGAUUAGGGCAUAUGUGUUUGAUGAAAUCCAUUGAAAUAUAUUAUCUGUUUUUCUCUAAAUUAUGCAUGGGAACAAGCUUUUAAUGAAACGUUUUGCGUGGUGGAAUGCAACUGUGAUGAAGCCAUGUGCCCUGUGUUAUGUUGAUGUAUAUGUAUAUCUAAAUGUAUAUGAUGUGUAUUGAUGGUAAUGUUGUUUGUAAUUAUAACCGAGCCUGUGCGCGAUGUGGGGGAGCACAUGCCGGUAAUGAUGGGUGAGGGAGUGUGGAUGGUGAUAUUGCUUGUGCACGAUGUGGGGGGAUGCACACGGUGGUAUUAGCUGUGCACGAUGUGGGGGGAUGCACACGAUGGUAUUAGCUGUGCACGAUGUGGGGGGAUGCACAUGAUGACUCCAGCUGCGCACGAUGUGGGGGGAUGCGCAUGAGCUAGGUGAGACGGUGGUGGUAUUGGUGUUUAUAUAUGUAAAACAUAUGUAUAUAUGUUUAUGCAAUAAAAAGUCAUGAAUAUGGUAUAUGGUUGUAAUGCAUGUAAAAUCUUGCAUGUGGAACCUUGGAAAUUGCUAAGUGUUUCAAGUUGAUUUUGUCAUUGCAGCAAAAUGGCCUUUCUUUGAGAUGAUGAAAAUUUUUCCUUGGUGUCCUGUUUCUUGCUGCAGUGAAAAACUCUCGAGUUUGAAGGGUUAUACUAGCCUGGUUCUCGCUGCAGCGACAAAGUUGCUAAUGCUUCUCGCUGCAGCGAGAAACAUUCUAUUUGGCUUGCUAUUCUAUUUGGUUUCUAACCCUUUUUACAUUUCUUUAGCACCAUAAUUAAUCAUGGACUCCCAACAUUAAGGAAUUUAUUUAAUUUAAGUUUGAAUGAGGGGUUUUAGUGAAAAACCCUCGACCAGUUGAGAAACCCUCGGCCAAUGGGAAUGCCUUUUCGCUGCAACGAGGACCCGUCGUUUGGCUUGACCUGUUUGAAUGUUAUUAAAGUUUUUACUCUUCAAAUCUUUUGUUGUGCAUGGAUCCUUUAUCGUCAAGUAUUAAAUCAUUAACGGUUUAAUGAGGGGUUUUAAUAAUAACUAAACUAAAUUGCAUUGUUUUUUAAAAUAAGUGCAUCAUGAUUUCUUUAAACUUUCCUUAUCGUUUGCUUGUUCCCUUCCUUGUUCACUCACUGGGUUUAUACUCACCGUUUUCAACUUCUUAUUUUCAGAUCAGGAGGCAGUCAAUAACUAGGUCGAGGUGUCUUUGUAGAUUCGUUUCCUUGGUACGUAUGUCGGCAUUCAAUAGCUAAACUUUCACCCGGGUCUCUCUGUUGAAAGUCGAGUAUUCCUUUUGUUAUGUAUAGAUAAACCCGAUGUAAAUUUUUAAAAUGUAUGUUUUAGUCAAUAUAAGUAUAUUUGACUGGUAUUGCCAUUAUGAAUUGGAAACGGUUAGCAUUAUUUUGAUUUGAAAUUAUGAAAUGUGACUUUAGCAACUCUUGUUAGAAUGAUGAACAGGUCAUAUAAAUAAGCUUGCUUUGGCUUAGUGGGCUACGCCCAUUGGGCCCAUACGCUGGUCAUGGCCCAGAAAUUGGGUCGUGACAAGAAUGUUGGAGUCUUAUAUAGGAAUCUUGUUUUUUUAUUUUUUUGUGUACCUAGGCACAAAUUGAGAACGAAAGACCUGCAUAUAAUUCCUUGUAUGUUUAAUGCUUAAAAGAUAUGUCUAAAAUUGUCAUAAGUCUAUAGUGUUAAGUCUUACAGUGUAUGUUGCUCUUGUAUAGGUGAGAUAUGUUGCCUAGGACACGGGCAAGUGUUAAAGACAUGAUAGAGCACAAGGCUCUCAUAGAUACUACUAUUAGACCAUGCACUCUUACAACAAGAGGCCGUGGCUGGCACGACAGGGCCGCUAGCUUGAGGAGGACUAAUACUCCUACUAGUCCACAAAUAGAGGGAUAAGGUCCCGAUAUAGUUGUUGAGGGAUAGGCUCCCGAGAUUAUAGCACCAUUUAUAUAGGCUGUGACCUUAGAAGACCUAGUUGCUAGCUUAUAGGGAAUCAAUCAAACUAUGGAGUUACUAGCUCAAGAGAUGCUAGAUCAAAGGAGACGAGGGGAAGGCCACCCCACCGUACAGGCCUCCCUCAGAGCAUAGAGUCAUAAGGACCACCAGGAGUUUGAGAUGGCUAGGGUUGCAUCUAAGGUUCCACUAUCAAAGUUUAUGAGGCUGAGACAUCUACGAUUUUUGGGAUCUGAUACGACUGAGGAUGCUUAAGAGUUCUUAGAUGAGAUAUUAAUGAUAUGUAAUGCUCUUAUUUGCACUAGCAUCAAAUCAAUUUAGUUUGCUAUUUUUAGGCUGGGCAAGGUAGCUCGACAGUGGUAUGAGAUAUUGCACAUUGAUGGAGCCGUUGAUGCUACUCUGAUGACUUCAGAGGAGUUCAACAUAGCACUAUUUUCCAAAUAGUGUGUGAAAGGCUUAAGCAUGCGAGUUUGAGACUUUAGUGCAGACACUGGGCAUGUCAAUGGUGGAGUACAGUGUGAGAUUCACUAAGUUAGCUAGGUAUGCCUCAUACUUGACCGUUACGAAAAAGAUGCCAACCUAAAGGUUCAUGAAUGGAUUGUUACGCCCACUAUAUAAAGUCGUAGCAUCAUAAGAGUUUACUAGCUAUUCUAAAGUGAUGAAUUGUGCUCAUAGGUUAGAGCUUAAGGAUGUGGAGGGUCGAUCAGAUAGACCCAAGCCUAAGAAGGCCAAGAUUUGAGGCCUUUAGGGCCAUAGAGAUCCCUCAAGCCAAGAAGGCCAACAUGGACGUUUACAAAGAUCUCAUCAGGGGAAUGUUGGUUAGAAUUCUACUACAUAAGUAUACAUAUCGAAUAGAUAAUAUAUAAGCAAGUAGAGUAUCGAUCCCAUAGAGAAUUGAUCUAAAAUUUUACUAAGUACUAAAAUUAUAACAUUUUAAUUGUGUCUAAACAAUCAAAAUUAAUUAAUUAACUAAAACUAAUUAACCAAAAUUUAAACUAAAAAGAAAAAAAUCAAAGUAAUAAUAACUUGGGUAAAAAUCAAAUCAAGCUAGCCUAGGAUUACAAUAUCCCUCAUGCUUCAUCUAAAUCUUAACUCUCUUCCUUAACUUAUUUGAAUAGGUUGACUUGCGAACCUAGAGUCCUCAAUUAUUUAUAAGGGUCUUCCAACUCAUCUUAUAAAAAUAUCUAUUUUAACCAAGACACUAUAUCUCUAUGUGAAUUGAAAUUAAAACAGAUUUAUUAAGUUCAGGCUCUAAUCUGGCUACAUAUGGCCUAUAGGUAUAUCCCUAUCCUAUACUUAAAUCAAUUAAUAUGAUCAUAUGUUAUCUUAAUUUUAGUCUUCACUAAACUCCCUUUCCUAAGUUUGUUUAGGUUCCUAACUCAAUUUAAUUAGUGAUCGGGCAAUUAAAAGCAUUAAGAACAAAUUGAAAUAAACAAUUCAAAUCCCAUUAAAGAUAAGCAAGAAAGAGACUAAAAGUUUAGAUUACAUGUGAGUUCAAUUGCAAUCCUAGGAAACAAAAAUUAGCUACUCAUAGUUGCAAAGAUAAAUAAAAUUAUAUAUAAUUAAACCAUUGAGAGUAACAAGAAAAAUAAAGGCUAAGGAAGAAACAAAACAAAUAUUUGUAGCCUUGCUCUCCAAGUUUCAACCUCCAUUUCUAGCUUCUUCAGUCCCUAAAAGUUGUCUCUUCUAAUGACUCUUAAAAAUGUCUUAUUUAUACUAACAAUGUUAACCUAAAAUCCAUAAGUUAAUCUACUAAUUCUAAUUAUUGCGCUUAAUAGUGUAAUGAGAGGCCCAAACAUCAAUUAUUAGUCUUAAAAUUGCCAUUCCCACAAUAGUACGCCUAACCAUUUUUUUAUGCCAUUUUUUCAAUCUUUAAAGCCAAAGUGAGCAAAGUAGUCUUCAUAAAAGUUUAUCUCUAUCUCUUAGCUUUCCAAUGGUCCAAGAAUCGUAGCAUUUGGAGCUUUGUAGUGCGAGUUAUAAUCAAAACACUGAAGCAUAUGCAAGCAGACUUUUGGGUCUUUCAACACCUUACUUUCAAAAAUUAAGCUCAAUUCCCUUGGUUCCUACAAAAAUAUAAAAACUAAUAAAUAAUAACAAAAUUAAAGGAAAUAAACAUAAAAUUAAAAUAACUCACUUAAGAAUAAAACAAUUAUAAAAAUAACUAAAAAUAACUAAAUUAUAAUUGAAAAUUAAAGACAUAGCUAAUUUUUAAUAACAAAAUUAGACUAAAAUAAUUCUAUAAAAUAUAAUUAUCACAACCCCAAACUUAAGAUUUUGUUAGUCCUUGAGCAAAAGAAAAUCACAAAAAGAAAAUUGAACAUAAAAUCCUUGAACGGGUGAUAGAAGUACCAAAUCAUGAUUUCCCAAUUUGUCCCUUAGAAAUAAACUCAAAUUCCCACUUAAAGUAACAUACAGCUAAUCGUUAAAGUCAUGCAUCAAUUCAAGUGAAAACUUAUUUUUCGAAUAGACUUCCUAUGUGUGUGUAAAUGAUCUCUUAUAAAGAAUAUCAUACAAUUCGAAUUGGUUUAUGACAAAUCUAAGCAUAGAUUAGUACUAGGACUCCAUAAGUUUGCUUUUCAACCUUUUCUCCACUAAUGUAGAUUAACAUUUAUUCAAGGAUCAAUAGGUCUUUAUCAAGCUUGUAAUGUAAGGCUAGAAUUUAGGUAUGAUAAAGUAUAUAUUUAUGCUUAAAUUCACCCUAAACACUUAAUCAAUCUAGGACCUAUAAAGAGCUAAAAAAAACAAAAUUUAUAGCACCCCCAAACUUAAAGUGCACUUUCCUUUGUACAACACACUUUAUUUCUCUUUUUUUUUAAUCCCCGAACUUAUUUUUGACAAUUAUAAACAAAGAGUAAUUUUCCUAACAACCAUCACUUUUUUUUUCUUUCACCUUUCUCCCUUAAUUUAUCUUUAAGCUUAAAUCAUUCCCUAGAAAGAUCAAAAUACUUAAAGGGUGAAAAGUUCAAAUUGUUGGAUUUAAAUAGACAGGUUAAGGCUAAUACAAUUGUGCAAUUACAAAGAAAAAGUAAAUUAGGCUCAAAAAGGAUGACUAAAGAUAAUUAUAACAAGGUAAGCUCAAAAAGGUUCAAACGAUCCAAAGAUGGCCUAAUCACUUUCUAUCCUAAGUGUUAUCUAAGAUUUCACAUCGAGAGAGAAUCAAACAAAUUCUAAAAUUCUUGACUUCACUAUACUUUUUUAUUAGCACAAACUUUCUCUAAAUCACAUAAAAUUCUAAGUAAAGGAGUAUAGUACUCAAAUUAUUGAAAGUCACAUUAUAAAAUAAAGUUAACACAAGAACAUCACAUAAAAUUAAAUCAUAACUAUAUGUUUCCCAAAAUCUAAGAAUUACAAGAUAAUCAAAACAUCAUCGUAGGAUUGGGACAAUCAUGAAUGAGGUGCAACUAUCAAAAAAAAAAAUUUUUGAACACAAAUAAAGCAUGCAAAACAUAAAUAAAACAUGCAAACAUAACCUAAAAUAAAACUUACUAAACCUAACAUAAUGAAAAGAAUAAACCAACAAAAUUCUAAAAUACUUCCCUUAACUUUGAACAAAACAUUGUCCUCAAUGUGAUAAAAGAAAAUUAGAGAAAAAGGACAAGAAUACUCCCCUAACUUUGAAAUUACAGUCUACAGGUCCUCUUCAUCAUCACUACCAAAAUAGUCCUCAGAGUCUAAAUCCGUAGGCAACGAAGGAAAAGUAGUCAUAUCCAUCCCAAUGUGCUAUGCAUAGGCUCUCAUCAUUUGUUCAAUUGCCUGAUUUUGCCUUUCGUUAUAGUCCAAAUGAUGAUCAAUGCGCUCCAUCCAUUGGGCAACACUAUGUGUAGAAGCCGACUGUGGAGGUUGUGGAACAGCUUGCGAGGAAUUACCAACUACCGAUACAGAUUCUUCCAAUCAUUUAAUAAUGCCCAUAGUAAUGGGAAUUUUUUAUUGUUGCGGCUCCUCCUUAUCACUCCAAUGCAUACCAACUCUCACACAUAAGGCAGAGAUCAAGGAAGGAAAAUUGAAACUGUCUCGUUUAGUGUGGCCAUAUGUAAGAUGGCAUGAGAGAUAACCUUACCAAUGUCAAUGGAUUUAUGCAUGGCAAUGGCAUAAAUUAGAACUGCGUGAUCUCUCGUGACAUCGCUAAUAUGAGUGGACGAAAAUAAUUGUGCCGCUGUAAACUGUAACCAAACUUUUAGCUCCUUUUUCAUGGCACGUCGUUUAAAUGAAACAAGUUCACCAUGUGAUGUCUUCCAUUGGUCUCCCUCAACACAAAGCAUUGAUAUAAACUCAUUACAAUACUAAUGAUCACCUAAGUACUGCCCAUAUUCAUCAUUCUCAAUAUUGGGAGUUUCAAAGAAGGCGUUGAUUGCUUCAUUGUGAAAUGGGACUUGUUUGCCACAAACAAAAGCAACGCCAUCAACAUUCUCAACCGCAUUUGCUUAAAACUCCCGAACUACUGGUAUAAUUACAACUUCCUCUUGUUUACUAAAUAACUGCCAAUGUUUGUCUCAAAGCAUCUGAUGAAUUUCCUCAUAAGGGAGGAUAGGGAUAUCUAUCCUUCAUUCAGGAAUUGGCACUUUGUUGAUAAAAGACGUAUGAUAUCUCGCAGAGGCAGCGGUAGAGAUGAACUUUUAUCUAUCAAAGGUCCCACUUGAGCCUGGUUUGGAUCGUUUGGGUGCCAUUCCUACAAAAGAAUUUCAAUUAUCAAAAUAAAUCCAGAGUAAAAGUGUCAUAGCCCAAUUUUCGGGCCAUGACCGGCGCAUGGGCCUGAUGGGCAUAGCCCACCAAGCCUAAGCAAGCCUAUUUCUAUGACCUGUUCAUCAUUCCAUCAAAAGUUCCUAUAGUCACAUUUCAUAAAUCCAAUUAAAAAUAAUGCUAACCAUUGCCAACUCAUAGUGGCAUUACCAAUCAAAAUAUACAUAUAUUGUCUAAAACAUACAACUUGAUAAUUUACAUCGGGUUUGUCUAUACACAACAAAAGGGAUACUUGACUUCUAGCAGAGAAACCCGGGCAAAAGUACAACUAUUGAAUGAUAAGAUACCUACCAAAGGGACGAAUCUACGAGAACACCUUGACCUAGUUACCAACUGCCUCCUGAUCUUAGAACAUGAAGUUGAAAACAGUGACUAUAAACCCAGUGAGUGAACAAAGGAAGGGAACAAGAAAGCGAUACUAAAAGUUUAAAAAAAUCAUGAUGCAUUUAUUUUCAAAAAUAAUGCAAUUUAGUUUAGUUUUUAUUAAAACACCUCAUCAAACCCUUAAUUGGUUAAUCACUCGAUGAUGAAUGAUCCAUGCACAACAAAAAUUUGAAGAAUGAAAACUUUAGUAGCAUUCAAGCAAAUCGAAUGAAAUGACUGAUCAUUGCUGUAGCGAAAUUUGGGCUCAAAUUAUCAACUGGUCGAGGGUUCUCACUAAAACCCCUCAUUCCAAACUUAAUUAAUUAAUUCCUUAAUGUUGGAAGUCCAUGAUCAACUAUGGUGCUAAAAAAGUGGAAAAUGGGGUAGCAACCAAACAACGUAGCAAGCACAAUAGAAGGUUUCUCGCUGCAACGAGUUACAGGGCUGCAGCCAGCCUCCCAACUUGAGAGUUUCUCAUUGCAGCGAGAAACAAAACACGAAGAAAAAUUUCUCAUUUUAUCAAGAAAAGGCCAUUCUACCGCAAUGACAAAAUCAACUUGAAAAUACUUAGCAAUUUCCAAGAUUCAACAUGCAAGAUUUCACAUACAUUAUGUCACAGCCCAAUAUUCAGGCCAUGACUGGCACAAGGGACCAAUGGGCUCAGCCCACCAAGCCCAAGCAAGCCUACUUACAUGAUCUUAUACGCUAAUCCAUAUUCCUUUAGAAUCCGAAAUUCAUAAUGCUCAAUUACAAUUACUUUGAAAAAAACUCAUAAAACCCAGUCAUGUGUUCGUAAUGGCAUCAUCAACCAUUAUAUACAUACACAUAAUUUGACAAAUAAAUCUCAGUAUUUCACAACAAGUAGUUAUAUACACGUAAUUAGAACUUGACCGUCAGCGGAGUGACUCUAGGCACGGUUGCUAACAUUUAAUGUCACGGUAAACCUACCGAGAAUGGAUAAGGAGGAGCAACUCGUCCUAGGGUCAAAUCACCUUUGACUCAGAAAAACCUAAAACAUGAAUUUUAAAAACGUGAGUAUAAACUCAGUGAGUGAACAUAGGAAGGGAGCAAGCAAUGUUAAGGAAGGUUUAGAAAGCAUGAUGCACUUAAGUUCAAAACAAUGCAAAUUAAUUUAUAUCUAUUUAAAAACCCCUCAUUCAAACCCUUGGUCAUUUAGUUACUUGAUGACAAAAGACUCAUGAACAACAAGGGAGUUGAUAAGUGAAAACUUUAGUAGAUUUCAAGCAAGUCAAGCCUAAUAGAUUGGCUUUCAUCGCAGCGAAAAGGCAUUCUCGCUGUAACAAAAUUCUGGCCAGAUAAAAAUCCAAGGGGCUUUCACUACCAUAAAAAAAAUCCACUCAUGCCAUAUUGCACAUUAAAUCGAACACAUUGACAAUACUCAAGUUUUCAAUAGUUAAUGCAAUCACAUUUUAAAUCCAAACAUCUCUAUACAGUAAAUAUGUAUAUAUAUAAGCACUUACACCACCAUCACCUCACCCGGCUAAUGUGCAUCAUUUUUUGCAUGUGCACUACCCACUCCGCACAUGCACGGUUAUAAAUAUCACGACAGCAUCAUUAUCGGCAUGUGCACUACCCACUCACCACAUGCAUGGUUGGGCUCCACUCAUAAGGGAAGACCCUCGCUACAAGCAGCUCUUUCCUCCUUUAGCGGUGGUAAUAAACGAUACCUACCAGAUCACUCAUAGGGGACAUCUCUCUCUACAAGCCCCUGGUCGAAAAGUUUCCAGGGAUCGGGUUAAACCCUUUGCUCUAAUACUAACAUUGUCACUCAAUUGGCAUGUGCACUACCCACUCCGCACAUGCACGGUUACAUCAAUUAUACAAAAUUACUUAACAAUAUAUAUAUCAUAUAUCUUUAUAUACAUAUCAGCGUCAUAUAAAAGUACAUAGAUUCAUCGCAAUCAUGUUCCACAUCACAAAAACAUUUCACUAAAGGCUUGUUCCCAUGCAUUUUGAAGAAAAUAUAAUUUAAACAGUUCAAGUGGUUCGCUCAAACGUAUGUACAUCUACACAAAACAUUUUAGUGCAGGUUCACUCACUGAUAUUUGUUGAAUCUUUACUAGACUCCAACCUCCACUAAUGGUCCAAAUGGAACUGUGGGGCCUUGUUGGGACCUAUCAUCAUAACAACAUCACAACCAAUCCGAUUUGCAUAAUUAUAGUUCUAAAAGCUAUCCACUAAAUCAUGUUCUGCUAGUUAUUUUUAACUAGCUUCCAUCUACCAUUAAGUGACUAUAUAUUUUCCCUAUUCUAGUCACACUAUAAUGAAUAACCCACCUCAACUACAAAACACUCACUGAUCUAGCCACUAGCCAUUCUUAACAACUAAAAAGAAAUUAACUCUAUUUCGUUACUCACCUUGGUAGCUUCACAAUUGAAUUUCUUUUCCAAAAGCUUUCAAACUAUCAUGAAAAUCUCACUUUCUAUCUCUAGAACAUUCAGUUAGUGAGAGAGUGUAAUAAGGAAAGGUUUUUGAGGGUUUUAUGGUGAAAAAAUAGAAGAGCACAAAGAACUCUGUGAAAGGGUAUACAAAAACAUGAAAAAUCGGGCUUAAUUCAAGGAAAUAUAUGAAAAUUCAAGGCAAGCUUCCAUGGAAGGGUGAGAGAACUUGGGAGAGGAAGGAGAAGAAGAAGAAGUGUUGAAAAUUUGAAGAACAUCCUAGAAACUUAGAUUUUUAUGGCUUAAGUUAUCCAUUUCUAGCAUAAUUACCAAAAUGCCCUUAACUAUGUCAUUUUGUUUUUCCAUUGCCUUUAUACAAUCUUUUUACUUCUUUAACACUGAGACAAGGUCCAUAAGGGUCUAGAAAUGCUUGGGUUCAUGAAAACUUAAAAAUUUUAACUCGAGAUGCAAAAUGACCAUUUUACCCUUUUUGUUUCUUUCCAUUUUAAUUUAGUCCUCCCAACAUUCAUUUAACUCCAAUUUCCUUCUAUUCCCUUCUUUUACACAUGUGCAAACAAAGUAUGAAGUUUGCACUCCAAAUGAGUGCCUCCAUAAUAUUUAAAUUAUUUAUUUACCCGUGCUAUCUUUACUUAAUAAAGACACGCGGCCCCAUUAAAGUCAUUUUUCUCCAAAAUUCUAUCAUUCUUCUUCUCCCCCACUUAGAUUGACCAUAUACUCCUUGAUAAAAAUUUUUUACACUGAAUAAAAUAUUAAUAUUUUAAUAUUAUUUUAUUAAUAAAAUAUUAUUUUAUUUCAAAAAUUUCCUCUUGUCUCCUCUUGUCCCUUUGGUACCCAAAAUACCUUAUUAGGCCUCAAUUGACUUUCGAAUCACUUUUUAUCUCACAAAUUCUUCUCCGAUAAAAAUAUCAUUAUUUUAUUAUUAUUUCCUCGUGUGCGAAAUAUUUUAUCCAAACUAUUCCUUUCAUCUUUCAUCAUUUCUAAAAAUCAUAAUUAACCUCAAUUGGCUUCCAGUAAUUUUUUAUUAGUCACCAUAUCAAAGUAUGGGGUAUUAUACAUUACAACCAUAUACCAUAUUCAUGAACUUUCUAUUGCAUAUAUAUAUAUAUAUAUAUAUAUAUAUAUAUAAACACCAAGACCACAACCAUCUCACUUAGCUCAUGUGCAACCCCCACAUCGUGCACAUAGUUGGAGUCAUCAUGCACAUCCCCCACAUCGUGCAUAACUAAUAUUGUCAUGUGCAUCCCCCACAUCGCGCACAGGCAAUAUCAUCAUCCACACUCCCGCACCCGUCAUCAUCGGCAUAUGCAUCCCCCACAUUGCGCACACACACGGUUAUAUUUAUUACACAAUAUUAACUAUCGAUACACAACAUAUAUAUAUAUACAUAUAUCAACAUUCUAUAGGAGCACAAGGAUUCAUCAUAUUGCACACUGACCACAUAAAAGAUUUUAAUAAAGGCUUGUUCCCAUGCAUAAUUUUUUAGGAAAAAUCAAAUGAAAAUCAUUCACAUACUUCAUCCAAAUACCAAUACAUUUCCCAAAAUAUUUUAAAUGCAAGUGCACUCACAAGUCUUUGUUGAUGGUUUGGUGGGCUCUAUCUUCGACUAAUGUUCCGAAUGGAGGUAUGGGGUUUCGUUGGAACCUUAAUAGUCUUUGUAGUUGAAUUCUCUUUCAAAAUUCUUCAAGCUAAUAAGGGAAAUCACUCACUCUCUCUCUCUCUCUCUCUCUCUCUCUCUCUACACGUCUAGCUAGUGAGUGAAUGUACUAAAGAAAGACUUUUGAAGGCUAUUGAGGUGUAAAAGUGGAAGAGCAUGAAAAACCCUAUGAGGGAGUGGGCAAAAGCAUGAAAUUUAAGGCUAACUUUAAAAGGUGAUGGAAGCUUUGAGAGAAGCUUUCAAGGAGGAUGAAAGAAAUGUGAGAUGGGAGGAAGAAGAAGAAGAAGCUGCUGGAAAAAUGAGAAAGCUGUUGGAGGAAUGAGAUAUUUAUGUUUGAAGUUUAUCCAAGUUUCAUGCAACUUACCAAAAUGCCUUCAACAAGGUGACUUUGUCUUCCUCCUAUCUUUUGUGCAAUCUUCUUACUUCUUUGACAUUAAGACAAAGUCCAUAAUAGUCUAGAAAUACUCGAGUUCAUGAAAACGUAAAACUUUUAACCCGAGAUGCAAAAUGAUCGUUUUACCCUUAUUAUGAAAAUUAUCAAUAUUUUUAUUUUCUUCGUUUAUUUAUCAUGAUAUACAUCAUUUAUUUAUUCCUUAGGCCUACUUAGGCCUUAAUAAUAUUAGGAAAUCUAUUUCCAGGAGCUCACCAUGAAAAAUGAUGAAAUUACCCUUGGUCUGUGUUAUCGCGUCUACUUCUAGUUACGUGUCUACGGAGGUCGAGGUUUCACAAAAAGUAUGCAAUUAGUGUUGCAUGCACAAACAUGAAAGUAUGAAAAAGCCAAAGGCAAUAAUUUAAUAAACGUAUAUCCAAUUCAACAAACCAAACUCAACAAUUCCACAGCAGCUUUGUAAAAAUUUACAAUCUCACCCCGCCAUAUGCAACAUAAAUUUUAUAUUCCUUACAACAUGCAUAUGGUAUUAUCAUAAUCAUAAAUUUCACAACUCAACAGUCCAUAAAAAAAAUUCUAAGAAAUUGCACUCAUCCAAAAUUACCACGUACUGCAUGUUUUUGCACCAACAAUUCCAAAAUUUAUUUGUACUUGCCCAAUCAAUCAUCAAAAAUUAAACAAACCCAUCAUUUACUCAAAUCAACAAGACAUUUAACAAUUAUAUUUACAGCAAACAAAAAAUUUAUAAAUCCAUUGGAUAGGCAAGAAGAAUUUAUCACUAAUCAUAAAAAUUAAUUACACUCUAAACAUAAUCCAUGAGAGAAUAGUAAAACCCAUUAACAAACAUGCACAAUGGACUCAUUCAAUGUGCAAAAAAUCAUAAAAUUUACUGUCAACACCAACCUCAUUCUCUCUAUGCAUAAAAUAAUAGAAAACCAAGUAUUUGGAAGACAGAAGGAGUCGUACUUACCUUAGGAGUGAAAUGAGUGAAGGAUUUCAAAGCGAAAAUAAAAAAUCCAAAUAAAGAAAAUAUGUAGAAAUUUGGAAUGAAAAAAGAAAGAGGAAGGCAAGAGAGUUGAAGCAGGAUGAUGGAGGGGAAAUGGGAGUGCCGACUGAAAAGUGAAAAGAGAGUAAAAAAUUUUGAAUUUUAAAGCUGCAUGUAGUGUUGGGCCCAUUCAUGCGAGAGCUGCGGCUUUCACCUAUUUAGAACUCAAAGCAUUACGCUUUGGGUUUCAGCACCGGAAUGCUCAAUCAUUCUACUUCGACCCCCAUUUCUUACUUUCGUGAGAGUCGUGGCCCUCAAACCUUCUAUGUUUGGCCAUUCAUGAGUAUUCUUUCACUUUGGAACAUGCUAUCUUGAGCCAUACCUUGCCUCCUUUCAAGGCCACAACGCUCAAAGUGAGGGCUAUGGCUUUGACCUUCUAUUUUAAUUUUUUAAUUUUUUAAUUUUUUAUUAUUAUUAUUUUUGAAACCAAACACUUGCCAAAAGGUAACAUAAAAUUAAUUAAAAUAAUAAUAAAAUUAAAUCAAAAGAAUUUAAUUGUAAUUAAAAAAUUAAUUAAAAUCAAGACUAAAAUGAGUGAAAUUGAAGAGCUUGGUUGCCUCCCAAGAAGCGUUUCAUUUAUAGUCUUCGGUUGGAUUGACUUAGACUCUAGGCCAUGUCAAGCAAGUGUAUUGAUGACUUUUGAUGAUUAAUUUUGCCUCCCCAAUAAUACUUCAAUCUUUGUCCAUUGACUUUAAAUUUUCGACCAUCUAUCCCCUUAACUUCGAUUGCUUCAUGUGAAAAUGCCUCAUUGAUAAUGAAAGGACAAGACCACCUUGACUUAAGCUUCCUGGAAAUAAUUUCAAGCGAGAAUUAUAAAGCAACACUGAUUUUCCUAGCUCAAAGCUUCAUUCCACUAUCUUCUUAUCAUGCCAUUGCUUUGUUUUCUCUUUAUAAAGUUUGGCAUUCUCAUAAGCUUGAAGGCGAAAUUCAUUAGUUCAUUUAAUUGCAAUAACCUUUGCUUACCUGCUGCUUGUAAAUCAAAAUUUAACUUCAUCACGGCCUAUUAAGCGUUGUGCACAAGUUCCACCAGUAAGUGACAAGCUUCGCCAAAGACCAACUUGAAUGGAGACAUGCCAAUUAGGGUCUUAUAAGCAGCCCGAUAUGCCCACAAUGCAUCCUCCAAUCUUCUUGCCCAAUCUUUUCUUAUGGCACACAUUAUUUUCUCCAAAAUCCUCUUGAUUUCUCUAUUUGACACUUCCACUUGCUCACUAGUUUAAGGAUGGUAUGUAGUUGCAACUUUGUGUUUAACUCCAUAUUUUGCAAGAAGUGCAUCAAAAUAUUUGUUGCAAAAGUGACUUCCCUCAUCACUAAUAAUUGCCCUUGGAGUACCAAAUCAAGUGAAAAUGUUCUUCUUAAUGAAAUUCAUCACUACCUUGGAAUCAUUAUGAGGAAAGGCUAUCGCUUCAACCCAUUUUGAGACAUAAUCUACGGCAAGCAAGAUGUAUUUCUUGUUGUAUGAAGAAAUGAAUGGACCCAUGAAGUCAAUACCCCAUACAUCAAAAAUUUCUAUCUCAAGGAUGUUAUUGAGAGGCAUUUCAUUUUGCCUUGAGAUAUUACCCACUCUUUGGCACCUGUCACAAUGCAAAACAAAAUUGUGAGCAUCCUUAAAUAAUGUAGGCCAAUACAAACCUGAUUGGAGGAUUUCGACAGCAGUUCUUGCUCCUCUAAAGUGUCCUUCAUAAUAUGAAGAAUGGCAAUGGUGAAGCAUGCUUUGAAUUUCUUCUUUUGGGACACAUUUUCUAAAGAUCUGGUCUUUACACUGCAUAAACAAGUAAGGCUCAUCCCAAAAAUAAAAUUUAACAUCAUACAAAAUUUUUUUUUCUGAUUAAAAUUUAAAUUAAGAGGAAUAAUAUUGCUUAACAAAUAAUUCAUGAAAUCAGCAUAGCGAGGAAGUGAUUUCUUACCAACUUGAAGGAUUUGUUCAUCAAGAAAAGUCUCCUUGAUUAAGGUUGAAUCCUUACCUUGAGCUUUAAUCUCCAAUCUUGAGAGGUGGUAUGCCAGUUAAUUUUCUGUUCCUUUUCCAUCACAAAUCUUGAGAUCAAAUUCUUGAAGCAAAAGAAUCCACCUUAACAAUCCUGGUUUAGCAUCCUUCUUGGCAAUCAAAUAUUUGAUAGCUAAAUGGUCAUUGUAUACUAUCACCUUGGUCCCAACUAGAUAGGAGCAAAAUUUGUCAAAAGCAAAAACUACAGCCAAAAUCUCAUUUUUUGUUGUGGUAUAAUUUUUCUGGGCUUCAUUCAAAGUCUUGCUAGCAUAAUAGAUGGAAUGAAAGAUUUUAUCCUUCCUUUGUCCCUAAACAGCUGCCACCGUAUAAUCACUUGCAUCACACAUUAGUUCUAAAGGGAGAGUCCAAUUAGGACAAAUUAUGGUAGGUGCAAAAAUUAAUCUUUUCUUCAGUUCAUCAAAAGCAAUAAGACAUUCAUUAUCAAACGUAAAUGGCACAUCUUUUUCCAACAAAUUGCAAAGUGGUUUAGAAAUUUUUGAAAAGUCUUUAAUAAAUCUUCUAUAAAAACCAACAUGAUCAAGAAAACUUCUAAUACUUUUGACAUUUAUUGGAGGUGGUAACUUAUCAAUUGUUUCAAUUUUUACUUUAUCUACCUCAAUGCCAUCAGUAGAGAUCUUGUGCCCAAGACCAAUACCUUCUUGCACCAUGAAGUGACAUUUCUCCCAAUUAAGCACCAAAUUUGUUUCUUCACAUUUCUUGGGCACCCUAGCAAGAUUUAAAAGACAAUCAUCAAAAUUAUUUCCAAAGAAAAAUCAUCCAUAAAUACCUCCAAACAUUUCUCCACCAUGUUUGUGAAUAUGGCCAUCAUACAUAUCUGAAAGGUGGCAUGUGCGUUACAUAAUCCAAAUGGCAUUCUUCUAAAAGCAAAAGUGCCAUAAAGACAUGUAAAUGUAGUCUUUUCUUGAUCUUCAGGGGCAAUAGCAAUUUGGUUAUAACCAGAAUAACCAUAUAGAAAAUAAUAAUAUUCUUUACCAGCCAGGCGAUCCAACAUUUGAUCAAUGAAUGAAAGAGGGAAGUGAUAUUUCCUUGUAGCUUUGUUGAGCUUACGGUAGUCCAUGCACACUCUCCAUCCAGUCACAGUUCUUGUUGGAAUGAGCUUAUUAUUGUCAUUGACAACCAUAGUCAUUCCCUUUUUCUUAAGAACACAUUGAACUGGACUUACCUAUGAGCUAUCAAAAAUAGGAUAAAUUUUUCCCGCAUCCAACCACUUGAUGAUUUCUUUCUUGACCACUUCUUUCAUGAUGGGAUUCAAUCUUCUUUGCUAUUCAAUUAUGGCUUUGCCAUUUUCCUCAAGGAGAAUUUUGUGCAUCCAAAAAGAAGGGCUAAUUCCUUUAAUAUCAACUAUGGUCCACCCUAUUGCUUUCUUGAAUUCCCUAAGUGUCCUAAAUAACUUCUCCUCUUGCAUGUUGUAAGACAAGCAAAUGUAAUGACCACUCCUCGAUCGCUACCAGUGUUUGAGUCUUGCGGGAGAACCCGUCAUGUCCCGAACAAGCCUUAAUUGAAACUUUAGUUACUACUUCAUAUUCAUGGCAUCAAUCUAUGAAAUUACUUUGAAUUGUAUAACUCUCUGAAAUAAAAUUUGAGCAAAAGUCGUAAUAUAUCAUCUUAACCUUUAUUCACCAUAAUCGUGAGAAUACAUUAUAGUCAUAAUGUCCAACUGCACAUUUACAUUGACACUAUUUACAAAUGAAUUAUGCUAUGAAUGACUCGACCUUUAGUAGUGGAGUGACUCAGAAUGAAGUGCUAUGAGAUACCUUUACCUAUCUGCGGUGGAUAACAAAUGUCAAUGAAUGAAUGCUAGGCCGAUCACUAUUUUCAAAGGGAAUAUAAGGGGGUGAGUCUCACAGACUUAGUGAUCAUCAGCUCCUUGAGCAAGGCACAGAUGGGAAACACACUUAAAGCGGAUAAUUUGGAAGAUAAAAUUAGAAUAUAAAAUGGCAAGCUCAUAAAACNAGAAUAUAAAUAGGCAAGACUCAUAAACAUAUACCUAAUACCGUAUUGUGCCUUGAAAAAAAAAUAGUACUGUAAAAUCAUAAUGCAAUACUUCCCUUGGUAAGCAAUGCCGAAAACAAACGUAGCAUAUUAAAUUUCAAUCAUCAAAAUCAUCUUUUUCCAUCAAAAAUACAAAUAAUUGUAUAAAAGUACGCACGCUCCCAAAAUGUGUGGCAUGUAAAAAUCAGUGUGCACAUCCGCAUAAAUCAAGUCAUGAUCAAAUAUAAGCAUUGAAAGCUUUCAUUCAAAUAAGGGAGCUGUGGAAAAACAUUAACUCUCCACCAUGCAAAAGAGUACGAGUCUAAAAACUCUCAAGACUCUCGAGUAGGUAAUUAUAGAUAAUCAAUCCGUGGACUCUUUUCCAUGUAAUAAUAAUCCGGGAGGCCCUUCUCCACCGGAUUCCCACAGCCAUGGCCAUCUCAACAAUGUUAGUCGACAUCAGAGAAAUCAAGUGGCCACAACCACGUAUAUCAACUUGUGGCCUAGCCAUAUGUAUCAACCCGUGGCCUAGCCACAUCUAACAGCUCGUUGGUGACACAAAGGUUCUUUAGCAAGAGCUCACUUAUGCAUAGGGUUACACUAUUUUGAUGUGACAUUCGACCUACUAUCGAUGCUCUCUAUUUGUCAAAACUGUUUUUAAAACCAAAUCGAGGUAUCCAGAACUUUUGCUUUAAUCAUUUGAAAACAAGGUUCGAUAAGCUUUGAAAUUGCUUUUCACAUUAAAAUGCACAGUGUAAACAUUUGCGUAAAGUUUGUACUAAAAUUGGCUUUCAAAAAUUUGUAUUUAAACCACUUAACAAAUGCAUUUAUGUCACGACCCGGUAUUUCCCUCAAGCCCGUGACAACCGCCGUGACGUCCCGAUAGACAUUCAUUGCCCGGAAUGCCAACCGGAACCUUGCAAGGCUUUAAUAUCAAUUUUCACACCUCCCCUAUGAGCAACAGUUGUUAAGUAUCAUGUUUUGAGAGACUAUAAACUAUUUCCAAAUCAAAACAAUAGAAAAAUAAUUUUUUUCUCAUAGGGCAUUUUGGUCAUUUUUCUUAAAAAAUCUCAAAACCAGCUAAAAAUGUAGUAUGUUAGUGGAAAACACAUAUUUCAUAAUCAAAAAUAAGUUUAGAUAUCUAAAACAUUCAUUAAAAGUGAAAUGAUAGCGAUUAGAAUAAAAUAAAAUAUUGAAUAAAAUAUUCUAUUUUCUUAUAAAACAAUUUUUAUAGAGAUAUCCGUUAGUAAUUUUUGUAGCAUAAAAGCAAAAUAAAUUCGUACAUACAGUAACACAGAUAGUCAAGGUAUGUAAUUAAAUUUACAAUGACAUGUGGGCCCCCAAAUGACAAAAGUGAACGAAGGUUGUGAACCUACAGUUUUUGAAGAAGUAAUGCCAACUGUAGCCUUCGACGAUAUCAACUAUCUACAAACUAUCUUGAGCUUGAAAUGGGUGGAAAGGAGGGUGGUGAGAUUAUAUAAUCCCAGUGAGUAAACAAAUACCAUCUAAAAUAUCUAAAACUGAGUAAAUGGAGACAGAUAAAAUAGAUUAGCAUAAAAAUGAUCCAAAGCAUUUCGAACUCAUUUGAAUAAGAUAAAAUAGAUUCAUUUCACCAAAAUAAACAACGAGGCUUAUGAUUUCCUAAAAAAUUUGGCUCGUGCCAAAAUCAUUCUCAUACUCAGUUAUCAGGGAUACCUUGGCCUAGGGCUAUCCCAAUUGAGUCUGCUAAGGCUGUUAAAAAAACCAUGUACGCAUAAAUCAUGUUUUUAUUUUGAAAACAUAGCCGUUCCUUGGCAUUGGCUGAGUUCACCCUCACGUGGUGGUUUGGUGUGAAGUGAACUUUAAAGUUGUACCUCGGGAGUUACCCUACGCACCUCUCCAAUCGAGGUAAGAAUAUAACGGGGAUUCCAUGCCUCUCAAAAAGACUGGUCCAUAAAACCCGCCCACUGCAACAAGCUAAACCCACCGUACAAUAAAAUUUGCAAUAGCAUGACAUGGCAAUUAUUUUAUUUUACAGCCUCUCAAGGCAAAUCAACUGUUCAUACAUAUUCAGCACAUUUACCAAUUCAACCAUUCAUGCCAAUAUUAUCAUAAGCCAUUCAAUUCAAACCAUGAUUUAUAACACAGCAAUUAGUCUCCAAUUACUCCAUUUUCAAAACCAUCUUUCAAUUUCAACACAAUUUUAUAAAAUCAUUUCAUUUAAUCACAUUUUGCUUAUAAAACAUAAAGAUUUACCAUUUAAACUCAUUUUUUAUCAAAUUACAAAAAUGAAUAAAAACUACUUUAGAUAAUUAAGAGGAUAAUAAGGUUACUCACUAUUUCGGGAGUCGAAUUUCAAGUACUUCGAUAUCUGAUCCUCGGGUACUAUCUCUUUACUUUUGCCAGAAAGCUCACCACCUUGACAUAAUGCACAAUAACCCAUUUACUACAUUUGUGCUAAACCGUUGUAAAUCCAAUUCAGGCUUUAUACUAAUGCAUGAAAUGGAAUGCAAAUUGUUCAGAUUAUCGUCUAAAACACAGUGUUUUGCACAAAUUCAAUUAUGUACCUAAAUAAAACGGUAUUGGCCUAAUUCGAUCUAUCACUCGAUUAAUUGGCCCAUAUGUCCAAUUUAACUCCAAAUAAUUCCAUUUUUCUCCCAAUACUCCAAAUCAUCAAACAGAAAUUAAAUAAGUUGAAAUAUGGCAAAAUCAUCCUCACAUUUUCUCUUGGAAAAUUCUGCCAUGGAGGGUUCACUAACAAUAUAAUUUUUCAAGCUUGAUUCGCACACCAUAAAUCACUAAUUCCUAACCAAAUCACUUGAAAUAAAAUCAAAAUCAUCAUCAAUAUUCCACAUGAAGAAUUCGACCAAAGAGGGUUAUGGAAGAACAUGAAAUUUUCUUACUUGAUUUUCAUGCUACACAUCACUAACUAACUAAAAACACUAAAAUACAUUGAAAUCUAACCAAAUCAAGCAUCAAAAUCUCUCUCUAAGUGUUCGGCCAGCAAGUGACCCAUCAUGAUUUCAUGUGAUUCAACCAUGAAAAAUAAGAAAAAAUGCUUAAGAAAGAGAGAUCUCAAGCUUAAUUGAAAAAUCUUACCUUUCUUUCACUUGUUUCCUUGAAUUUUCACACUUUUUCCUUGAAUUUUUCCACCUAGGGUUUUGUUCUUCCUUUUCUUGCUUCUCCUUGGUGAGG
rnacentral:lncRNA from 1 species